CACAGAUCAGAAUGAAUCUGGCUCAUCUCCUGAGAAGACUAUUGGGCCAAAAUCAUAUUUCAUACGGUGAACUAGCAAAGGUAACUGGUCAUUUCUCGCUCAAUAACCUAAUUGGUCGAGGUGGUUUUGGUCAUGUUUUUAAGGCAUCCUUAGAUGGUGAGAUCUGUGCUAUUAAGAGACUUGAUUUUCCGGAUGUACAAUCCGAAGGAGGUUUGGAGAGGGAGAUUAUGGUCGUCAAAAGUGUCAGUCACAAAAACCUCGUUGAAUUGGUUGGUUACUGUAUUGAUGGAGCCAAUAGAUUGCUUAUUUUAAAGUAUUUUCCAAAUGGGUCCUUGAGAUCUAAAUUACAUGGUGAGUCCCGUAUAUCCUUUCUUUUUACUUUUAUGUUCGUAUAACUAAUCCAUAUAACAUGAUUAAUCUUAAAAGUUACAAAUGGUAUUGUAGGGAGUGGGGAUGUUUUGGACUGGGAAAAAAGAAUGAAGAUCGCCACAGGUUCUGCAAAAGGAUUGGAAUAUUUACAUGAACACUGUGAGUAUUUAGUACUAUAUAUUCUUACCCGGCAAGAUCUUAUGAAUUUAUUUAUUUAUUUUUAUCUAUAUUAAUAAUUUAUUUUCUCUCAAAAUUUAUAUUUUAUAUUUUUUUCAGGUAAACCUAAAAUUAUCCAUUUAGAUAUCAAACCAGAUAAUAUUCUUCUUAAUCAAGAUUUUGAACCUAAGGUGAGAUAAUUUUAUAACAAAUAAAUAUUUUAUUUAUAUUAUCACAUAUUUAGAGUAAAAUCUUGAUAAUUGAAUAUUAAAAUUUUAUUUUUCAAAAAUAUUGAAAAAUUAUAUGAACUCCUUAAUUACAUAAUUUUAUUUUUGUGUUAAUUAAUAAAUCUGGAUUCUAAUUCUUUUUUGGUUUAGCCAUAAAUUUUUGGUUUUUUUAAUAAAAUUUAUUGCUUAUAAAAAAAUUAAUAAAUCCACCUUAGUAGGUUUCUUUUUUUUUUCAUGAUUUAAUAUUUUCUUAAUAAACCUUAUUGAAGUACGGAAAUUGUGUAAUUUAUCAAAUAGAAAGGUAAAAGAGUGUAUAUUCGUGGAAUUAAGUGUGAAGUUUCAACCUUAAAUUAAUAUAUACAUUAUAUAUAAAUAGCAUAAAUAAAUUUAUUAAUUAAUUUAAAUAAUUUGUUUAGAUAACAGAUUUUGGACUUGCUCAUUUUUUUUCGACGGUGCUACCCACAUAUCCAAAUCAUCAGUUAUGGGAACCCAUGUGUAAGAUGUAACCUCCUCUUCUAUCAUUUAAUUGCAAUGCUAUUAUUGUCUUUCUUUUUUCAGUGCCAUUAUUAUCUACCCUUAGAAUAGUUUAAAAAUAAAAUUAAAAUAGAUAAAAUAAUACAUAAAAAGAUAUUAGUACUCCUUAACUUGAUGGUAUUAGUUUCUUAAGAAAUCUUAACAUAAAUUUUAGUUCUGUUAAUUUUAUUGCAGCUAUGAAGAUCCAUUGACAACAAAACUGGGAAAGUAUUCUGAUAAAUCUGAUAUUUAUUCUUUUGGAGUUACACUUUUAGAGCUGAUUACUAGAAGAAAACCUAUACACAAUGGCACUGACAUUGUUAUUUGGGUAUGACUCUGUUUGCAUUAAUACAACUUUGAUAUAAAAAUUCUAUUUUUACCUUAUAAAGUUUUGAAUUUAGAUCUCAAUUGGAGCUAUUUAGAUUUCAAUUCAAUAUAUUUAUGAUCUAUUAAUAAAUAAUUUUUUUAAUCAAUAUCUUAUAGGCAAAUCAUCUAAUUAAAAAGGCUUUGGAGGGAAGAUAUACAAACUUUGUAGAUUCUAAUUUACAAUCCUUUGAUCAUGAACAAAUGUAUCAAAUGGUUUCUUGUAUUAAUUCUUGCAUAAAUCAACCACUAAACUCUCGGCCAACAAUGGAAAAGGUAAAACUUUUCACAUAUUUAAUUUAAUUUUAGCUAUAUAUUAUAUAAUUUUAAUUAAUUUUGUGAACUCGAGAGAUUACAUAAUUGACUUGUAAUCAUUUUAUUGCUAUGUCAUGUAGAUACGUCUAGUUCUUGAAGGAAAAUCGCCUCCAGAGGAAUUAUACGAUCAUGAAUUACAAUGGAGUAUUAUACAUAGAGGUUUAUAUUCUUUUAUAUUAAUUUAUUAGAAAUUAUAUGCAUAUUUAUACUAAAGCUCGAUCAAAUUGAUGCCUAAAUUAAUUUCCUAAAUUAAUUUUCAUUUAACUUGUGUCAUAUCUUAAAAUUAGAAACAAAUGUUGAUUUUCAACUGCAUAAAUAUUAAUUUUUUAAUUUGAAACGUAGAAUAAAUUUAUUAUUAUAUUUUAUAGAAAGAAAAUGAAUAAUAAUUUUGAGAUAAUAAAAUAAAAUAAAUAAAAAUUAUGGAACGGAAAGAAUAUUAUUUAAUUAUUUAAGUAAAGGUAAAUAAAUAGAAAUAAUGAAGCCGUGAAUAGUUUUUUGAUAGGAAAAAAAAUAAUUAAUGUCCAUGAAAUCAUUUUCUAUUUUGAGAUAGUUUAAUUUAUUUUAAAAGAUCUUAUAACAUAAUUAUUUGUUUAUAUUAUAUACAUAUUGUUUGACAAAUUCUUAAUAAGAUGAUUUAGAUUGUUUACAUAAUAAACUUAUUUUUUUAUAUAGUUAUAGUCUUUUUAGGUAAAUUUCAAUCAUAUAGGUUAUUCGAAUUUAUAUUAAAAUUUGUCUAAAACACUAAUAAUUCACUAUAUGAAAUUAAGAAAAGGAAAAAUAAAAGUAUGAAAAUUAAUUAGUAAGCAUGGUUAUUUGGCUUAAUUAAUAGAGAUAAUUUACUCAUAAAGCUUGCUUUAUGUUCACAUAUGGAACAACUUUAUUUAAAAAAAAUUAUUGUAAAAUAUAUAUAGCUUUUUGCUCUAUUUUCUUUGAGAGUUGCAAAUUAUAUUAAGAAAACAAAAAAUCUGAACUUUUCAUCAAGCUCACGAGAUCAGUUGGAAAAUUCUUAUCUUAAUUUCUUUGCUUUCUAUAUAUGUAUAUGCAAUGGUUCCACAAAUUAGAUAUAUACACUAACUAAAUAUGGCAUGCUAUGGUUUGCGUAGAUGACGAAUCUAGCUCAUACUUUGAAGAGAUUGAUCAAAUUGAAGAAUCUGGCCCAUUGCAUGAAAAGAAUUAUAAGGGUAUUAGGCCGAAGCCAAAUUCAUUUAGUGAACUAGCAGUGGCAAAUUAUAAGGGUGGGCUAAAGCCAUAUUCAUUCAGUGAACUAGCAAAGGCAACUGAUCAAUUCUCGCUUCAACGCCAAUUUGGCCAAGGUGGUUUUGGUCAAGCUUUUAUGGCAUCCUUAGAUGGUAAGAUCCGUGUUGUCAAGAAACUUAAUAAUUUUCCAGAUGUACAGUCUGAAGGAGAUUUCGAGAGGGUGAUUAUGGUUCUCAAUGGAGUCCGUCACAAAAAUCUUGUUAAGUUAGUUGGUUAUUGCAUUGAGGGAGCAAAUAGAUUGCUUAUUUCAAAGUUCUUUCCCAACAUGUCAUUGAGAUAUCAAUUAUACAGUGAGUCCCAUAUCCUUUCUUUUGCCUAUGUUCAUAUAACUAAUUAAUAUCACAUAAUUAGUCUUACAAAUUACAAAUGAUUUUGUAGGAAAGGGGAACGCUUUAGACUGGAAAAAAAGAAUGAAUAUUGCUAUAGGUUCUGCAAGAGGAUUAGAAUAUUUACAUGAAUACAGUGAGUACUUUUAAUUUUUGAGAGUGAUUUUUUUUUUAAAUUUUAUUUUUAUUUGUUUUAAUAAUUUAUUUCCUCUAAAAGUUUUAUGCUAAUAUUAUUUUCAGGUAAACUUAAAAUCAUACAUUUAUUUAUCAAGUCAGAUAAUAUUCUUCUUGAUAAUGACUUUAAUCCUAAGGUAAGAUAAUUUAUAAAUUUUAUUUAUAUCACUACAAUGUGGAAUCUUCAUCAUUAGAUUCCGAAAUUUUAUUUUUGAAAAAUUAUGUGAACCCAUUAGUUUGAUUGUUGUAAUUCAUUAAUAAUGAGGCUUAACAAGGUUUCUUGUCUUUUUUCAUGCUUUACUACUUUCUUAAUAAACCUUAUUGAAGUACGGAAAAUAGUGUAAUUUAUCAAGUAAAUAUAUAUAUAUAUAUUCAUGAAAUUAAGUAGUAAAUAACUACACCUUUAAAUUAAUAUAUACAUUAUAUAUAUGCACAGCAUAAUAAAUUUAUUAAUCUACUUAAAUCACAUGUCUUAGAUUUCAGAUUUUGAACGUUCCCUAUUCUUUAGGGAUGCUACUACUCAUGUGUUCAGAUCAUCAACUCUCGGAACUCACAUGUACGUAAAAAGAAAAAAAUUUCUUUUUAUCAUUCAAUUACAUCACUAUUAUCGUCUCUUUUCUUUCGGUACUAUUAUUAUCUAAUCUUAGAAUAAUUUGAAAAAUAAAAUAAAAAUUAAAACAAAGAAAAAAACACAUAAAAAGAAAUUAGGAUUCCUUAUUUGAAAAUAUUAGGUUUUUUAAAAAAAUCUUAAUAUAAAUUUUAAUUGUGAUGAUUCCAUUGCAGUUAUGCAGAUCCAUUGUCAACAAAAUUAGAAAAAUAUUCGGAUAAAUCCGAUGUUUAUUCUUUUGGUGUUAUACUUUUGGAACUGAUUACCGGAAGAAAGCUCAAGAUGGAUGAAAACAUUGACAUCGUUACUUGGGUAUGGCUUUCUUACUUGUAAUAAUUUAAUAUAAAAAUUGCAAUAUAAAAUUAUAAUAUAAGAAUCAAUAAGAUAAAAAAAAGAAUUAAAUUUAAAUCUCCAUUGGAUUGGAUGUAUGCAAAUAAAAUAAUAAAGCAUUCUUUAUAGUCACAUUAAAAACAUUGAAAAAGACAAAACUAUAUGCUAUAAGUUAAAUACAAAUGCACAUGUAACAUGCAGUUAUGAUUCAUUAAUAAUAAAUAACUUAUUAAUCAAUAUCUUGUAGGCACAACCUCUAAUAGAAAAGGCUUUGGAGGGAGAAUAUAUGGAUUUUGUAGAUCCAAGGUUGCAAUUGUUUGACGAUCAAGAAAUGCAUCGAAUGAUUUUUUGCUCUAAUGCUUGCAUAAAUUAACCGUUAAGAUCUCGUCCAUCGAUGAAAAUGGUAAAAUUUAUUCACAUAAUUAAUUUUGAUAUAUUUCACUAUUAUUGUUUAUUUUCAAUUAAUUUUAUAGAAACAUUGAGAGAGUACAUAUUUGACUUAUAAAUCUUUCUAUCAUUGAUAUGUCAUGUAGAUACUUCUAGCUCUCGAAGGAAUUCUUCCUUUAAAUUCUUUGUGAUGAGAUGAAUGACAACAAAUUGCGAUUGGAAGCUACUCAUAAAGGUCCGUUUCUUAUAAAGAAUGGGAAUAUCUAUUUCGAAUGUUAUUCAUUUUCUAUAGAUUUAUUAAAUAAAAAAAUUUAAAAGUAUACGGUUUGUUAUAUUUAUUCUAAAUUUAAAAUUUUGAACAAUAAAAUCAAUUUUUUUUACAUUUACUUCAAUUAAUUUUGAUAAAAAAAAUUUUAAUCUACGUGUCAUAUCACAUAGGUUUAUUUUUUGCAAGGCCUACUCAAUAAAAAAAUUCAAAAUUAACAUUAAAUUCAUAUUUAUAUUGAAAACUUUUGAACAAUAAAAUCAAACCUUUUUUAAUUUAACACAAUUAUAAUCAAUAGGACUAAAUAAAUUAAAUCUGAAAAGUUAAUGAUAAAUUACAAUAUAAUCCUUAAAAUUUUAUGUUAACAAAACAUAUAGUCUUUUAAUUUAACAUAUAGUCAUUUAUAAAUUAUAAUGUAGUCCCUAAAUUUAUCAUAUGUAAUAUUAAAUAUAUUAUAUUAAAUAAAUAUUUAUUAUAAAUAAAUUUUCAUUGCAUAAAAUAUCACAUACAAAUAUUAUAUAAUAAAAUAUUUUAUUGAAUAUUUAAACUCAAUAUUAUAAAUAUAUUCAUAUUAUUUCUUUAUUUAAAAGGAGUAGGAUAUGAACUUAAUUCACCUUUUAAAAAUAGAAGUAUCCGUCUCAGUUCAUCUACUUGGUGAUUUUGCUUUUUUCCUUUAAUAAUAUUCCUCUUCUUAUUUGAGAAGAUGGAUUGUUUUCCCAAACCCAUUGCCUUUUGGAGAAGAUGAAUAUGUUACAUUUAAUAAAACCUUAAACCUUUCUCUUCUUAUUUUUAAUAGACCAGAGUUUUCCUUAUCAUUUUAAGCUUUUCUCUUUUUAUUAUUUUCUUUAAACGAUGACUUAUUACAUUAUUUUCUAUAUUAAAUAUGACCAAGCUUAUAAAAUAAUCCUUUUUAUUUAAUCUCAAUAUCAAAUACUAUAUGAAAUUUUUUAAAAUAUCGAUAAAUUUUUUCAUUAGUAAUUCAAUAAAAAUCUAUUAGCAAAUAAUACAAUCUAUUUUUAAAAGUUUCGCUGGUAAAUUUUUACUAACAGAUUUUAAAUUUAUUAGCACCACUAUGAAAUUUACCAAUAUAAAUUCUCAUUUUUUAUUCAAUUCGGAUAGUAGUGUGGAAUUUUUCGGAUUGAGUUACAAUUUGAUGCAUAAAGAAAACAUACAUAAAAUUUAAAUCACAUAAAUAACAUAAUUUAUAUUCAAUAUUCAUUAAAAAUGUAAAUAUAUAUUUGGAAAAGAAAAAGAGUAAAUGAUAAAAUAAAGUGAGAAAAAUAGAAAUGAAAGAAAAUAAAAAUUAGAGAAAAGUAAAUAGCAUAAAAUGAGAAGAAAUUAUAAAAAAGAAAAAAGAAAAAGGAGAAAAACAAUAGAAAAGAAAAUUAUAGAGAAGAAAAAAAGAAUGAAAGAAGAGGGAAAGGAUUAUUAGAGAAGUGAGAGAAAAUAAAAUAAAUAAUUAGAGAAUAAAAUAAAUAAAGAGAAAAUAAUAGAAAAUAAUGAGUUGCAAAACUCACCCAUCUUUUCUUAUUAAAUUUUAUAAUUUUGCUAUCAUUUUCAUAUAAAUAAUUAAUUUUUAUUUGAAAUUUGAUUUUGAACGGAUUUUAAGGGAAAAUUAAGAAAAAAAAUGAAAAGAGGCUGAAUUGGAAGAUUUUCGGAUGAGAAUGUUACAACCUUGGAUAAACUUGUAGUCUAAGGCGAUGGAUAGCUCCACUUCACUCCGAUUAGUAAAUAGCAUAAAAUGAGAAAAAAUUAUACACAGAAAGAAAAAGGAGCAAAACAAUAGAAAAGAAAAUUACAGGAAAAAAAAAAAGAUGAAAGAAGAGAGAAAGGAUGAUUAGAGAAGUUUGAGAAAAACAAACAAAUAAUUAGAGAAGGAAAUAAAUGAAGAGAAAAUAAUAGAAAAUGAUAGUGGCAAAACUCACUUCCUUAUUAAAUUUCAUGAUUUUAUUAUAAUUUUAAUAUAAAUAAUUAAUUUUUACUUAAAUUUGAUUUUAGACAGAUUUUUAAGCAGAGGUUAAGAAAAGAAAUGAAAAGAGGCUGAAUUGAAAGAUUUUUAUUGGAAAUGUUACAACCUUGAACAAGCUUGUAAUAUAAAGCGAUGGACAACUUUAGAUUUUAAAAAUUUUCACUUCAGCCUGAUUUUUCCACUUAAAAUGAUAAGAUCAGUUUCAAAUUGGAUAAAAACUAAUCAGAUUAGAAUAGGAGUGAGAUAGGAGGAGUAGAAUUUAUUUUAAAUUAUUAAAUUUUAUCUUUUUAUUGAAGAAAAAAUCUAUAUAAAGUCUUUCCAAAAAUUAAAGCUACAUCAUAUUCUUAUCUUCUCUCCCUCCUCUUCUCUCUAAGCUGCCCCUCUUCUUCUCCUUCUUUUUUCUUUUUCUUUUUAUUUAGAUUUUUACAACUUUAUUAUAAUAUUUAAGGGCUAAAUACUCUCUUUUCAGUCGAAGGUUAAUCCAAAUUGAAGUUCUAUUUAAGUUGUGAGAUUAUAUACUUCUAUUCUUUUCAUCUUAUUUCUAUUUUCUAUUAAUUUCGAAUUUCGAGAAACACCACCUCCAUUUUUGUCUUUUUAAAAAUUCAAGAAGCCUAUUGAAUCUCUUGAAUAACAUAUUACUAAUUAAACUAAUUAAAUCCGUAAUUGUUUAAUUGAAUUAAUUAUAAGUACUAAUUAACAUAUUAAUUUAUGUUAAGAAAUUAAUAGAUUUAAUUUAAAUAAAUAGUGUAUUUUUAUUGAUCAAGUAGUUCUUUCCUUUAAAUGCAGUUACUAUUAUAUGCUAAAUAUGCACGUGACAAAUUUUUCCUAGAAGAUUCUGGAAAUUCUAUUCUAGCAGGUAAAGAUGAAACUUUUGUUUAUGUUUCCUCUUCGUCAUAUUGCUUGCUCAAGCUUAUAGAUACAUGAUCAAUUCUCCAACUGCAGUUCUAUGUCUUCAAGGUAUGUAAAGCUAGAUGUUUAUUUCUUCGGUGUAAUUCUUUUGGAGAUAAUUACUGGGAAAUUACCUGUUAGUGAUAUUAGUUCCUAUGAUUCCUUCAACUUAAUUGAAUGGGUACGUAUUAAUUUUUCUCUUUUAAUACAAAUUAAAAGAGCUUCUUCAUUUGAGUAUGUAAGGAUUUAUUUAUUUAUUUUUCUUAACGUUCAGGCUGUUCCUGCAAUUCAAAAUGAUUGGCCCAAAGGCAACUAUAAGUUUGUUGAUGAAAAAUUGGGGAGCAACUUUGACGAGGAUGAAAUGGAUCGAAUGAUAGAAUGUGCUUUAGCAUGUGUAGAGCGUUAUCCACAAAAUCGACCAGAAAUGAGUAAGGUAAUUUCAUAAAGCUUUGUAUUCUAUUUUAUAUUAUGCAUAUAUACAUGUGAGUUUUAAAUGAUUCAGCAUUGUGUUAUAUUUUAGUAUUUAGAUAUCAGUAUUUCCAUCACUGCUCAUAAAAUUAUUAUUUUAAAACUAUUAAGAUAACAAUUUAAAAUUGCUAUAAAGAAAAUUUAUUGUAUAUUCAUUAAAAUCAUAAUUUUAAUUCUAUUUUUUAUUCAUUAUGAAAAAAUAAUUAAACCGUUAUUUUAUUAAUUUAUAAUUACAGUUAAAAAUAUAAGAUAAUAAUUUAUAAUUAUCGGCUUAAAUUUAUUUUUAUAAUAAUUAUUAUGAUAAACUAAUAACAUUCCUGUGUUGUAAUCAUACUCUAAUUUGGGGAAGAAAAAAAACUCAAUUGCUAAAAGUUAAAUUUUUUAAGAAUUAUUAAUGAAGUUAGUUUAUUCCAUUUCUUGGCAGAUCCAGUACUUUUUUUUCCUUUUUCUAAUUACUUUUCUCGGCAAAGCAGGUUGUUGAAGUUCUAGCAGGAAACAUUCCUCGGAAAAAUCUCAAGAAUUGAGAUGAAAUGUUUGAAAAGGAAAAUUAUUUUUUUCCUUUUCACUAGAAGUUGGAAACUUCCUUGAAAGGCCGAUUGGACAUUGAAAUAAAAGAUAGACUUCAGUUGAAGUGGCAAAAGGAGUGUAACUGGAAGACUUUCUGAAUUUUGCUUGUAUUGAUCUGUCUUGGAGACUAUUGCAACUAAAAAAAAAAGUUCCGUUUGAAAUAAAUCGAAUGUAAAAAAGUGAUUUAACUUAGAGUAAUUUUUUUAAUUAACUCUUUUUAGUUAAUAAAAUUAAAAUUUUAGUUAUUAUGUUUCUAAAUAUACAAAUUAAAUUAAAUUCUUAUAAAUUUUUAGUUUUCAAACAGGAAAAUAAAAGGUUUUGGAAGGUUUGAAUCCAAAUAAGAACCUUGAGAGAAUUAUAUCACAGCCAAAUUGCUGGACUAUCUACAGUAGCAUUUCUUUUUCAAAAACAAUUGAAAAUGAGGUUACUUCUUAUUUUAUUAAUUAAAAUUUUUAAAAAAAAAUUUUAAAGGAAAUCGAAAUUUGGAUACAUUUAUCAUCGGACGAAAUUUAUAAGUGUAAUAUUUAUUAUGUUUUAAUUAUAAUUUAAGAAUUUAAUAAGCUAAUAAAAUGUAAUUGUAUAUUUAACAUUAUUUUAAUCUUUAAGUCAAAAUCAAUAAUUCAACUCCAACCAUAGGUUAUGGCACUAAUCAAGUAACAGAGAAAAAUAUUUUUAAAGGGAAAUACUUAUUUUUAAUAAAACUAAUUAACUCAGAGUUAGCUUCUUUUAUCAGUUUAUAUGAAUUUUAUUAUAUUAAUAAUAAAAAUAUAUUUGUUAAAUAUGACCAAAAUUUUAAAAAUGACCCUCUUUUAAAUUCCAAUAUUAAUUUAAUUCCAAUAAACUUAUCAUAUUUCUCCUUAUUAUCCAUAAUAAACAAUGACCAAGAUUUUAAAAUGACCCUCUCUAAUUUAAUUCUAACAUUAAAAAUGACCAAAUUUAUUAUCUAUAUUAAACAAUGACCCAGCUUUUUAAAAAUGAUCCUUUGUAGUUUCUUCAUUUAUUAAUAUGCAAGUGGGACAUAAAAAAAUCAUUACUUAAUUAAUUUAGUACGUCCUAUUUUAUAAUACACUGACGAAUCUGAAAGCUGAUUGGCCCCCACAAAUGGAUUAAUUAAUAAUUCAACCUUCUUAAUUAAUGCCGCCUUCAUUGACAGCCUGGGUACUGUUCUGAAACUAACAAUAUAGUAAUCUUACUAUUGCACCGACUCUGCAUAAUUUGUAUUUUUUUAGUACUCCCUACUUUCAAACUUUAAUUUUCGCUAUCGCUGUUUAUUUGAUGAAUUAAAUUUUAAAUUAAAUCGAUUUGAAUAAAUUAAAAAUUUAAAUUUAAAUAUUUAUAAAAAUAAAAUUAAAUUAAUUUUAAUUAAAAAUUAAAUUGAAUUGAAUCGUUGUGAUUUAAUUUGAUUCGAUUUAAUUGAUUUAAAUUUUUAAUAAAUUUUUUAUUUUUUAUAUUUUAUUUUUAAUAUUUUAAAAUUUAAUUAAAAUAUUUUAAUUUUAAUAUAAUCUAAUAUCUUUAUAUUAUUAAACAUAAUAUACUAUUAUCAUUAAUCAAUUCAGUUUGAUUUUUUUAUUUUUUCUGAUCAAAAUUAAAAUAAUUAAAAAUUUUAAAAUUAAAAAUCAAAACAAAUUGAAAUAAAUAAAAAAUUAAAUUAAAUUUUUAAAUUAAUUUAAUUUAAUUAAUUUUUUUAAUUUAAACCGAAUAUUACUCAAUCUAAUUUUUCUCAUUUGCUAUCAAAAUUAAAUAAGAUAUUUUCUUAUUAAAAAAAUAUUAUACACAUGUAAAACAUAUAGGUUAAAUAUAUAUUUUUACAUAUUUAUAUUUUAAUAAGAAAAUUGGCCAACCAGAUCGAUUGGCCAACCAGAAUGAAGAUUGCUUUGGGUAUAGCAGAAGGAUUGGCAUAUUUGCAUGAAGAAUGUGAGGUUUUAACUUAUUUAGUUUUUUUUUUUCCCAAGUUUUCUAUAUUGCAUUUUAUACUUUUUAAUUUUAUGCAUUUUUAGGUAAACCAGGAAUCAUUCACCGAAAUAUUAAAAUUGAUAAUAUUAUUCUCGAUGAUGAAUUUAAUUCUAAGGUAUGAUAAUAUACUCACAGAAGAGAUUUAUAAAAAAUAAUUCAACAGCUAAACAUUUUAUAAUUAAUAUUAAAAAUGUAAAUAAAGUUUACAUUUAUAACUAUUAACUGUUUUAAUUAAUUACAAGUAAUUUUAAUUAUAAAUAAGUGGCCUUUCAAAAUCUUGAUUUAAAAUACCUUCUGUUUAGAAUUAAAAAAAACUUGUAAGAUUCAUAUCAACUUUGAAUUUAAAUUUAACUUAUUAGUUAUAAAUUAAUUUGAAUGACACAAUAAAUUACUUCUAUCAACUUUUUUCUUUUCAGAUUAGAAAUUUUGGAAUUUCCAAAGAAUUUGCGGAUUCAAAAACUCACGUUUCCACUAUCCCAAUGGGAACUCCAGAGUAAGAUUCGUUCUUAUUUGUUUGCUAAAUUUUCUUUCUCAAAGAAAAUUGGUUGAAUUAGUAGUUCUCAUUUGAUAAACACUUUCUUUAAGUGCAGUUAUCUCGCUCCUGAGCAUUACACCCAAGAUGAUCAAAAUAAGAAGCUCACCGAUAAGUCUGAUGUAUUUUCCUUUGGUGUCGUACUUCUAGAGCUGAUUACGGGAAAAUUAGCUGCUUUUGAGAAGGAACGCAGGGAAUAUAUUUUCUUAACUAUUUGGGUACUUAAAAAUAAAGAAUUUGAUAUUUUGUAUAUUCAAUAUUCAAGGGUUUUUUAUUUUUUAUUAUUUUUUCCCUGAUGGAAUGCUUAACUGACCUUUGUACAUCUAUUUUGAUUAUUCACAGGCCGUGCCUCUAUUGAAACAAAUUUUGGAUGCAGACUAUCAAGAUUUGGAUGCUGAAAAUUGUAAAGAAAUUUUUGAUUCCAAAUUACCGAACAAUUUUGAGAAAAAUGAUAUGAAAAAGCUUAUUUAUUCUGCUGCUUCUUGUGUAUAUAAACCUGCAAAGUUACGCCCACAUAUGUGCGAGGUAAAUUCACAAAACCAAACCAGUUAUUUUUGGAUUAUGCUUUGCACGUGAUUAUCAGUAAAAAUAUAUGAAAUAUAAUUUAAAAAAUACGUAAAAAUUAUUUGAUAAUUUUGCAUAUGUUAUUAAAAAUUGGGAGGGUGACUGCAUGUGAUUUUUUGAUGCAGAGAGUUAAAGUACUAAAUGGAGAUAUGGAACCCAAAACUAUAUGGGUGAGAAGUGAUUGCAAGUACCUAUACAAUGGGUCACCUUACGCUCCAUUUCCUCAAGCUCAGGGAACCUCCAGCUCUUGAUUUCUAUCCAAUACAUGAAUUAACCUCCGCCUUGUAAUAAAAAAGUACGUGUUCUUGCUAAAUGCACGUGCUUUUCUAAGGGAUCAAUUAGUUAAUAAGAAUGUGUUCCUUGCUGUUUUUUUUUAAAUAUUAAUAAUGAUUGAUAUUGAAUAAUUUUUUCAUGUAUAUAUAUAUAUAUAUAUAUAUAUUGGCAGAAUAUAUAAUAUCCAUUAAGUAUUAUUUUAAAACAAAGAGAUAAUAAUUUUGACCAAACUGUCAAUUGCUUGAUCCCAUAAGAAGUAUUUCUGCAAAAAGAUUAAAGUAUAUGAGUAGUUAGUAAUUACACAUUUCAUAUUAUAGGUCAAAAUGCUUAAAGAAUUAUGUUUCACCUUGAAUUCCUGCCAAUAAAACUCCUUAGUGUCAUUUGGCACUGUCUUCCAACAGUGCCCUUCUGCGACCAAUCUUUCUUUUAUUAUCAGAGUAAUCCUGCGACUGUACAUCUCCAACGGAUGUAAACUACAUGAACAAUGGUGAGUUAGUAUAGGGUAACAUUGAAAUUAAUCGUAAUUAAGAAAUAAUUAAAUAUUACUUGUUAUUAAUGAGUGAAAUGGUCUAUUGGAAUGACUGUGUGCCGCCUACAGCAGUGGUCGAACCAGCUGAUGCUGGAGCAAAUGCUGGAGCAGAUGAUGAAGUAGAUGCUAAUGCAGAUCCUGAUAACUGAGAGUGAGUUUAGCAUCCAGGCCAUAAUUCUUGUUUAGAUGCAUUUAACAUAUCAUACAGUUUCUGUGCAGCAGAGUUUGACAUCUCAUAUGUAUCAUUAUUUAUUGCAUGAUAGCUUGUUGCAUCCAUGACCAUGUCGUCUAACCAAUUGAAAUUUGGGUGAUUAACACUAUCAGAAAUAUAAGACGUGUCUAAUAGUGCAUCACCAGAUCCGUCAUGCACUUCAGUUUCACCGUGCAAAUACCAAACAAGAUAAUUUUGCACAAAACUAUACUUCAUUAAAUGAUAUUUUACUGUAUUUUCAUCUUGAAAACUACAGUUCUGACACUUAAAUCGAUUGCAAGGGCAGUGAAUCUGAUCACCAUUUAAAUAAUAUGGGCAGUUCUUAGCCUUUUCUAUAAAUUCAUUGAUCCCCUCUAAAUAUCUGGGAUUAAAUAAAUCAUCUCUAAGACAGGCAUACAUCCAACUUCUUUUAGCAGUCAUAUUAACUACAAUAACGAUGUUGAUAUGAAAACAUAAAACUUAUAAACCCUAUCUUCAAACGAAGCCUGAAAAGUAACAAUUAAAUUAUGUAUUAUAUCUAAAAUAUGCAGUAAUUAUAUCAAUUUUCCUUGAGAGGAUAAUUGAUGCAAAAAAUGGAAUAAUAAUACAAAAAUCUGAAUUACAUGAUAAUUAAUUACUAAUAUCUUCAUAAUCACGCGUUUAAUUAAUUAUUAGGUCUGUAAAUUUAUUAAGUGCGCCAAAUUAUUUUAGAGAAGUGCACCUGUAGGUGCACUGGAAAGAAAUCACAAAUUUCAAGAAAUCACAAAUUUCACAAAAAUCAAAAAUUUUAAAAAUAUAAAACAUUUCACAAAAAUUUCACAAGACUGGAAUACAUGAUUAAGACAGAACAUGAAUCAGGUCAAACAUGAAUAAAAAAUCAAUCGGAACAUGAAUCAGGAAGAAAAUAGCGCACCUGUGGACACUGUCUGUCUAGAAUGGCAAGACUGGAGAGAGAGAGAAGGGUUCACUCGUGGACCAUGAUGCCGAGAAAGGGUGCACCUGUAGACGGUGGAUGGCAGGCGGUGGUGAAAGACCCAGAGGUUGGACGCAAAUUCGAAUUUCAGAGAGAUUUUAAUUUUUCAAACAUACGAUUUAGGGAUUUCAGUUAGGAUAUUGUGUAUUUGGGUUUAUAAUUCACUAACGGAUGAUUAGUCUGUUAGUGAAAAAAACAUUAGAUUAAAAAAUAAUAAAAUCACUUACGGAUUUCUAACAGAAAAAAUGUCCGUUAGUAUUUCACUAACGGACUUGUGACAGAUGGUUACGAACGUAUUCUUCACUAAUGAAAAUACUAACGGUUAUGUACUUCCGUUAGUAGAUAAUAAGUUUUCAAUGUUCCGUUAGAGAUAACCGUUAGUAUCAUUAACGGAUUUCAAUCUAUUAGUGAAGUCGGUUAGUGAUCAAUUGAAUUUUUGUAGUGUUUUGAAUACAAAAAUUUUAUAUUUUUUUUCACGACUCCAAUCGUGACUUAGCUGAAAAUUUUCGUAUUGCGUGUAAUACCCAUUAAAAUUAAUCCAAAUAACUUUUAAAUCUAUUUUUUAUUAGACCUAAAAUGAUUAACCCUAUUUAUUUAUUUAUUCAGUGCUUACUAUUAUAUAUAUAUUCUCAUUAUCCCUGUUAUAUAUUUUACCCAUGUGGGAUUGAAAUCUCAACUAAGGAGUAGGCACCACACUAUGAGCCAAAUUUGAUAAAAAAAAAAAAAGUGAAUAUGUGUUGAGAUAGGGUUUAAAUAUAAAUAGCCUUUCAACCAAUUUCAAUAUAAUUAAUCAAGUAAAUUAAAUAUUUUUAAAAAAUAAAAUAAAUGUGUAAUUAUCAAAUAUAUGUAAGGUAUAUAUGGAUAGCUAAAUGUUUUUCCUCUUCCCACGUUUAUUUAUACUAUAUUUUUUAACGUGCCUCUACACUUUUUAAACUCGUUCUGCAUAUUAUUUAUUCAUUUAAAUAGCCAAUUAAAUUUGAUAUUCUAUUAUUAUAAUAUUAAAUUCUUAUAACUAUAAUUUAUAUCUAACUAUAAUUAGAUAGAAAAAUUAUAAUAUAAUAAAAUAAAAAAGGUAUAUUAUUUUAGUUAAUUUUAUUAUUACAAAUAAAAUAUUAAAAAUUUGCAAGUAAAACAUGAAUUUAUUAUUCUUAUUCCUAGGGUCAACCGUCAACGUUAUAUUUUUUUUAAAGGAGAAUCCAAGACUGAACGCUAAAAUUUCCUACAGCUUUCUCUCAUUUCUAUGAUCUAAAUUUAUUAUAAUUAUAAGCAAAAUUCCGUAAAAAAAAUAGAAAGGUGAAAUUGUUAAAAAAGACACAUGAUUUUAUUUGAUAAUGAUAUAUUAUUUUGUAUUUUAAUUGGCUGAAAAAUAUAAAAAUUUAUUAUUGUUUAAAUAAUAAUUUCUUAUUUCAAUUUAAAUUCUAUAAUUUUACAAAGAAUAUAAUAUCACAAAUAAAAUUUUUGAUAUUUUAAAAGCUUGAAUAUUUAUUUAAGAAUUAUCAUAAUCUUUGUUGUGAAAAGAAAAACAUUUUAUUGUAUGAUUUAAUUAAUUUAUAUAUUUUAAUUUUUUUUUGAAAUUUUUCAAAAUAUUUUUUAUAUACAAUCAUUUUUUUUAUCUAAAAUAAAUGGAUCUUUAAUAUUGGUAAAUACGAUAUAAAAUGUGGUAGGACGUAAUAGAUUCAGAAAUUUGAUUAAAAUCCUGCUUUGUUCUUUUUAAGUGAAAGAAUAUUGAGAAAUUUGAUUACUAUAAAAUAAAUUUAAAUAACUUUUUAUAAAAUUAUUUAUGAUUUUAUUUUUAUAUAUAAUAAAAAAAUUUAAAAUUAAAAAAUUUUGAAUUCUUUUAUUUUAAAUAAAAUUUUAUAAAAAUAACUUCAAUUAAAUUAAAUUUUUAUAAAAUUUUUAAUUUCAAAAUGGAAGGUUAAAGUAUUUUAUUAGAAUUCAAAGUCUUGUGGUCCAGGUCUUUUAUUAUUCUUAUUAUUAUUUUUUUGUUCUGUUUUAUUAGAAAAUGUUAAUUCUAGAAGGCUGAAUAAUCAACGAUUGGACAUGCUUCCAUCUCAUUGGAUAGAUAGUCACCUUACGAUCCCAGCUCCAUAAUAAGGGGAGAUAUUUUAUCAUAGGACACGGCUUCAAAGCUCAAUAUCUUUCACACUUGUAAAUUAGUGCUUUUUUAGAUUUUAGUUUUUUAAUCUUACCAUGAAUUUUUAUUGUGCUUAUUUAACUGCAGCUAUGUAGCUACGUAUAUCCAUUCGCAAUAUUUCUAAUAAAUCAGAUUUUAUUUAUUUGAUAUUAUAUUUUUUAAAUUAAUUACCGAAAGAAUGUUCAUAGAAAAUGGUGUUGAUAUUGGAAAUUAGAUAUGUAAUAUACAUGUAGCAUACUCUAAAAAUUUAUGAUACUUAAUUAUAUAAGUAAAAGAUUUUUUUCUAUUAAUGCUAAAAAGGUAAAAAAAUAUAUAUAUUUAGUAUCUAAAAAGUAAAAUAAAUAUUCACAUACAACUUCUAUUUAUAUUAAUACAUUUGAAAUUCUAGUCUAAACUCAACUUAAUAAAAAUAUAUAUUUUUUAUUAAAUAUCUUACAGACAAAAUCUCGAAUUAAAAAAAUUUUGAUCGAAUAAAUUGUAGCUUUUGUAAAUUCUACAUUGAGGUUUGAUCACAAAACAAUAUAUUGAAUGAUUUUCUAUAUUGAUGCUUGUAUAAGUAACCCUUUAAAUUUUCGCCUAUCAGUAAAGAAAAAAAAAAUUUAUUCAUGUAUUGUAUUAAUAAUUAGUAAUAUAUAAAAUAAUUUCAUGGUUAUUAUGUCAUAUGGAUACUUCUAGCUUUCGAAGAAAUUUUAUAUUCUGGUGAAUUAUGUCACAAAAAGGUGUAGAUUAUAACUGUUUAGUUUUAACUUUAUUUCAGAAAUCUCACCAAUUUUAAUUUUUUAAAAAUUAAAAAAUUAUUAUAUCUGAAAUAAUUGUAAAAAAAAAUAAAAUAAUUUAUUUAUAAAAUAUACUGCAGAUGUAAAAAUAUGAUUAAUUUUAUUUUAAAAAAAUAAAAAUAAAAAUAAUUAAAUUAAUAUAUUACAUUCUUAAUAAUAAUAAAAAUAUAAAAAAAUUUAAUUAGUAUUAUAUUCAAAUCAAAUACAAAAAUUAAGAAAGAGAAUAUAAAAUUAGAAUUAAGAUGUAUAAUUGGAUACAAGAUAAUUAUUUAUUAAUUAAUUUAUAAAAAAUUAUAUAAAAUAUCCAAACCAAUCCAAUUGGUUGGUUUAAAUUAGGUUGGAUUUUGUGAUUCGACCUGAAGACUAAUAGCAACAAAUAAUUUUAAAAUUAAUUAAUUAAUGAAUGAAACGUCAUCAUUGAUUCUGAAAGAUGGAAAAGUUUAUCUUUCAAUUCAAAUUAAUUAUCCAUUGAUAGAGUCAUUAUCAUGAGUGUAGACAUUCAUAUACUGUAUGAGAGAUCAACCUCAUCUUCUCCGUUGUCUUAAAAAAUAAUUUAUUAAAAAACACCAACUUAAUUGUUAAUUUAUAUAACUUUUAUAUUUUAAAUAUUCUUUUGAUUAAAACAAAAAUAACAUUUUUUAAAUUAAAUUUAUACUAAAAAUUCAUAUAUAUUUAAUAUAUAAAUAUGAUAUAAUUCAAUAUUUAUUCAAAUUAUAAUAUACGGUGAUAAUUUUUUUUAAUCUAAAUGAUAAUAUGUUCGUAAUUAGAAAAUUCGAAUAUUCAGAUUUAAGUGUUCUCACGAUGUUUACCAAAAUAUUUGAUUUUACGAUGGCAAAGUCUCCUUGAGGCUUAUUUCUCACCGGUAAGGAUUAUUAUAAAUCAACCAUCAAAAAGUUUUUUUUUCAAAGAUUUUGAAUUACAAUAAAAAUUAUUAUAAGAAUUUAAACCAAAAAAAUGAAAAUUUUGAAAUUUAUACACUCAACAAUUAAUUAAAUUAAUAAAAUUUAGAUUAAAUUACUUUGAAUUUUUUAAAAAAUUUUAAAUUAUCUAUCUAAUAAAAUUAUUAUUUUUUAUUAAUAGUCAAAUAGAAUUUAACUAAAAUUAUCUAUUAAAAUAAUAUCAUCAAUAAAACUACAAGAAUAUUUAAAUAAUAUAAUACAAUAAUUAUUUUAAAUAUUUUGUUUAACUUUUUAAGCAUUUAGAUGAUAUUAAAAUUAGAAUAUUUUUUAAAAUUAAAACAAUCUCUUUUGAAUAUUAUUUUAAACUCAUCAAAAAAAUUAAAAUAAUCUCAUUAAUAAAACUAUAAAAAUAUUUAAGUAAAUUUAAAGUAUUCCGUUGCAUUCAUAUAUAUAUAUAUAGUUUUUAUAAAUGUCCUCAAAAUUUUCAAGGUAAACAUGCUUAACGAAUUUUUAUAUUUUGAAAAUAUUGCACCAUUGUUUUAUAAGUUUAAUUAUUAUUAAUUAAAUAUAUGCUUUUCAUAUAUAAUUAAUCAAUUUGGGAUGUGAUACCAUAGACGAAUUUUGCGCAACAUUCUCCACUUGAAUUUCUUUCGAUAAAAUUACCGCUAUUCCUUUUUUUUCCAUCAUAUACUAAAGUGGUUGUACAUGUAGGAUUGUCUGCAUGCUACAAUAACUCAAUAAAAAAUUAAUAAUUAUAUAAAUAUAGCAUAAUAAUAGAUGAAUAAAUAAUAUUUAAAAGUUUGUAGUCCACCAGAGUCUAAUACACAAGCCUAUCCUUUAACAUGCUACUCAAACUAUGCUCGGAUAGGCCGAGCAGAACGAGACUUGAGCCCAACGGAGAAGGAUCCAGCUCACCUUAUUUGAUGGGUCCGUGAAAAAUAGACCCCUUCACAUCUAGAACCAUGUCAGCAUGGACGCCGGAGGGAAUUAAUUAGCUACCUGACGAUGGAGAAAAAGGGUAGUACGUCCAUACAUACAGUUUUGUAUGAUUGCAGCAUGUGACACUGUAGUAAGGUGACAGUUAUACGUCAUUAAAGGAUAAAAAGAAAAAAAGAAUAAAGGAAAAAGACGUGAACUAUUCAGACUAAACUUACAUACACAUACCCAAAACUCUACCCUCUUCUAGAUCUCAUAUCAUAACUGGCGUCGUCUGUGGGAACGGAGGAGAUCUUUUCAUCACUAGAGUUCUCAUCUUGGUUACACUCACUGAGAUUCACAUGGUGAAUCAUGAUAAAAAUCACUUUGGAAAUACCCCAAAUGACCUAAGUUCCACCUAUGAAAGUCAACAGUUUUCAUUCUCCAAUUCUACGGCCUCAUCAAACCAAUCACCUGCAUUGUUUCACCCCUCGCUGAACUCGGCAGGAAACAUGUCUAGAACCACUCUUUCUGACCAAGAACUACAAAAUAUGGCUAUCCAACUACAGAAUACAGCUCACUGGCUGGAGCAAAUAUUACAGCAAAGGGGACUCAACACCCUAUUAAGUGUACCACCUAUAGCCGAGGGCUUCAACGUUAAUGAGUUCCAGCCUACCUUGAAUCACCAAGUCCCUCAGCAAAGCAGUAGGAGGAUAAGCGAAGGAGGCGAAGAGGCUUGCAGAAGAAAUGAGUCAACAGCUAGAACAAGGGCCUGAAUGAUUAGGGAGCUCAUCGAAAACGACGAAGUCAAGAGCUAUUCCUCCAAGAAGAUAGGAGGAUCGAAAAGUGAAGAGUUGGAAAGAGGCUACCGCUUGGAGAAACGGCCGAGAAGGGAAGAGGUGGAUGUGGACUAAAAGCUGGAAAGGUUGAGGAAGCAACUCUUGCCAGAACUGGGGGCACGAGAUAACAAUAACCCCCUGAUACCUAUCUCAUUACCGUUCGCGAGAUGGGUACAACAGGAGACUACUGCUAAGAAAUUCAUGAUGCCGCCGAUGACUGCAUCCGAUGGCAUGGGAAACCCCCGAGAAUAUGUCCUAAACUACAAAAUGUUUAUGGAGCUCUAGACCCAUUCUGAUGCUCUAAUGUGCAAGGUCUUUUCUACCACCCUCACCGAACCAGCCCGGACAUGGUUCAACAACUUAGAAGUAGUGGGCAUUAAGAGCUUCAUGGACCUGGCAAGUGUAUUCAUUAGCAGGUUCAUUGUAGGGGGUCCCGGCGGAAAGAAAAAUGAGCUACUUAAAGAUAAUCGGACAAAGGAGGAAUGAGUCUUUAAAGGAGUACAUAGCUAAAUUCAAUUUUAAGGCCCUACAGAUCCCUAAGCUUGAUGAGGCUAGAGAGGAUAGAGGCCAUGCAGAAAGGGACAACAUCCCAGGAGUUUUUUUGGCUCAUUAUGCAAAAAGCCACCCACUACCUUGGCCGAACUGAUGAAAAGGGUUAACAAAUACAUAAGGCAGGAUGAUGCCCUGACCACCAGUAGGUUUACCAGGGAAAUGGGAGAUAGGAGGAAAGUAGUAGAGGACAGACGACCUGAAAGGCAGGAGAGAAGACAGAAUUGGGGGCCCGAAGCAUUGAACAAGCACCAAUGGGAGAGGAAAGAGCAGAGGCUAUACCAACUCCUGAUUCCCGAGCUAAUCACUCUUGAAUGUGUCUAGGGCAGAGGUGCUUGUGGCUGUACAGGAUAAAGACUUUAUACAAUGGCCCAAGCCUAUGAAAGCCAAAGCCAGCCGAAGAGAUCCGAACAAGUACUGUCAAUACCACUGGACUUAUGGCCAUGACAACAAUGACUACUAUCAGCUGAUAAAUGAAAUAGAAAGGCUCAUUAAAAAGGGGCAUCUCAGGAACUUUGUGAAGAAACCAGAGGGACAGAGACCUCAGCAAAAUGCAAUGGCAUAGAGGCCUCACAGGCAGAUAAGAGGACUUGUGAAUGAUGACUCCAGUGGGAUGAUCAACAUGAUUGUGGGAGAAUCUGAGAUAAGAAUGAGAAGGAGGAGAAAGAAGAGGACCAGGAGUGGAGAAGGAAGUAGUGCCGAAAUCAUGUAGAUAGUGGAACAGUACCCUGUGACCAUCUCUUUCUCUCCAGAAGACGCCCAUGGAAUCCAAAUGUCUCAUGACGAUGCCCUGGUUAUUGAGGCCGUCAUUCACAACUUUCAGAUCCGCAAAGUCUUGGUGGACGAUGGGAGUAAGGUGAAUCUGCUACUUUACCGGGUCUUUCAAUAAAUGAACGUACCUGAAGUACAACUGGUCAGGGAUCAGGCCCCGGUUAAGGGGAUAGGUGGAACCCUCGUGGCAGUAAAAGGGAAAGUGAAAGUAGCCUUGAUGCUAGGAGAGCCACCCCUGUCCCGCACCCACUAUGCAUUAUUCCUUGUGGUGAAGCUGCCUCUGAACUAUAGCGCUAUUUUGGGAAGGCCGAUACUAUACGACUUCAAGGUUGUGACCAGUAUCCGGUACCUAACCAUGAAAUUCCCCACGGAGUUAGGGGUGGGCAUAGUGCGGGGAAGGCAGGAGGAGGCUUGAGCUGUAUAUUUGGCCACUAUGGAAGAACCGAGCACCCUGCCAGAAGAAAUAAACCAGGAGGUCAUGGAGGUCCAAAAUGAGAAAAAGGAAACCGGGAUAGAGCCAGUUGAUAAGCUGGAGACAUUCCCACUAUUUGAGGAGGAAAGCGACAAAGUCUUCAGUAUUAAGAGAACCUUGGAAAAGACUAAAAAGAGAUAGCAAUGACUCUUAUCGGAGGGCAUGCCUCAGGAUUUGCCUGGAGGCUUUCAGACAUGUCGGGGAUAGACCCUGAGGUGAUGAUGCACAAAUUGAAUGUCCUUCCUGAAGCCAAACUAAUAAAAUAGAGGAAAAGAGUGUUUGGGAAGGAGAAGCAACAAGCUACAAGAGAAGAAGUGCAAAAACUGGAAGAGGCAGGAUUUAUUAGGGAAGUCAUAUACCCAUAGUAGUUAGCCAACCCUGUGCUAGUCAAAAAGGCCAAUGGAAGUAUAGAAUGUGUAUAGACUUUACCGACCUAAAUCAGGCUUACCCAAAAGAUUGUUAUUCCCUUCUCGAUAUUAAUAAAAUGAUCAAUUCUAUGGCCAAUUUUGAUUAUUUGUCAUCCUUAGAUGAAAUAUCAGGUAUCACCAAAUUCCUAUGGACAGGUCGGAUGAAAAAAAUACGUCCUUCAUAACUGAAGAUGGGACAUAUUGUUACAAGGCUAUGCCGUUCAGACUAAAAAAUGUCGGGGCAACAUACCAACUAUUAGUGAAUAAAAUCUUCAAGGAUUAGGUAGGGAGAAAUGUGGAAGUAUACGUAAAUGACAUGGUAGUAAAAAGCCAAACCUUUCAACAACACCUAGCCAACCUGGAAGAGAUAUUCAGGAUACUGCAGCAGUACAAAAUGAGAUUGUACCCAACAAAGUGUGUAUUCUUUAUCAGGGGAGGAAAUUUCUAUGCUACAUGGUCAGCAAAAAGGGCAUAGAGCCAAAUCCAGAAAAAGUAGAAGCCAUAUUAAGAAUGCUCAAACCGACCUGUGUGAGAGAUGUGUAGAAACUUACAGGAAAAGUGAUGGCGCUCAAUCAAUUCAUGUUGAAGUUAGCUGAAAGAUGUUUACCAUUCUUCAAGAAGUUGAGGAAAGUUUUGAACUUUGAACGGGCAGAAGACUACUAAGAAGCCUUUAGAAAUAUCAAGCAAUAUCUCAGUUCUUUGCAUGUACUUAGUAGCCCUUUAGUUGGGGAGGAAUUUCUGAUAUAUUUAGCCGCCUCUGAAUAAGCUGUAAGCGCAGUAUUGGUGAGGGAUGAAGGUGGGACGCAUAAUCUUAUUUUCUAUGUCAGUAAGUUGCUCAAGGAUGCCGAGGUCAGGUAUAUGAACAUUCAGAAAUUGUCGUUUGCCUUGUUGCUGGCGGUAAGGAAGUUCAGAGUAUACCUAGAAUGCCACCAAAGGAUAGUGAUGACUGACCAACCUUUAAAGAAAAUGUUACACAGACUUGAGACCUCGGGGUGGAUGCUAGCCUGGUCUGUUGAAAUUAGCCCAUAUUGCCUCAUUUAUCGACCUCGGGCUGCCAUCAAAGCCCAAGCCUUAGUUGCCUUCAUAAUUGAGUGCUCUUUUAGCUUAGACCAUCAGGAACAAAGUGAGAGGUUAUCGAGCUCAGCCAAAGAGAAGGAAGGGGACCAACAACCGUGUGAGCUCAAAUGGGACCUAUUCAUGGACGGAGCAUCCAGCGCUGUGGGCAGUGGGGCAGGGAUACUUUUGAAAGGACCAUAUGGAUUCAGGGUGUGCUGUGUUUUGCAUUUAGAGUUCCCAGCAUCCAAUAAUAUGGUAGAGAAUGAAGCCCUCAUGGGGGCAACCGACCUGAAAAUAAAUAGUGACUCCCAGCUUGUGAUCAACCAAAUAACAAGGGUAUACCAGGCAAAAGAUCUCGUCAUGCAAAAAUAUAUGGCCAAGUUCCAAGCUGUAGAGGUCGAGUUCGUUGAGCAGGGGAUUGUUAUACAGUAUCAAAGAAUGCCUCGAGAGGAAAAUGAAGAAUGUAAUACCCGGCUAGAAUCCGGCACCGGAAUGCCUAUUGUCAGGUGGAAUCCGGGGUGUUGGGAUUCUAUAUAAGGGGAGGAGUUAUGUUUUCUAAGUGUUAUGAUGUGUUUUCUGGGUUUACAGUGUGAUAGUUUUGAGUUGCAAUGAACCAAGGCAGAGGAGCCAAGUUCGGCCGCCGAAGAUAAGUUCGGCCGCCGAAAGUGCCCCAUGUUCGGCUUCCGAAGGUACGUUCGGCCCCCGAAUGUUGCAUGGUUUUGCAUGCGAUUCGGCAGCCGAAAUUGAGUUGGCCAGCCAGCUGUUGGGCAUCCUUAGUCAGCAUUUUGGACAGGUGUUAUCACCAGAUCAUGUCCAGAAGUUGGCCACGUCUCCUAUGCUUUAUGUGCUAAGUUUGAGCAGCUCAUGCAAGAGGUUGCUCGUUUACCAAGUUGUGAAGGUUUUGAAGCAAAAAGUGAGGUUGAGAGAGUUUGAGAGUGUGAGAAGAGUUGGUCCGUUUUCCCUUGUUCAGAGUGUUUAGCUUCUUGCUUCAGGAGGUAAGUGAUGCUCUUGACUAGGGUUUUAUGUUUUCUGAAGGUUUUAUGGGAGUUGGGGAGAGAGAGAUGCAUGUUUAGGGAGUUAAUGGGAGAUUUGAUGCUUUAUGCAUGUAUUCCUGAUUAUGUGUUAUGUUUGUUUUGUUGUUUGGGGUUGUUAGAUAGUUUUGGACCCCUGUGACCAUAUACAUGAGUAUAUGUGAGUGGAAUAGAGGAGGUAGGCAUGUUUGGAGAGAUUGAAGGGAAGGAGGAGAUGGUUUGCCGUGGAAGCUGAGUUCUGGAUGAACUCAGGUUCGGCAGCCGAAGGAUCAUUCGGCCGCCGAACCUCCUGCAUGGUGACUUGGUUGCCACAGCUUGCCCCCGAGUGUUUUUGCAUGUUCGGCUCUGUUUGGGGGAUUCGGCCGCCGAAGGUGCCGCCGAAGGUGCUUGAGUUUCAUCUCUGGAGAGGACAUUCGGCCGCCGAACCUGCCGCCGAAAGUGUUCUGUCCAGCUUUUCUUUUGCAUGCUUUGCAUGGCUAGUUAAGUGAGUUUCAGGGGAUUCUUGGGGAGUUUAAUAGAGGUAUUGAUAAGUUAGUUUGGUCCCUCAUUUGAGUCUAUCUGUAUAGGUACAGACCAGAGGAACCAGAGAGAGCAGCAGUGAGUACUGCUCCAGAGUUUCAGAGCCUGCAGAGUCAGUCAGUCCAGAUAGCCGGAGGUGAGUGGAACUAAACUUAUGACUUUUAAUUGAACCACAAACUGCUUUUAGCAUAUCUCAUGCAUCAUGUUUAUGCCAUAGGGUGAUUGCAUUAGUAUCCACGAAUAUGUUGCAUUGCAUUGUUAUUUGAUGAUGUGAGGAAAUGCUGAAUGAUCCAAUAGUCUCAGACAGGAAGUCCAGGAGCCUUUGACUACGCCCUGGCAGGUAUAGAGAAGUCCAGGAGCCUUUGACUACGCCCUGGCAGGUAUAUAGUAAAGUCCAGGAGCCUUUGACUACGCCCUGGCAAUGUUACAAAGAAGCAUACCUUCUCAGCAAGCUGUCCAAAGAAGAACUAGAACAACUCCCAGACAAAGUGUACAUACAACACAUUAAUGCCCCUACUUAUGAAAAAUCAGCCCCAAUCAUGCAGAUCGGAGAGGAAAGGAGCUGGAUGACUCCCUAUUUGGAGUACAUGGAGGCAGGAAAGUUACAUGAGGACAAAGCAGAAGCAAGAAAGAUUGUACCUAAGGCUGUAAAUUAUCAAACAGUAAGGGGGACCCUGUACAAAAGGGGAAAAUCUAGCCCGAGGCUAAGGUGUGUGGACCUGGAAGAGGCGGCCGAAAUUGUUAGGGAGAUACAUCGAGGAGUUUGUGGAGUCCACGAAAGAGCAACCACGUUGGCAAACAAAAUAUUCCGGCAAGGGUAUUACUGGCCCACAGUUAAGAAGGAAGCAGAAGAGUUUGUCAGAAGAUGUGAUGUAUGCCAAAGGUCUGCUAAUGUCAUUAACAGCUCGACCACGCCACAGUUAAGUAUAUCUAGCCCUUGACCAUUCACCCAGUGGGGGAUCGAUAUACUGGGUCCUUUUUCAAAGAUGGUGGAGAAGAAGAGGUUCGUGAUAGUGGCUGUGGAAUACUUCUUCAAGUGGCCAGAGGCAAAAGCUGUACCCAAUAUCACAGCUCGCAAGGUGAUAAACUUUGUCUGGGGCAACAUCAUAUGCCAAUUUGGGAUAUCGAGGAUGCUCAUAUCAGACAAUAGCAAGCAAUUUGACUGCAGAUCCUUCAAGGACUUCACAAAAAAUAUGGGCAUAUGGCACAAGUUUUCUUUGGUAGCCCACCCUCAAACAAAUGAUCAAACAGAAGUAACGAACCAGGGUAUCCUCCAAGGACUAAAAAAAUGGUUGGAUAGAGCUAAAAAGAAUUGGCCAGCCGAGCUAAACAAUAUCCUAUAGGCAUUUCGGACUACCCCUCAGAUGCCGACGAGAGAGACUCCGUUUGCAGUAGCAUUCGGGACUGAGGCUGUAUUUCCCAUAGAGCUGCAGAUCCCCUCUCACCGAGUUCAGUUCCAUGAUGAGAAUACCAAUGGAGAGAAAUUGAGGAGUAACUUGGAUGCCCUGAGGAAGUCAGAGAAGAGGCUCAAAUAAGAACAACUACUUAUCAAUAGAAGGCAGCACGAUACUACAAUCAGAAGGGUCGCAAGAGGAGCCUAAAGGUUGAAGACUUGGCCCUGAGAAGAUUAGACGCAACGAGAAAGAGAACACAUGUGGGAAAAUUGGUGCUAACCUGGGAAGGCCCCUUCAGGAUAGCUAAAGUCGUCAAGCCCGGGGUGCACCGAAUUGAAGACCUACAGGGGCACUCAGAGCCUCACGCGUGGAAUAUCCAGCACUUAAAUAGGUAUUUUGCAUAAGAAAGAGCAUAAUAUAAAACCAUGUCCUUUGAAAUAUGAAUAAAAAUUGUUGUUUCUCCUUUUCUAUUUAGCAUUCCUAAGAGCAGGUAGAGAAGACCCAAGUGAGGUGGAUGACCGGUCUCGGAAUAUGACCAUCGACACCAAAAAACCGGUUGAGGGGAAGAAGACCCCAGUGAGGUGGGUGACCGGUCUCGAAAUAUGACCAUCGGCACCAAAAAACUGGCUGAGGGGAAGAAGACUUUAGUGAGGUGGGUGACCGGUCUUGGAAUAUGACCACCGGCACCAAAUAACUGGCUGAGGGAAAGAAGACCCCCGUGAGAUGGGUGACCGGUCUCGGAAUAUGACCAUCAGUACCAAAAAACCGACUGAGGGGAAGAAGACUCCAGUGAGGUGGGUGACCGGCCUCGGAAUAUGACCACGACACUACAAAAUCGAUUGGAAAAAAAGAAGACCAACAUAAGAAAAACGACAUUAAACAAAGGCCAUGAGCCUCCCAAAGAAAAAUUGAGCAAUAAAUAGUCGACCUAAAAUAGAACUUUGGCUUAAUUAAGACCCAGCAAAUAAGGAAAAAUCGGAUCCCAAGAAAAGAUCUCAGAACACCCAGGAAUGAUGGAUAAAAAUUUGAUUUCGACCUCGCCUAAAGGAUCGGAACACAGAACCACGAAUCAUAAACUCAAAUCCGACCUCAUUGAGGGAUACAGAUUUCAAUAACAUCAGAAAGGCCUAAAUCCAAAUCAAUUAAAAGGCUCGAACUACAGGAAAAAGAGGUCCCAAUACCAUAAAAAUGAGCUCAGCCCACUUAAAGUCCUUAGGCAAAUAAAGGGUAAAUCAGGAAAAUCCAGCCGAACGAGCUCACAAGCUAAACAUGAGAAAAAAACCUAAGUAUAAUAUAACCGAGCUCACAGCCCUAACGAGCUCGUAGGCUAAACAUGCGAAAAAAGUCUAAGUAUAAUAUAACCGAGCUCAUAGGCUAAACAUGCAAAAAAAGUAAUGCAAACGAGCUUACAGCCUAAGUAAAGCUCACAAAGCUAAAUACAUAAAAAUAUCUUAAGUGCAUUAAAACAAGUAAGCCAACAAAUUGGCAAGGCUUGCAGGCCGUGUGUGCAGAAAUAGCUUAAGUAAAUGGGUUAAGCGAGCUGAGAGGCUUGGCCGUUGCUUAAGUACAAAAGGGUAUAAACAUAAAUAAACCAAGUUCAAAGGGGCCAUUAGCUCGGAAAAAAACGCAGAAACUACACAUCCCGAAAUUUUUUAAGUAGGCAAGCAAAACACACGUUAAAGUCAAAAUUUACGAGCUACCAGCCUAAUAAAAGUUCACAAGCGAUUCAUACAAAACAAUUUAAAUAUAAAGUGAUAAAUAAAAUAGACACGAAUAAGUCAAGGAAAAAUAUAAACUUUAUUGAUUAUUUGAAUGGGUUAUAGAGGUAGCAGAGGAGGGGGAACCAAAACUAACUAAGUCAUUUAAAGAUUUGUCCACAGCAUCCUCUCCCUCAGGUCUGGAGGGCAAGCGAGGAGCACCUUUGAGCAAAGGAUUGUCGUCCUCUCCAUAACGCACCUCUUCACCAUCAGAGUCCAUUUUUGGAGCUCGUAGGUCCGCCAAUGGAGUGGAGGGGGCAUCCCUAGUAGACUUCAAGCCCUGGUUAUAGCCUGAGGCAAAAAUUUGAAAAGCCUUCUUAUAUAUAGCCUCCUGCAUAGGCCUUAUACUCCUCUAGUUGUGCUUCGCAGGCAAGAUGAAUUAUAUCUUUAAGCUCCAAAGAGUUUUUAUACUAUUGUAGGCACUCCUCGCAAGCCCGCUGGACCCUAUCCCUUGCGGCUCAGGCAUCCUUCAACAAGGCAGAACAUCUCUUCUCCAGAGCAGUGACUUUUUGGUGGAGUUAUUGUUGCUGAAGGUGAGACUCCUCCGCUGCCAAGGCCAUGCCUUUCAGGUCCUCGAUGUGUUUAUUGAGCUCCUAUUGGAGGACUGCAACGCGAGCUAUGGCCUCAUCACGCUGGUCCCUAGCCUCAUCACGCAAGUUGACGACCGGACUCCUCUAAAGAGGACAACUAUGAUAAGGCAUCGUCUCAUUGAGACUCAGCUGCAGAAGCUCGGCGGGAAGCUGACGGGAAGCCCGGGCGGCCUCCUCUUUCAUAUUCCCCAGCUUGAGUAAGGUCCUUAAUGACUCCUUUCAGCUCGACAAUGUAAUACCCGGCUAGACUCCGGUAUCGGAAUUCCUACCGUCCGGUGGAAUUUCGAGUGUCGGAAAUCUCUAGAAGGGUAAAAUCAUGUUUUUAUGAAAUGUUUUAAUGUAUUUUAUGGUUUUAAGUAAAGAGAAAGUGAGUUUUUGCAUGAAAAUUUAUCUUGGAGGAAAACCCAGGUUUGGCCGCCGAACCUCAAGUUCGGCCGCCGAACAUGCAUGCACUUCGGGAGUGCUUUAGGCCCCCGAAGGCAUAAGUGAGGAAAGCCCAGGUUCGGCCGCCGAACCUUAUGUUCGGCCGCUGAACAUGGCAUGCAUGCGGAGGCACGUUAGGCCCCCGAAAGUGGCCUGGCCAGCCACCUAUAAAGGGGUCCCUGCCGAAAAUGCCGAAACAGGCGAGCUUUCUCCCCAUUUUUGGCCAAGUGAGCUUCCGUCAUUUUCCCUUGCCGAUCUAGUGUUCUUCCUUCAAAUCCCCACUGUUUUCUUGAGUUUUUAACUUUGCAUUGAAGUUUUUUUGAGCUAAGAGCAAGUUGUGAGGCUUGAAAGACUCAGGAGCUCAUUUCUUUGGAUCUCCCAAGUUAGGUCGUCUCUCUCUCGAUCUUCAAGAGGUAAGAGCCGAUCUUAAGCUCAUUUUAUGUUUUUAACAAGUUUAAGUUGAUUCAUGGGGUAGAAAUGCAUGUUUAGGAUAGUUGAGCUUUGAUAAGGUUUAUGUAGUUUUAUGGACAAUGUGUGUUGGAUAUGCAUGUUUGAUGUGUUGUAGUUGGGGUUUAGGAUAGUUUGAGACCCCUAGGUGUUGAUGUAUGAGUGUAUGCAUGUUUUGAGAGGUUUGGAUGCAUGAUUGAAUGUUUUGGAGGCAAAUGUGCAUGUUGGAGCAGAGUUUCUGCCCAUUUGAGAAACUCAGGUUCGGCAGCCGAAAGGACUUUCGGCUGCCGAACCUGCCAGUGAAGGCAAGCCCUUCGGCUGCCGAAGCCUGUCCCUGAAAGUGGACUUUCGUCUCUGGAGGGGACUUUCGGCCGCCGAAGGUGCCGCCGAACAUGCAUGAGUUUCGUCUCUGGAGGGAACCUUCGGCCGCCGAAAGUGUUGCCGAAGGUGCAUGACUUUCAGCUCUGGAAGGACUUUCGGCCGCCGAAGGUGCCGCCAAAAGUGCCCUGUUCAGCCAUUUCUUACAUGUUUUCUAUGAUUGUUUCUAGGUGUUUUUAGGGGGUUUUUGGGGGAAUGUUUAGACUAUGUCAGUAUAUGUUUGGUCCUUCAUCUGAGUCUACCUGUGUAGGUUCGGACCCGAGGAACCGAGGAGGUCAGCAGUGCUAGCUGCUUCAGAGUCCUUAGAGCAUCAGCCAGAGGUGAGUAGAACAGAACUUUGACUUAAAUUUUAAUAGAAUGUUUAGCAUGACCCCAUGCAUCAUAAAUGCCAUGCUUAUGUAGGUUGUCUUGCACUAGUAUUCACGAAUAUGAUGCAUUGCAUUUUUAUUGUUGAUGUGGAUGGAUGUUGGAUGACCCACUAGCUCUCAGUAUGUAACCUAGAAAGUCCAGGGCUGCCCAUGCCACGCGUCCGGGCAAAUGCAUGAUUGUUUAUGAGAAAUGAGUGUUAUUGGUGACAAGUCCGUCCUUGAUGUGAAAUGUCUGUGUUAUGAUGCAUUCCAUGAAAGCAUGAAUAAUUAUAAUGUUUUAUGGUUCUGCUCACUGGGCUUUUUAACUCACCCCAUUCCCUUAACCCCACAGGUUUGCAGGUACGAGGCAGUCAGGGAAGUCAACUAGAAUAGCAAGGUUUCUUGGUUAUGUAAUAGUUUAGAUGUGGACAUGAUAAGUUGUAAUGUAAAAGUAUUAUGUAGUUAUGGGAUGUAAAAAUGUUAUAGAGGUUUAAAAUUGGUGCUUGACCCUAGUAUGUUGUAAAUCCCCUUUUAUAUACAUGAUCUUUAUAUUAUGAUGUUUUGAUAGACCAAGCUUAAAGUAUGUUAUGAUAUCGCAUUGGAGCAUUUGAUGAGGGCUCCAGUGUGUGGUUUAUGCUUAUGUUGAUGUGCAUGCACAGGUUAAGCUUGGCAAUAGGAAAAGAAAAAGUUUAUAUGUUUAUGAUAUGUAUGAUCAUGUAUGGGAUUAAACAGGUUUACAGGUUUAUGUUGGCUUGCUACGGGUCCCGGCGACCUUAUGUCGAACUGGAUCCUAGCGCCGGUAGCGGUCCGGAUUUCCGGGUCUUUACAGACAAUUUGCCCUUGUUCCUCACCAGUGGCAGUAAUAUUCUCGUCCCUGCACUCCUCAGUGAUGCGCUGCACCAUCGAGCUCUAGAAUGACCAGUUUUGAGCAUCGAUCUCGAUAAACACUCCGAAAGCCUGCCACAAAGAAAGAAAAAGACAGAGUUAGAAAAAUCAAGGGAGAUAUAAGUAUUCUCAAGAAAAACACAAUAGCUUACCAUAAGGAGCAUCUCCCUUAGGCUAUCUUCGAGGUCGUCUAGGGAGCAAGCACUGAAUGUUGCUUGCUGCAUAGUGGAGCAGGCAAGGUGGCUGACGAAGGCUAGGAAGUGAGGAUCUAAAGCGUUUGGAGCACCACCAAACAUUUUAUUACAAAGCUCCUUGGUGGUUGAAGCUGGUGUAGAUUCAAGAGUCACAUCGGCAUCGUUGAGGGAUUCAUUGUCAAGGGCUGAGGAUAGUAGCUCCACAACCCUUUUUCCUUUGUCAGCAGAAGGGGGAGGCACGGUCUUGGCAGGAUCUGCGGCCUGAGCCCUAUUAGCAGCUCUACCUUCAGGAGUGGGCUCAGAAGUCCACGCCCGCUUACCGGUGGCCCCUCCAAUCACAACAGCAGUGAUGGUCUGAAGAGGUUGGAUGUCCAAAGGAGCGACCUCAGCACCUCCCUUAGAACCGCCCUUAGCAGAUUCACUGAUGGUGGUAGGCUCCUUGGAGGUCCGCUUAGGAGCUGCCAGGGACUUGGCCAAGGCCGACGCAUUGGCAGGAACAAAGGCCUUUGAAGUUGCAGAACGAGAGCCUUUUGUAGUAGAUGUCAACGCUAGAGCAGGGGCAGAAGCAAGAGUUCGGCUUGCAGAGGUAGGGGCAAUAACCUGGAAAACCUCACGAGUCAUGUCCGCCACAGACUUACCGGCCUUGAAGGCUUCCAGCGUGGCCUUCAUGCUCUCCCUAGAUAGGGUAAAAUUCUUCGGCAAUUUGAGGUUGUCCAUGGGCGAGGCAAAAGCUAAAAAAGAGAAAACAAUACAAGUCAGAACUCAGGAUAACAAAAAAAAUACAAUUAGAAGAGAAAAAUAAGAAAGCAAUAAUUAACAAUACCAGCUUCUCGGUAGUCCCGGAGGUUAGAUAUGAACAUGCACUUCUCGAUAUCACACUUCUCGAUAUCGCACUUCUCGACAUCAUACUUCUUCUGUAUAGAGGUUAGACAUGAACAUGCACUUCUCGACAUCAUACUUCUUCCGUACAGAGGUCAAUCGAAAAAGGUAGAUCUGGUCAACCAGGAUCAGCCAGAGAAGGUCAUUGCAGCCCUGAGGGACCUCUCUCCAAGAGAGAUCAACAUCUCAGCUGAUCUCCUAGCUCUCCUUUAGCUCGACCAUCACGAAGGUCUUGGUCCAGCCUUUUAUUGAAUCUUUAUACCCAGCAAAGAUGGACAACCCCCCUUCCCCUUAGGAGCAAAGUAGUAAAACCUAUGGUUAGCCCAGACGAGGCAGAAGAAAGUGGAGAACAGAGCAACGGAAGGAGCAAAACCCUAACACAGCAAACAAAUUCAAAGGAGCACAUGAAGAGAAUGGAAUUUGGGGAUAACAUGCGAGGGGUCACACUAAAAUACUGAAAUGGAUAAAAAUCUCGAUGAAAAAAGGGGUGAAGGGGAAGGUCAACCCAAAAUCACAUUGCUUAACGAAAAAAAUUAAGUUGCGACCCUGCUGGGGUCUGUCAAGCUCGCCGAAGGUGGAUUGGGAAGGACAAUCCUCUCAUUGUCUAGAGGAGCCCUAAUCCUAUAAAUGGAGGUAUCGAUGUACUCGCUGGAGAAAAAAUUAGAAAGAAAAGAAGGAGUGACAAAGGAUAUCAAAUCUAUGACCUCAGGAAUAGAGUGGGACGUACCUCAGAGCAGAGAUUGCAGAGGCGAAGGAGAACAAUUUAACGGGAGGAGAGUGAGAAGAAGAGUCGAAAGCAAAAUCGAAAAUACGAAUUUGAAAUGGGUAAAGCCGGAGAGAAAAUGUUUUGAUAAGAGUCGCGCGGUCAUAAUUGAAGUUUUGAGAUUUUCCCUCAUUAAUCAUGGAAUAACUAAUGAGCAGGUAAAGGAGCACUUGAUGAUCGCUGGGUCUUUGCUUCCCGGCCGCAGUCAAGCCCAUGUAGGAGAGCAAGGUCAUAACCCACUAGAGCCCAAUACGCAAGUCUAUCCUCUAGCAUGCGGUCCAGAUCACGCUUAGGCAGGACGGGCAAAAUGAGGCUCGAGCCCAACAAAGAAGGAUCUAGCUCACCUGACUUGAUGGGUCAGUGGGGGGAAUAGACCCCUCCAUAUCCAGAACCAUGUCAGCACGAGCAUCGAAGGAAAUUAAAUAGCCGCCUGAUGAUGGAAAAAGGGAGCAGUACGUCCAUACGUACGGUUUUGUAUGAUAGCGGCAUGUGGCACUAUAAUAGGGUGGCAGUUAUAUGUCACUAAAAAACAAAAUGGAAAAAGAAUAAAGGAAGGUGUGAACUAUUCAAACUAAGCUUACACGCACAUACCCAAAACUCUAUCCUUUUCUGAUCAUCAAUAAAAAUUUACCAAAAGCCUAAAAAUCAAAAUCAAACCAAACAAACAAGAUCAACUCAAAAAUGGAACCCAAUUAAACCUAAACAAGAAAAACUAAAUUCAAAUCAAAUCAAAAUGAGAAACCAACAAAAGCACCGACCCUAAUAGCAAUCUCCAUCGGCACCGACUCAAGCCUCAAUCCGUUAUUGGAAUCGAAGAGAACAAAGCGCUGAAUAUAGCAACCAAGGCCUACGCGAACAAUACCAACCACAGACAUGUAAGGAAAGAAAAGAAAGCAGACAAGCACCAAAUCCCACAAACAUCAAGGAAAGAGAGUACAACAAGCCAAUCACUGGAGAAACUAACGAAAAAUACCCAAGGUAGAAUAAACCCAAGCAGCUUUAAAAUACUAGACUCAAAGGGACGACGCGACAUAACUCUCAACAAAAGCGAUGGUCACCAAACGUAAUGUUGCAGACCUAGUUCAUGGAUAUAGUCACUGAGCAUAAGUGUAUACAUUUAUAUGUGUAGGUGGAAAUCAAGUUAAAUUUCUCGUUUAUCUUAAUAAACAAUAAAUAACUUGCUAUUUUUAUGAGACUUUUAUAUUUAAUUUUUUAUUGCCCUCAACACGAAAUUAAUAGGUCAAUUAUUGAAUUUGACUCAAUUUUUAACCCUUGAAUUGGAUCUUAAUAUAAAGUAUAGAGAAACCUUAAUCAUUGAGAUUUUUUUUUUCUUAAAAGAAAGUAAGAAGUAAAAUGUACUUUAGAAGCCAUGCAUAAUACACAUAAAAAUAUAUCAAUAGGGAGUGAGGUUUUAAAAAAUUUAAUAAUUUGAAAAAAAAAUAAAAAAAAGAAUAACUAUGAUAGAUAAAUGAAGGGAAAAGAAAAAUUGAUAAACUACUUUUACCUCUUACUUUUCAUCUAUUUAUAUUAUUUUUCCUCUUUUACUAUUUUUUAAAUUGAAUUUUCUAUUUUAUUUUCCAUUGAAAUAAAAAGAAUUAUAAAGUAUAUAUCAAAACCCCAAUCAAAAUAAAGUAAAUAAAUUUUAUUAAAAUUAUUUAUUUAGAAGAGAUAAAAGGGCGGAAAGGAUAAGAACAACAUUAUUUAUAAAGCAAUUAAUAAAAUGUCACUAUUAAUUAUUUUUUGGUUUAAAUAAUGGAAACUUUCUGAUUGUUGCAUUAAGUCAUUGAUGGGACCCAUGAGCCCAUGUCUAUUUAUCACUAAAAAAAUAUUUACCACUUGCUGCGCAUUAAUAAAAACGAAACUCAUUAAUAAAUUUAUAUGCAUUGCACAAAAUGAAAUUGACUCGCCGCUGGAGUCCACAUGCUGCCCAUUUUACGCCAACUUCAACAUUAUAUAUAUAUUAUAUUUUAAAGGAAAACGAAGGUCUGAAUGCUAAAGUUACCUACCGUCUUCCAUCACCCUUUCCACAUCUCCCUCUCUAUCUCUGACCAUUCAUUCACACUGAAUAUACUUGCAAGAAAGUUCUGGUCGUGGUUGCAUAAGUCUGCAACUUCUGACGACCUCUAGCUUGGGGCUGAACGGGGCAGAUCGCCGGAUGGAUACUAGAGGUAUUAAUUGUUGUAGCUGAAACUGUGGAACCAAAUAGUAUUAGUUUCAUAGAGCUUUCAUUUCAUUUCAUCAACUAAUUGAGGCAUGUUGUUUAUUCUAUGGUCACUAAGCACAGAUCCGAAUGAAUCUGCCUUAUCUCCGUCUGCAUCUGAGAAUUAUGACCGUAUUGGGCCAAAGCCAUAUUCAUACGGUGAACUAGCAAAGGCAACUGGUCUUUUCUCGCACAAUAACCUAAUUGGUCGAGGUGGUUUUGGUCAUGUUUUUAAGGCAUCCUUAGAUGGCGAGACUCGUGCUAUCAAGAGACUUGAUUAUCCGGGUAUAGAGUCCGAAGGAGAUUUGGAAAGGGAGAUUAUGGUCGUCAAAAGCAUCAGUCACAAAAACCUCGUUGAACUGGUUGGUUAUUGCAUUGAUGGAGCCAAUAGAUUGCUUAUUUUAAAGUAUUUUCCAAAUGGGUCUUUGAGAUCUAAAUUAGAUGGUGAGUCCCAUAUCCUUUAUUUUACGUUUCAUGUAACUAACGCGACAUAAUUAAUCUUGUAAAUUACAAAUGGUUUUGGUUUUGUAGGGAAGGAGAAUGUUUUAGACUGGAAAAAAAGAAUGAAUAUUGCUAUAGGUUCUGCAAGAGGAUUGGAAUAUCUACAUGAACACUGUAAGUAUGUAGUACAACAUAUUCCUACUUGGCAGGAUUUUAGCUUUAGAGAGUGAAUUUAUUUUUUAUUUUCUGUUUUUGUAAUAAUUUAUUUUCUCUUAAAAUUUUAUAUUUUCUCUAUAUCUUUUUCAGGUGAACCUAAAAUUAUACAUUUAGAUAUCAAGCCGGAUAAUAUUCUUCUUGAUGAACAUUUUGAACCUAAGGUAAAAUAAUUUUAUAUUAAAUAAAUAUUUUAUUUAUAUUUAUCACAUUUAUAUACAUAGUGGAACCUUGAUCACUGAAUACUGAAAUUUUAUUUUUUGAAUUGAACUCGUUGUUUGUAUAAUAUGAUUGUUGGAAUUAAUUAAUAAAUCAGGGUUCUACUUCUGUUUUGGUUUGGCCAUAUAUUUUUGGCUUUUUUAAUAAAAAUUAUUGCUUAUAGGUGAAGGCAAAAGUUGAAGGAAAGUUUGAUUUUCUUUUAUAUCUUGGAUCAGUAGCAGUACAUGUAUAUAUAUACAGUGGGUACAAUAGACUUGACUUAAAAUAGGUUUACAAAAAAUGUAAUACACAUGAAAGAACUGAAAACAGUUUUUCUAACCUAACUUUGGCGCCAUUAUUUUCCACGUGGCUUAACAUCCCCUGCAAAUUGAAGAGUAUAUAUCAAACAUCCCCAGCUUGGAUAAUAUUUCUCGAAAAGGAGCAAUAGGUAUGGGCUUUGUGCAAAUAUCAGCGAGUUGGGCAGCUGAUGGUAUUGGAAGGAGCUUAAUCAACCCAGAGAGCAGUUUUUCACGAACAAUAUAGCAGUCUAUCUCAAUAUGUCUUGUACAUUCAUGAAAAAUAGAAUUCGCAGCAAUCAAUCCAGAGAGCAGUUUUUCACGAACAAUAUAGCAGUCUAUCUCGAUAUGUUUUGUACGUUCAUGAAAAAUGGAAUUCGCAGCAAUUUGUAUAGCAGGUUUGUUAUUGCAAUAGAUAAUGGCAGGUUGAGGUGACUGACAAAUAGGUCAUGAAGAAGAUACAAUAGCUACUGUACUUCACAGGUGAUAGUUGCAAGAGCUCGAUAUUCAGCUUUAGAGGAGCUCCGAGAAAUGGUGGACUGCUUCUUUGCCUUCCAAGAAAAUAGAGCGGAUCCUAGAAGGAGUCAAAAUCUUGUAACAAACUUUUGGGUGUCAGCACAACUUGCGCGGUUGAACUAGUAGAGAAGAAAAGACAUGCACUCGGGAGCUCUUGAUAUAAUGUAAUAUUCGAUGGGCUGUUUGUAAAUGAAUAGAGGUGGAGCGAUCCAGGAACUGACUAAGUUGUUGAACUGCAAAGGAAAUACCAGGUCUUGUGGAUGUCAAAUAGAGUAAUCGCGCUAUCAGUCUUCUAUAGGAAAGGAUAUCAUCCAAGGGUGUGCCAAAAUCAAUAAUAAGCUUAGUUUUGGAGUCCAUAGGAGUGGGAGAUGGUUUGCGAUCUAAAAAGCCAGAGUCAUUAAGGAUGUCAAGGGCUAUUUACGCCGACAAAGAGAGAUGCCAGCUUAGUUCUUGCUACUUCCAACCCCAGAAAAAACUUCAAAUCACCAAGGUUUUUUAUUUUGAACUUGUUAUCAAGAAAAGAUUUAACAGUGUUAAUUUCUUGUAAAUUUGUGCCAGCUAAGAUAACAUCAUCGACAUAAACCAAUAUCAGAGUGAUGUGAACAUCAUGUUUCUUAUCAAAGAGGGAAUAGUCCGAGAUAGACUGUUUAUAACUCAGGGAGACAAGAGCAUUAGACAAUUUUGAAUACCAUUGAUGAGUGGCUUACUUUAAACUAUAGAGUGACUUGUUUAAGUGACAAACUUUAUUAAAUUGAGAGGUAGUAAAGCCUGGAGGAAGUGUUAUGUAUAUUUUUUCAUGAAGAUCUCCAUGAAGGAAUGCAUUAUUGAUGUCCAACUGUUGUAAAAACCAUCCAUUAGCAGCUGCAAGAGCUAAGAGAAGUUGCACAGUGGUUAUCUUAGUAAGAGCUCUUGAUAUAACGUAAUAUCUGAUGGGUUGUUUGUAAAUGAACAGAGGUGGGGGAGAUCCAGGAAUUGACUAAGUUGUUGAACUGCAAAGGAAAUGUCAGGUCUUGUGGAUGUCAAAUAAAGUAAUCCCACUAUCAGUCUUCUAUAGGAAAGGAUAUCAUCCAAGGGUGUGCUAGAAUCGAUACUACGUUUAGUUUUAGAGUCCAUAGGAUUGGGAGUGACUGUGCGGUUGUCGAAGCAGGUCAAAAAUAACCUUUUUGGUUAUCAACAAUUUUACAACUGUAGAUAGUGGCAAAAGGAUGAAAUCCACAGGGAAUUGAUACUUACUUAUUUUCCUAAUCAAGACCAAGUAAAUAAAUAGACAAUAAGAGUAAAUUGGGAGGGGGGUUUUGAAGAUUGAUGACUAAACUAGCAAUAAAGUAAAGCAAAUAAUAAAAUAAAGGAAAUUCAAUAAUGAGAAAGGCCUAGUUGGAGAGUCAGAUCCACUUUAGUUGUUGGGGUUGAUUAUUGAUACUUAUAUUCUUUUAAUUGACUCAAUAAAUUAGUUAUGGAGGUGGAAGAUACUUCUCACCUCCAUAUCCCUCCUUAAGCAUAGAUUAAUUAGGGAACGUCCUCUAAUUAAUCACUAAUUAACAAGUUGCCAAGGAACAUCCUUGGGGCUUUAAGCAUCUAACAACUGUCAAUUGCAUUAAGAAAUAGAGAGACCUAAUUCUAGCUACCCAAACGUAUGGUGAUGUUGCUAGAUCAUGCAAUUUCCUUAGUUUUUACACCAAGAGUUACUUUUGUUUGAAUAAUUCAAGAAAUUACGGACUUAAAACUAUCCAAACUAACAAAUUAUUACCUUGUAAUCAAGAAUCAAUAGAUCCUAGUGAUCUAAAUAACAAAGCAACAAUAGAAUUAAGCAUGAAAUUGCAUAAAUAUUGAUAAAUAAAAGAUUAACAUAAUAUGUUCAAAUCUCCCAAUCCAUAAACAACUAAAGUUUCACCUAAUCUUCAACUAGAAAAAAGGGUUUCAGCCACUCAUGGCUGAAACAAACAUGAAAAAUAAAGAAAGAAAACCAAAGAAAGGAAGAGGAAGGCCAAUCCGCCGGCUGGAGUGGUAUGCUGGUGGCGCGCGGUUGCUAUGCAGCUUCUGCCGAAGAUGAAUGAUGAUCCAAAGAUGGUUCUUUGCUGGUUUGCUUGUCCUUUUAUAGCUGAGGAGGUUGCCCUAGGUUUUCUUGUUGAGAUGGGAUUCCUUUUCCUACUUGGAGUUGAAUUCUUGAAAGCAAUUGUAUCUUCUUGAGAUUUGGCUUCCUAAAUAUGUAGGAUAGAGAACUGAGGUGUAUUAUUGACUUGCUAAGUUGUCCCCACGUGUUUGGUGUGCAAAAGACUUCUUGAAGACUUGGAUUCCAAGUUUCCCGCAACUGCUGUCUUCUGUCGUAAGUGCUUGUUUGCCCGGGUUGUGUGGGCAAACAACUCAGGCAAACAGUCUGUCUUGCCUGUUGUCUGUGCACUGCUUCUGCCCUAUGGGCUUGUUUCCCUAGUUUGCCUGGACAAACAAUAUAGUCAAACAGCAAGUCUGUAUUUUCCUUAUUCCUCUCCCAAUUCAUCUGCAACUUGGUUUGAGCAAACAACUUGGGCAAACCAGACUUGUUCUCUUUUGCUCUCUUUUAGGCGGAUUUAAGGCCAUUUUUACCAAAUUACCCUUUUACUCAAUUUUCUGCAAAAUAAGAUCAAUACCACAAAAUUAGGUAGAAAAUGUGUAAAUCAACAUAAAUAACAAAAUUAGUUGCUUGCAUCGCACAUGAUUUCAAAGGGAAAGUUCCAAUCAGGUGCUUGAAUGAUUGGGGCAGUCACUAGUAAUUCUUUUAUUAGAUCAAAUGCUAUCUUGCAAAUUGCAUCAAAAUCAAAUGUUACAUCUUGUUGGAGAUGGUUGGGUGAUUUUGGAGAAAUCUUUUAUAAAUCUUCUGUAGAAUCCUGCGUGGCCAAGGAAGGAACGGAUUUCUCUAACAUUUGUGGGGUAGGGCAGAUUUUUUAUGGUGUCCACCUUGGCUUUGUCCACUUCAAUUCCUUUGGCUGAAACAACAUGGCCUAGGAUCAAACCUUGGUUAACCAUGAAGUGGCAUUUUUCAUAUUUAAGCAUAAGAUUUGAUUCAAGGCACCUCUGUAGGAUUUUUUUCAGAUUAGCAAGGCAUUCUUCGAAAGAGUUACCGUAUACCGUGAAGUCAUCCAUGAAGACUUCAAUGAUUUUCUCCACAUAAUCAGAAAAUAUGCUCAUCAUACAGCGUUGGAAGGUAGUAGGCGCAUUGCAUAGUCCUAAUGGCAGUCUUUUGAAUGCAAAGGUGCCAAAAGGAAAAAUGAAGGUGGUCUUUUCUUGGUCUUCUGGGGCCACUGGAAUCUAAUAAAAUCCUGAAUAACCAUCCAAACAGCAAUAGUGUGACUUACCUGCAAGCCUCUCUAGCAUUUGAUCAAUGAAGGGUAGAGGGAAGUGAUCCUUCCUUGUUGCUGCAUUUAGCUUCCUAUAGUCCAUGCAUACUCUCCAUCCAUUCUUAACACGAGUUGGAACAAGUUCUCCCUCGGAGUUUGGAACAAUGGUGAUCCUAGUUUUCUUCGGGACUACAUGUACAGGACUUACCCAUUUACUAUCAAAGAUUGGGUAGAUGAUUCUUGCAUCUAGUAGUUUGACUAUCUCCUUUUUCACCACUUCCAUCAUAGGGGGGUUUAGUCUCCUUUGAGCAUCUUGGACAGGCUUGCAGUAUUCUUCCAUGUGUAUCCUAUGCAUGCAUGUGGCAGGUGAGAUGCCUUUUAUGUCGUCAAUGGUCCACCCUAUUGCUCCCUUCUAUUUCUUUAGUACUUGAAGGAGGUUUUUUUUUUCUUCUUGUUGGCUUAAUUGAUUUGACAUUAUUACUGGAUGUGUCUUUUCAGCUCCUAAGUACAUGUAUUUCAAGUGUCCAGGAAGAGGCUUCAAAUCCGGGUUUGAAAUUUUCUGAUCUGCUGGUUGCUAUUUGGGCAAACACAAUUCUGCCUCAUCUUCCUCUGCUGGUGGUUUGGUCGAACAACAGCUCACUUGUGCUAUCAAUCCGGUUGUGCUGGAUUCUGCCCUCUCAUGCUGUUUGGGCAAAUAGCGAAUUUCCUCAUGUUCCUCUGCUGGUUUUUUAGGUAAACAGUGUUCUGACUUUCCAGGUGCCUUUGCUUCAGUCAAAUGGUAUUCUGUCGAAGCUGUUUGCCCAAUUGGUUUGGGCAAACUGUGUUCUUCUUGCUGAAAUGGUAUGGGCAGGCUACAAGCUGUCUGCGUCUGCUGAACCUGUUUGGGCAAACAGCAGUUUGCCUUGCCUUUCUCUGCUGUCUGUUUGGGCAGACAAUAACCUGCCUGCUGAGUGCAGCAGAUUGCUUCUGUCCGUUUUAGCUUUCCUUGGCUUCCCUCAUUUUCUUGGCUGGCCUCCCUGCAAAAAUCAUUAUUUAGCAUAUCAUUUUGAUUCAUAUCAAAAAUUUCUUGGCUUAGACAAUCAAUGAUAUCUAAACCAUAAAUAGGGAACAUGUCAUGGGGAUAUUUCAUAGCAUCAUAGACAUUGAAUUUAUUACUUCCCCUUCAAAUUUCAUGGUCAAUGUGCCAUCAUGCACAUCAAUCUUAGUCCUGGCCGUGCUCAAGAAGGGUCGUCCAAGCAAUAUGUCUGAGGUAGUGUUGCUAUUGUCUUCCUCCAUAUCAAUCACAUAGAAAUCUGCUGGAAAGACAAGUUGAUCUAUUUGGACUAGAACGUCUUCUAGAAUGCCUUUUGGGUAUACCACGGAUCUAUCAGCCAAUUGGAUAACCACUCUAGUGUCCUUAAGUGCACCUGCAUUCAAAGAAUUAUAAAUAGAAAGAGGCAUAACAUUAAUUGAUGCACCUAAGUCACACAUGGCUUUCUUGAUGUCAACAUUGCCAAUUUUGCAAGAAACAGCAAACAUCCCUCGAUCUUUGCACUUGGCUAGUAGUUUUCUCUUAAUGACAGCAGUAACUACUUCACCUACACUUACCUUUUCUUUUUCAGCAAGCUUCCUUCAGUUUGUGCACAACUCUUUCAAGAAUUUUGCAUACCUUGGUAUUUGUUUUACCGCAUCAAGCAAAGGUAUGUUAAUCUCCACUUUUCUAAAGGUUUCAAGGAUCUCUCUUUCUUCUUUUUCUUUUUGUGAUUUUUCAAACCUUUUUGGAAAAGGAGGUGGAAUCUUGAAGCUUACUUGCUGGUUUGUAUUCUGCUGGUGUACUAGUGUUGUUUGCCCAGUCUGUUUGGGCAAACAGCACUCUGGCUGCUUGGGCAAACUGUCCCUAUCCUGCUGUGUAUGUUGUCUGCUUGUUUGCCCAGUCUAUUUGGGCAAACAACAGUCUGUCUCAGUUUCUGGCAGAUUUUCUUUAGCCACUUGUCUUUGCAAUUCUGAACCUCUAUCAUCAACCUUGACAUCUUGAAGUUCUUUCCCACUUCUUAACAUUAUGGUACUUACAUUUUGCUUGGGAUUGGCCUCGGUUUGGGAUGGCAACUUUCCUUUAGAUUCAAGUUUACUCACAGAGGUGGCUAUUUGACCCAUUUGCUGUUGGAGACUUUGCACAAUGUUCACCAAUGACUUCAUCAUCUCCUCAAGGUGCGUAUUGGACCUUGGAGGUGCUAUUUGGGCUGGAUUUCUUGGAUAAUUUUGGUAGUUGUUAGCCCUAGCAUAGCUGAAGUUCGGAUGGUCUAUCCAACCGGGAUUGUAGGUGUUAGAAUAUGGAUCAUCUCUUGGUUGUCCAUUAAAUCCUCCAAUGGCAUUUACUUGCUGGUCAUCCUCUUGAAGUGUAGGACAUUGAUCAGUUGGGUGUCCCACAUGUGCACAUAUCCCGCAUGGCCUUAUUUGCUGAAGUUGUUGAGCUUGUUGGGAUUGACUUAUAACAAGACUUCUCACAGCAGAGGUUAGUUCAGAAAUUUGAGAUGUAAGAGCAGAUGUAAGAGCAGAUGUACUUACCUCAUUGACUCUCCUUGGCAACUGUAACAGCCCGGGAAUCCAGACCGCUACCGGCGCUAGGAUCCAGAUCGGCGUAAGGCCGUCGGGACCCGUAGCAAGCCUGACAUCUAACCUGUAAACCUGUAAACAUUUGCAUAUCUCAACCAAGCUCAACCUGUACAUUACAUAAUCAUAAACAUAAACCACCACUGGAGCCUUCAUCAAAUGCUCCAAUGGGGUAUCUCAUCAUAUGUUGAGCUUGGACUAUCAUGAACAUCAUAAACAUAUCUAUAGAUCAUGUAUCAAAAGGGACAACAAUACUCAUAUGGUCAAGCACAACUAUAACCACAAUACAUAACAUUACAUAACUGUUCUAUACUCUUACAUUUCAUCAAUUACAUUUGUCAUGUCCACAAUCUAACUAUUACAUAUGCAUACUUCAAGACUCUGGCUAACCUCCUGGUCUACCCUGUACCUGCACAUCUGGGGUUAGGAGAGAGGGGUGAGCUAUAUAGCCCAGUGAGCAGAAUAUAGAAAACAUAUAUUAAAAUUUCAUGCUUUCAUGAAAUUCAACACACCACAAACAAAUCACAUAAGGAUGAACUUGUCACCAAUGGCCCUCUACAUGGUCCAAUGAGGUCCAACUGUGCCAGAACGUAGAAUGGGUCCUGGUCUUUCUCUUACUCUGUGCCAGGGACGUAGAAUGGGUCUUCCUGGACUUUCUCUUACUCUGUGCCAGGGACGUAGAAUGGGUCUUCCUGGACUUCCAUACCAUAUCAUCAUAAUAUCAUACUAUACGAGGACCAAUGGAUCAUCCAACAUUCAUCCGCAUCAACAACAAAGUAUGCAAUGCAACAACUUCGUGAAUACUAAUGCAAACACCCUAUAAUAUCACAUGGCAAAUAUGAUGCAUGAUCAUGCUCAAAAAGUUAUAUCUCAUUUAUUUAAAAACUUAAGGUUUAUUCCACUCACCUCUGGCUGAAGCUCUAAAGACUCUGACAAUCUCUGUAGCAGCUGGCUCACUGCUGGGGUCCUCGGUUCCUCGGGUCCGAACCUACACAGGUGGACUCCAAUGAGGGACCAAACAUACACAAACAUAACUCUAAUGUACUCCCCAAAAACCCCCUGAAACAUCAUGAAAAAACCAUAGGAAUACAUGCAUGAAAUGGCUGAACAGGGCACUUUCGGCGGCAGGUUCGGCGGCCGAAAGUCCCUCCAGAGCCGAAUCCCAGGCAGGUUCGGCGGCACCUUCGGCGGCCGAAAGUCCCAGACAGAGACGAAAGUCUCUUUUCGGGGGCAACUUCGGCAGCCGAAAGGCCUGCCUCCCCAGCCAUGUUCGGCGGCCGAAAGUCCUUCGGCUGCCGAACCUGGUUUCUGCCAAAGGGCAGAAACUUGGCUCCUCUGUGCACAUUUCGCCUCCCAAGCUCAAAUCAUGCAUACCACUCAACCAAAACAUGCAUACAAGCUCCUAGGGGUCUCAAACAAACAUAUACCCCAACUACAACACUUCAAACACACACAAUCAAGCCACAUUGUUCAAGAAUCACAUAAAACCUAACAUAGCUCAACUAAUCCUAAACAUGGAUUUCUACCCCAUAAAACUUUAUAAAACUUGUUUAAAACAUAUAUUGAGCUUAAGAUCGGCUCUUACCUCUUGAAGAUCGAGAGAGAGACGACCGAAACUUGGAGGUCCAAGCAAAUGAGCUCCUGAGUUUCCAAAGCUCCGAAACUUGUUCAAAACUUGAAAAUCUUCAAAACCAAAGUUACAAACUUGUAAAAAUCAUGGAAAAUGAAAGGAAAAACUCAAGAUUUGUGAAGGAUGGCGGAAAGCUCACCUUGGCCGAAAUGGGGAGAAAAAGCUCGCCCGUUUUCGGCUAAGGGACCCUUUUAUAGUGGCUGGCCAGACCACGUUCGGGGGCCGAAAGUGCUUCCGCAUGCAGGCCAUGUUCGGCGGCCGAACUUGAGUUUCGACGGCCGAACCUGGACUUCCCUCACUCAUGCUUUCGGGGGCCUAACGUGCCUCCAAAACGCAUGCAUGUUCAGCGGCCGAACUUGACUUUCGGCGGCCGAACCUGGGUUUUCCUCCAAAAACUUUUCAUGCAAAAACUCAUUUAAUUUCAUACUUAAAACCAUUAAAAACAUGAAAACAUUUUAUAAAAACAUACUUUUACCCUUCUAGAGGUUUCCGACAUCCGGGAUUCCACCGGACGGUAGGAAUUCUGAUACCGGAGUCUAGCCGGGUAUUACAUUCUCCCCCCCUUAAGAACAUUCAUCCCCGAAUGUUCCUCAACUAGCGCAUGCAUAACAUACAUAUACAUCACAUAAACACAUAAAUACUAACCUCUAAAAGAGAUGGGGAUAUUGCUGGAGCAUGGACUCCCGUGUCUCCCAAGUGCAUUCUUUCAUAUUGUGGUGGUUCCAAAGGACUUUCACCAUCGGGAUUUCCUUGUUCCUCAACUUUCUGAUCUGGGUGUCCAGAAUCCGCACUGGCUGUUCAACAUAGGUGAGAUCCUCUUGGAUCUCCACAUCAGGCUCACUAAGAACCUUGCUCGGAUCUGACACGAACUUUCUUAACAUGGAAACAUGGAAAACCGGAUGGACUCUUUCCAUAGAUGCAGGCAAGUCCAGCUUGUACGAUACAUUCCCAACCUUUUGCAAGACCUCAAAGGGUCCGAUGUAUCGUGGGGCUAGCUUACCUUUCUUACCAAACCGAACCACCCCUUUCAUAGGAGACACUCUGAGCAAUACCAGAUCUCCCUCCUGAAACUCUACUUGUCUUCUGCGAAGGUCUGCAUAACUCUUCUGUCUGCUCAUAGCAGUCUUAAUCCUUUCUCUGAUCAUGGGCACCACCCUGCUGGUGAUCUCUACAAGCUCAGGCCCUGCUAAGGACCUCUCUCCAACCUCUUCCCAGCAAACGGGUGAUCUGCACUUCCUCCCAUACAAAGCUUCAUAUGGAGCCAUCCCUAUGCUGGCAUGAUAGCUGUUAUUGUAGGCAAACUCCACCAAGGGUAGAUGUUGCCUCCAAGAACUGCCAAAAUCCAGCACACACAUUCUGAGCAUGUCCUCUAUAGUCUAGAUGGUCCUCUCUGACUGUCCAUCAGUCUGGGGGUGGAAGGCAGUACUGAAAUCCAACCUGGUACCCAUAGCACUCUGCAGACUCCGCCAAAACCUGGAGGUGAACUGGGGCCCUCUAUCUGACACUAUAGACACUGGGACCCCAUGCAGUCUGACAACUUCAUCCACAUAGACCUGCGCUAACUUAUCCACAUAGUAGUUGCUCCUGGCUGGAAUGAAGUGAGCAGAUUUAGUGAGUCUGUCCACAAUCACCCAUAUGGAGUCUAAUCUGUUGGAUGUUGCCGGUAACCCCACUACGAAGUCCAUAGCUAUAUUCUCCCAUUUCCACUCUGGAAUAGGUAGCGGGUUAAGCAUCCCAGCCGGCUUCUGAUGUUCCAGCUUCACCCUCUGACACACUUCGCAGGCUGACACGAACUGUGCCACUUCCCUCUUCAUAGCUGGCCACCAAUAAACUCUCUUCAGAUCUUGAUACAUUUUGGUGGCUCCAGGGUGAACAUUGUAUUUUGCAUUAUGAGCCUCCCUCAUAAUGUCUCCUUUCAACCCGAUGUCAUCUGGUACACAUAGUCUGUUCCCAUAACGGAGGAUCCCCUUAUCAUCAAAUCUGAACUCCUCAUUCUUGCCCGACUGAACAAUCCUGGCAAUCUUCACUAACUCUGGGUCCUCGUGCUGUUUCUGAGCCACCUGCUCCAGAAACACAGGUGCUACUUUCAUCUGGGCUAUCAAAGCACCUGUACCAGACAACUCCAUCUGUAGACCUUCCUCAAUGAGCUUGGAAAACUCCUUCACCACCGGUCUCCUCUCUGCUGUGAUGUGGGAUAGGCUGCCAAGUGAUUUCCGGCUUAAGGCAUCAGCUACUACAUUAGCCUUACCCGGAUGGUACUGGAUCUUACAAUCAUAGUCACUGAGCAGCUCUACCCAUCUCCUCUGCCUCAAAUUCAGCUCUCUCUGGCUCAAAAUGUGCUGCAGGCUCUUAUGAUCUGUGAAGAUCUCACAUUUUACCCCAUAGAGGUAAUGCCUCCACAUCUUGAGGGCAAAGAUAACUGCUGCCAUCUCAAGGUCGUGUGUGGGGUAAUUCAACUCAUGCCUCUUCAGCUGUCUAGAAGCAUAAGCUAUCACCCUUCCAUUCUGCAUUAGCACACAACCCAAACCUACUCUGGAUGCAUCACAGAACACUGUGAAGUCCUCAUUGCUAGUCGGCAGAGCUAACACUGGUGCUGAAGUCAACCUCUUCUUGAGCUCCUCAAAGCUUUCCUCACACUGGUCGGUCCACACGAACCUCUGAUUCUUUCUGGUCAAUCUGGUUAGAGGAGCUGCUAUCUUAGUGUAUUCCAGGAAUGCAGAGGAGCAUGCCCAUCAUCUGAGGAUAGUUCUACAGACCUUGAGGGAACAUGGCUUGUAUGCCAAGUUCUCCAAGUGUGAGUUCUGGUUGAGAAGCAUCUCAUUCUUGGGGCAUGUAGUGUCAGAGAACGGAAUUGAAGUAGACCCCAAGAAGGUAGAAGCUGUAACUAACUGGCCUAGACCCACCUCAGUGACAGAGAUCAGAAGUUUAUUGGGUUUGGCUGGUUACUACAGGAGGAGAAGUCCUGCCCGGAAAUUCGGACCGCUACCGGCGCUAGGAUCCAGAUCGGCGUAAGGCCGCCGGGACCCGUAGCAAGCCUGACAUCUAACCUGUAAACCUGUAAAUCCCAUACAUGAUCAAACAACUCUAAAGAAUCUGUAAACAUUUUCAUAUCUCAACCAAGCUCAACCUGUACAUUACAUAAUCAUAAACAUAAACCACCACUGGAGCCCUCAUCAAAUGCUCCAAUGGGGUAUCUCAUCAUACGUUGAGCUUGGACUAUCAUGAACAUCAUAAACAUAUCUAUAGAUCAUGUAUCAAAAGGGACAACAAUACUCAUAUGGUCAAGCACAACUAUAACCACAAUAUACCUCAAUACAUAACAUUACAUAACUGUUCUAUACUCUUACAUUUCAUCAAUUACAUUUGUCAUGUCCACAAUCUAACUAUUAUAUAAGCAUACUUCAAGACUCUGGCUAACCUCCUGGUCUACCCUGUACCUGCACAUCUGGGGUUAGGGGAGAGGGGUGUGCUAUAUAGCCCAGUGAGCAGAAUAUAGAAAACAUAUAUUAAAAUUUCAUGCUUUCAUGAAAUGCAACACAUCACAAACAAAUCACAUAAGGAUGAACUUGUCACCAAUGGCCCUCUACAUGGUCCAAUGAGGUCCAACUGUGCCAGAACGUAGAAUGGGUCCUGGUCUUUCUCUUACUCUGUGCCAGGGACGUAGAAUGGGUCUUCCUGGACUUUCUCUUACUCUGUGCCAGGGACGUAGAAUGGGCCUUCCUGGACUUCCAUACCAUAUCAUCAUAAUAUCAUACUAUACGAGGACCAAUGGAUCAUCCAACAUUCAUCCGCAUCAACAGCAAAGUAUGCAAUGCAACAACUUCGUGAAUACUAAUGCAACACCCUAUAAUAUCACAUGGCAAAUAUGAUGCAUGAUCAUGCUCAAAAGUUUAUAUUUCAUUUAUUUAAAAACUUAAGGUGUAUUCCACUCACCUCUGGCUGAAGCUCUAAAGACUCUGACAAUCUCUGUAGCAGCUGGCUCACUGCUGGGGUCCUCGGUUCCUCGGGUCCGAACCUACACAGGUGGACUCCAAUGAGGGACCAAACAUACAUAAACAUAACUCUAAUAUACUCCCCAAAAACCCCCUAAAACAUCAUGAAUUAACCAUAGGAAUACAUGCAUGAAAUGGCUGAACAGGGCACUUUCAGCGGCAGGUUCGGCGGCCGAAAGUCCCUCCAGAGCCGAAACCCAAGCAGGUUCGGCGGCACCUUCGGCGGCCGAAAGUCCCAGACAGAGACGAAAGUCUCUUUUCGGGGGCAACUUCGGCAGCCGAAAGGCCUGCCUUAAUUGAACCUCCACAUGCUACAUGAAUGAAUUUCCUUUUGGAUGGUAGCAAUCCUCCAUAGAAGUAUUCUAUGAGUGAUUUAUCUGAGAUGUCAUGUUGAGGGCAGCUUGUGCAUAGUCUCUUGAAUAUUUCCCAAUAAUCAUACAAAUCUUUAGUCUCUUUUUGCUUGAUGCCACUUAUUUCUCUCCUUAUGCCUAUGGCUUUAGAAGCUGGAAAAUAUUUAUUCAGAAAAGCUCUUACCAUGCCAUCCCAAGAGGUGAUUGAUUCGGGUGGUAGGUAGAAUAACCAAUCUUUGGCAUAAUCAUCAAGUGAGAAUGGGAAUGCUCUUAAUUUCACAUGUUCUUCGGAUAUGCCUUGCGGCCUCAUGGUAGAGUAUACUAUGUGAAAUUCCUUCAAGUGUUUAUGGGGGUCUUCAUUUUUCAAACCUCUGAAUUUAGGUAGUAGGUGUAUCAAACCUGUUUUUAGCUCAAAUGGGGCUGUCAAGGGCGGAUAGGUGAUGCAAAGAGGUGCUUGAUCACCUAUAGGGGCUGCUAACUCUCUUAAUGUUCUUUCUCUUGGAAUUGGUGCCCUUAAUGCUUGAUUUUCUGGUUCAAAUUCAGCAUAGACAGCAAGUUCUGCUGGUCUUCAAACAGGUGCAGCAGGUUGCACAUGAAAUUCAGCCAUCUCAACGGCUGUUUGGGCAAACACAACAGUGUAGCGCUCUGUUUCUGCAAAGGGCUGUUCUAUUUCUGCAGUGUGCUAUUAUGUUUCAGCAGUAGGUGUUGCUGGUCCUGCUGGUACAGCAGCUUCUGGUGCAAUUGCGGAAGUUUCAAUAGGUGUUGUCCCUUAGACAGCAACAGCUUCAGCAGUUGCUGUUUGGACAACAGCUGUUGAUGAGGAUGGCUUUGAGGCUUGGCUCUUCGGAUUGGAUUGCUUCCUUAGUUGUUUGGCUGUACGCUCAUUUUCUGGGUCGUAAAGUAGAGUAUAUUUGUGUCUAGUCCUGGUCAUGAAAGAAAAAUAAAUUAGUUAAAUCAAUUCCCCAGCAACGACGCCAAUUUUUGACUGUGCGGUUGUUGAAGCUGGUAAAAAAUAACCUUUUUGAUUAUCAACAAUUUUACAACUGUAGAUAGUGGCAAAAAGAUCGAAUCCAUAGAGAAUUAAUACUUACUUAUUUUCCUAAUCAAGACCAAGUAAAUAAAUAGACAAUAAGAGUAAAUUGGGGGGAGGGUUUGAAGAUUGAUGACUAAACUAGCAAUAAAGUAAAGCAAAUAAUAAAAUAAAAGAAAUUCAAUAAUGAGAAAGGGUUAGUUGGAGAGUCAGAUCCACUUUAGUUGUUGGGAUUGAUCAUUGAUACUUAUAUUCUUUUAUUUGACUCAAUAAAUUAGUUAUGGAGGUGGAAGACGCUUCUCACCUCCAUAUCCCUCCUUAUGCAUAGAUUAAUUAGGGAACGUCCUCUAAUUAAUCACUAAUUAAUAAGUUGCCAAGGAACGUCCUUGGGGUUUUAAGCAUCUAACAACUGUCAAUUGCAUUAAGAAAUAGAGAGACCUAAUUGUAGUUACCCAAACGUAUGGUGAUGUUGCUAGAUUAUGCAAUUUCUUUAGUUUUUACACCAAGAGUUACUUGUGUUUGAAUAAUUCAAGCAAUUACGGAGUUAAAACUAUCCAAACUAACAAAUUAUUACCUUGUAAUCAAGAAUCAAUGGAUCCUACUGAUCUAAAUAACAAAGUAACAAUAGAAUUAAGCAUGAAAUUACAUAAAUAUUGAUAAAUAAAAGAUUAACAUAAUAUGUUCAGAUCUCCCAAUCCAUAAACAACUAAAGUUUCACCUAAUUUUCAACUAGAAAAAAGGGUUUCAACCACUCAUCGCUAAAACAAACAUGAAAAAUAAAGAAAGAAAACCAAAGAAAGGAAUAGGAAGGCCAAUCGGCCGGCUGGAAUGGUAUGCUGGUGGCACGUGGCUGCUGUGCAGCUUCUGCCGAAGAUGAAUGAUGAUCCAAAGAUGGUUCUUUGCUGGUUUUCUUGUCCUUUUAUAGCUGAGGAGGUUGCCCUAGGUUUUCUUGUUGAGAUGGGAUUCCUUUUCCUACUUGGAGUUGACUUCUUGAAAGCAAUUAUAUCUUCUUGAGAGCAAUUGUAUCUUCUUGAGAUUUAGCUUUGUAAAUAUGUAGGAUAGAGUGCUGAGGUAUAUUAUUCACUUGCUGAGCUGUCCCCACGUGUUUGGUGUGAAAAAGACUUCUUGAAAACUUGAAUUCCAAGUUUCCCGCAACUGCUGUCUUCUGUCGUAAGUGCUUGUUUGCCCGGGUUGUGUGGGCAAACAGCUCAGGCAAACAGUCUGUCUUGCCUGCUGUCUGUGCACUGCUUCUGCCCUGUGGGCUUGUUUGCCCAGUUUGCCUGGGCAAACAAUCUGGUCAAACAGCAAGUCUGUAUUUUCCUCAUCCCUCUCCCAAUUCAGUUGCAACUUGGUUUGAGCAAACAACUUGGGCAAACCAGGCUUGGUCUCUUUUGCUCUCUUUUGGGCAGAUUUAAGACCAUUUUUAUCAAAUUACCCUUUUAAUCCAUUUUCUGCAAAAUAAAAUCAAAACCACAAAAUUGGGUAGAAAAUGUGUAAAUCAACAUAAAUAACAAUAUAAAAAAUGGGUCUAAAAUUUGCUUGAUCAGGGAGCUGGUUUACAAUCUGAAAAGCCAGAGUCAUUAAGGAUGUCAAGGGCUAUUUACGCUGACAAAGAGAGAUGUCAGCUUUAGUUCUUGCUACUUCCAACCCCAGAAAAAACUUCAAAUCACCAAGGUCUUAUUUUCAACUUGUUAUCAAGAAAAGAUUUAACGGUGUUAAUUUCUUGUAAAUUUGUGCCAGCCAAGAUAACAUCAUCGACAUAAACCAAUAUCACUAUGAUGUGAACAUCAUAUUUCUUAACAAAGAGGGAAUAGUCUGAGAUAGACUGUUUAUAACCUAGGGAGACAAGAAUAUUAGACAAUUUUGAAUAUCAUUGACAAGUGGCUUACUUUAAACCAUAGAGUGACUUGUUUAAGUGACAAACUUUGUUAGACUGAGAGGUAGUAAGCCUGGAGGAAGUUUCAUGUAUACUUUUUUAUGAAGAUCUCCAUGAAGGAAUGCAUUAUUAAUGUUCAACUAUUGUAAAAAUCAUCCAUUAGCAGCUGCAAGAGCUAAGAGAAGUCGAGUAAUGGUUAUCUUAGUAACAGGUGAAAACAUAUCAAAAUAAUCAACACCUUCAGUUUGUAUAUAGCCUUUUGCCACUAGACGGGCCUUAUACCUUUUGAUGGAGCCAUCAGCUAUCAGCCUGAUGUUUGAUUUUAAAUACCCGUUUACAUCCUAUGGGAGUAACAUCUUUGGGUAAAUCAACAUCUUUCCAGGUAUGAUUAGCUUUCAGGGCUAGAAUUUUAGCUUGCAUUGCCUGUUUCCAACAGUCAUAUUUGAUGGCUUGGUUGUAAGUUUUUGGCUCAGUGGUGGCAGAUAUUGAUAAGGCGAAGUUUCUAUGAGAUUGAGAUAAGUGGAUAUAAGAAAGGGCUGAGGAAAUAGGAUGAGGACUAGUAAUGGAAGAAAGGUUGCAAUGCUAGUCUUGGAGGUCGGAGGUUGGUUUGCAAGUUCUAUUGGAAACAGGAAUAGAGGAAGGAGAAGGAGAAGAUAUAGGUGGUAUAUAAGGAUCGUCAUAAUCUGAGAGAGUGAAGUCUUGUGGAAGAGAUGGAGGGGCUGGAAUUGUAGAUUGAUGAAAAGGAAAUAUGUUUUCAUAAAAGGUGACAUCUCUUGAAAUAAAAACAGCCUAUGAAUGCAAAUCAAGCAAGAAAAAUCCCUUUAUACCAGAUUUGAAGCCAAGAAAAAUACAUUUGUGGGCCCUUGCAUCAAAUUUGGUCCUAGUGGCUUUUAAAGUAGAGGCAAAGCACAGUGAUCCAAAGACCCUCAGGUCAUUAUAAUUAGGCAUACAAGAGAAAAGGACUUCAAAAGGAGACUUGUUAUGAAUCAGAGGACUGGGCAAUCUGUUUAUCAAGUGAACAGAAUGCAAGAUAGCAUAGGACCAAUAUGGAAGAGGUAACUUGGAUUGAAAUAUCAAGGAUCUUGCGAGGAUGUGUUGGUGCUUCCUCUCUGCUGUACCAUUCUAUUGAGGAUUCUCAACAUAGGAUAUUCGGUGAAUGACUAAAAGUCUGGUAUUGGAAAUUCAACUCCAAUGUUACUUCUGAUUUUUUGGAUCUUAGUAGAAAAUUGAGUUUCUACAAGAUUAAAAAAGGAUUGAAGGCAAGACCUGGCAUCAGAUUUAGAGUGCAAUAAGAAAAUCCAAGUGAACUUAGUGAAAUCAUCCCCAACAGUUAAGAAGAAUUUGUGACCAGUUAUUGAACAUACUGAAAAUGGCCCCCAAAUAUCUACAUGUAUUAGUUCAAAAGCUCUAUUUGUAGUAGAUAUGCUAUCAGAAAACAAAAGCCUUUUUUGUUUUGCAAAGUGGCAAAACAAUUUCUAGAAAGAGUAAGCUUAGACACAGAUAAGAAUGAAAAGAGCACCAUUCAGUAUCAAUUUGUCUGUCAAUUGAACUGUGCCUGCAACUUUUGUAAGAAGCAUGGAUCCAUUUGGAAGUGUAACAACAAUGGAUGGAAUGUUGUGAUAAGUACUGAAAAGAUGCAGUGAAUGUGCAAUAUGGUAUAUUUCACCAGUGUCCACUAUCCAAACAUCAGAACUGGCAGAAAAAGAUAAUGCCAAAUGUGUACCUGGUUGAGGAUCAAAGGCAGAUACCAAGUUUGUAACAGGAGUAGAGAUUGCCUGAGAGUUGUUAGAUGUUAACUGUGGAUAGGAUUUAGCUUCAAGAUGAGAAUCAUUGAGGAGUGCUAGUAAGCCAUGAUAUUAUUCUUGCGUUAAUGAGAAUCUUAAUUUCUCAAUUUUUGUCUGAGGCCCAAUUGAACUGAUGGCUUGAACCUCAUCAACAGCGAUAACAUUGUUGACGGUCACAUUUGAUCCUCUUGGUUUAUAACCGGGGGAUAUCCAUGUUUCUUAUAGUAAGUUUCUAUUGUGUGCCUGUACCUUCCACAAAAUGUGUAGUAUCUAUUGUCUCCAGAGGAGUUAACAAUAGAUUUUUCAGCUGAAUGAAACUUGUAAUUGUAUGAAGGGACAAAUCUAAAACUGGACAGAUUAGAUUUUGCAAUCGGACUAAUUAAAGCCUUAGAUUCAUCAAGAUGCAUCACAAGAGGGGCUAUUUUCCUUUCCCUUUUCUUAUUGAAUGACUUAAAAAAAAACCGUUAUUGAUGGAAGGAAAGGAGUCUAACAUUAUGAUUUGUGUCCUUACAUUCACAUAUUGUUCAUUCAGACCCUUUAGGAAUCGAAUGACAUAAUCAUGAGAGAGUGAAGUCUUGUGGAAGAGAUGGAGGGGCUGGAAUUGUAGAUUGAUGAAAAGGAAAUAUGUUUUCAUAAAAGGUGACAUCUCUUGAAAUAAAAACAACCUAUGAAUGCAAAUCAAGCAAGACAAAUCCCUUUACACCAGAUUUGAAGCCAAGAAAAAUACAUUUGCGGGCCCUUGCAUCAAAUUUGGUCCUAGUGGCUUUUAAAGUAGAGGCAAAGCACAGUGAUCCAAAGACCCUCAGGUCAUUGUAAUUAGGCAUACAAGAGAAAAGGACUUCAAAAGGAGACUUGUUAUGAAUCAGAGGACUGUGCAAUCUGUUUAUCAAGUGAACAGAAUGCAAGAUAGCAUAGGACCAAUAUGAAAGAGGUAACUUGGAUUGAAAUAUCAAGGAUCUUGCAACAUUGAGGAUGUGUUGGUGCUUCCUCUCUGCUGUACCAUUCUGUUGAGGAGUCUCAACAUAGGAUAUUCGGUGAAUGACCCCUUUAGAAGCAUAAAAGACUGGUAUUGGGAAUUCAACUCCAAUGUUACUUCUGACUUUUUGGAUCUUAGUAGAAAAUUGAGUUUCUACAAGAUUAAAAAAGGAUUGAAGGCAAGACCUGGCAUCAGAUUUAGAGUGCAAUAAGAAAAUCCAAGUGAACUUAGUGAAAUCAUCCCCAACAGUUAAGAAGAAUUUGUGACCAGUUAUUGAACAUACUGAAAAUGGCCCCCAAAUAUCUACAUUUAUUAGUUCAAAAGCUCUAUUUGUAGUAGAUAUGCUAUCAGAAAACAAAAGCCUUUUUCGCUUUGCAAAGUGGCAAAACAAUUACCAGAAAGAGUAAGCUUAGACACAGAUAAGAGAUUAAAGGCAAAUUCUGGAAUGAAAAGAGCACCAUUCAGUAUCAAUUUGUCUGUCAAUUGAACUGUGCCUGUAACUUUUGUAAGAAGCAUGGAUCCAUUUGGAAGAGUAACAACAAUGGGUGGAAUGUUGUGAUAAGUACUGAAAAGAUGCAGUGGAUGUGCAAUAUGGUCUGUUUCACCAGUGUCCACUAUCCAAACAUCAGAACUGGCAGAAAUAGAUAAUGCCAAAUGGGUACCUGGUUGAGGAUCAAAGGCAGAUACCAAGUUUGUAACAGGAGUAGAGAUUGCUUGAGAGUUGUUAGAUGUUAACUGUGGAUAGGAUUUAGCUUCAAGAUGAGAAUCAUUGAGUGCUAGUACGCCAUGAUAUUAUUCUUGCAUUAAUGAGAAUCUUGAUUUCUCAAUGUUUGUCUGAGGUCCAAUUGAACUGAUGGCUUGAAUGUUAUCAACAGCGGUAACAUUGUUGACGGUCACAUUUGAUCCUCUUGGUUUAUAACCAGGGGGAUAUCCAUGUUUCUUAGAGUAAGUUUCUAUUGUGUGCCUGUACUUUCCACAAAAUGUGUAGUAUCUAUUGUCUCCAGAGGAGUUAACAACAGAUUUUCCAGCUGAAUGAGACUUGUAAUUGUAUGAAUGGACAUAUCUAAAAUUGGAUAGUUUAGAUUUUGCAAUUUGACUAAUUAAAGCCUUAGAUUCAUCAAGAUGCAUCACAAGAGGGGCUAUUUGCCUUUGCCUUUUCUUAUUGAAUGACUAAAGAAAAAGUGUUAUUGAUGGAAGGAAAGGAGUCUAACAUUAUGAUUUGUGUCCUUACAUUCACGUAUUGUUCAUUAAGACCCUUUAGGAAUCGAAUGACAUAAUCAUGUUCUACAUAUUGCUUCAUUUUGCUCAAGGCACCAUAUGAACAAUUAGGUUCACAUGAACAGGAAGGCAUUAGUCUGAAAUUCAUCAAUUCAUCCCAUAAAAUUUUGAGUUAAGUAAAAUAAUUAGUGAUAGACUUCUCACCUUUUUUUAGUGCAUAGAUCUCCUCUUGCAAAUCUGAUACUCUCAAGAUAUCUCCUUGAGAGAAUCUUUCUUUUAAAUCUUUCCAAACAUCCAUGGCUUUGUCAAUGAAUAAUAUGUUUUGUGUGAUUGAUGACGAAAGGGAUCACAUUAUCCAAAAUAGAACCAUCAUAUUCCAUCGUUCCCAAGUAGAACACAACAGAUCUGUUGCAGCAGGAGCUUGUAUAAUGCCAUCUACAAAUUUCAUUUUAUUCUUUGACAAUAGGGCCAUCUUCAUUGCUCUUGACCAAGUGUGAUAAUUAGGACAUGUUAAAACUGGAGAAAUAAGAACUAGUGCAGGAUUCUCAUUCGAGUGCAAGAAAUAUGGACCGGAUGGACUUUGUGUUGGAUCGCUACUAGCAGAAACAACCAUGGAUGGAAGAAAAAUUAAAGGGAGGGAAAAAUGAUUUUCUUGAGAGAGAGAAUUAUAGAAAAAAAACUCUAUUUCGGAGCUCGACGAAGGUAAAAAUUAAAGGAAAAAUUGAUUUUCUUUAAGGGUGUAAACGAACCAAACUGUUUGUGAGCUAUUCGAGACUCAACUCGAUAAAAGUUCGAUCGGACUCGGCUCGUUUUCUAAACGAGCCAAGUUCAAGCUCACUUUUUAGGCUCAUUCCGAACUUGAGCUUAGCAGUAUUCAGCCCGUUUAGGCUUGUGAGCUCAGCUCGUCCUGUCAACCUCUAGCAGCCUACUAACAUCCAACAAGACUGCCAGACUGGGAAAGAUUCUAGAAUCGGGGGAAGCUUAACCAGCACAAGACUUCUAGGCUGGAGGAAGAUUCCAGAAUUGGGGGAAGCUUGACCAGCAGACCGUAGCUGGCAGAGAAGUUCUCCAAGAAUCAUUAAAUAAUGCUUGUCUUAGCCUAUAAAUAGGGAAGUCCCACGAAUUUGUAAACAAGAAGCAGAAUAUUAGAGAUUACUUGCAUUGAGAAAGCUCUUAUAAUUUGUACAACCAUUCUCCAAAAAGCAUUAAAUAAUGCCUGUCUUAGCCUAUAAAUAGGGAAGUCCCACGAAUUUGUAAACAAGCAGAAUAUUAGAGAUUACUUGCAUUGAGAAAGCUUUUAUAAUCUGUACAACCAUUCUAGUGAAAUAUACUUCCUCUUUGUGUAAUUCUCUUCUCCUUUGCAAGUGUGUGAUUGUCCCAAUUCGUUCCUUGUGUUGUUGGUUGGUUGGAUAGGCUUACUUUUGUUGGUUUUGGGGAGAGCAACCUCACAAGUGCCGCACGUUGGCAAGCUGAAAAGUCUUGUAGCGUGACACGUGGUAUCAAGCCGACUCGUGAACAAGCUCGCGAACAAUCUCAUGAGCAAGCUCGCGAACAAGCUCAUGAGCAAGCUCGCGAACAGGUUCAUGAGCAGGCUCGUUCGCAAAUACCAAUCCCACAUCGAAAGUUGAAGGGAUAUGGAGGAUUAUGACUUCUCUAUAAAAGGACAACCCUUCAACAUUUUUUUUAUUAGUUUUGGGUUUGAGAGAUUUCAAUUAAAUUUAAAAAAUUUAAUUUAAAAGUCUCUUAAUGAUUUUAUAAUUUAAAUUUCUUAAUAAUUUAAAUGAAUUUGAAUUAUAUUGAGCUUGUUUAUAAUAUAAUCGAGCUCAAAUUCGAGCCUAAAUGAUAAAUGACUAAUUAGACUCCGUUAGGAGUUUUAACCAAUAUCAUUUGACUAUUUGACUAAGACGAUAUAAGAGAAAAGAUAGACUGAAAAGACGAACAGUCUUAUUGAAAUUUUUCAAAAAUUAAAAAGUGGAUUUCUAAUAACUAAGAGAGGCUAUUUAUAAUAGAAAAAAAAAUCAUAAUAUGCAAAAUUAUAAAAAUAUCCAAAAAAUAAUUAAAAUACAAAACUGACCCCCUAAACGAUGAAAUUUUCAUAUUGAACUUUAUAAUAGGCCUGCGACCCUUGUCACACUUUUGAAAGUCAUGCGUCUCAAAAUUCCCUUUUUGAAAAGCUAUCGUGGGUCUCCAUCGGACGUCGGCAGUAAAAGUUAGGCUCAGUCCAAGUCUGCUGUAAAGUCCAAGACUAAUUGCUCCAUAUCAUUCCCUUCCAUUUGUAAAGAAUUCGACCUCGAGUUGUCAUCAGUAGGGUAGUACUGAAAUAGAUUCACCACGUUAAAUGUCUUGAAAAUUUUCAUCUCAUUUGGGAGGUCAAGAACAUAGGCAUUGUCAUUAAUCUUCUAAAUGAUCUGGAAUGGACCAAUCUUCUUGGCGUCAAGCUUUUUUUGUCCUCCACCAUGCUCCUUGCGUAAAUACACUAUAACUUAGUCUCCAACAUUGAAGGAUUUGAAACGCCUAUGUUUAUCAGCUAUAACUUUAUAUUUGUCAUUAACUUCUAUAAGGAAUUGUUGUACCUGUUUCAAAACAUCCACAUGCUACUUUGCCAAGUUGCUUGCUGCUAUACUGUUGUGAGAACCUGUAGAAAGGGCAAUAAGGUCGACUGUAUGUGCUGAGACUUUCCUAUACACAACUGCAAAUGGUGACAUCUUUGUGGAGUUGUGAACAUCACUGUUGUAAUCAAAUUCUGCUUGCACAAGAGCAAGAUUCCAAGUAGUUUUCUUGUUACUACAGAUACGAUGCAAAAGAUUGUGAAGCUUGCAGUUCACUACUUCAGUUUGGGGAUGGGCAGCACUAUUGUAUCGAAGUUCAGUUCCAAAACGUUUCCAUAAAGUCACCCAGAAGUGAGCUAGAAACUUCACAUCUCUGUCAGAAGUAAUGGUCUUUGGGACACCAUGUAGACGAACAACCUCCUGAAAAAACAGUUUUGCCACAUGAGAAGCAUCAUUAGUUUUCUUGCAAGGAAUGAAAUGCACCAUUUUGGAGAACCUGUCAACAACAAUAAAAAUGAAAUCAAAUCCACGUUGAGUACGUGGAAGGCCAAGAACAAAAUUCAUAGACAAGUCCUCCCAAGGAUGUGCUGGAAUAGGCAGUGGAGUGUAUAAGCCCGUAUUCUGCGAAUGUCCCUUCUGAGUUUGACAAAUUGGGCACUUCUGGACCAUCCGACCUAUAUUCCUUUUUAAUUGUGGCCAGUAAAAAUGCUCCUCCAACCCAGCAACAGUCUUAUCACGCCCCAAAUGUCCACUCAAACCUCCUCCAUGGACCUUCCGAAUAAGUUUUUCCCGCAAAGAAGAUCGAGAAAUGCAUAACUUGUUCUCCUUAAAAAGAAAGCCAUCAUAUAUUAAGAACCCAUCAGCAAGCUAGUGAGUCUAGACUCUAGCCCAUAUAUCAGAAAAGUCAUCAUCUGUAGCAUACAAAUCCUUUAGGAAUUCAAAACCUACAACUUCCUGAUUAAUUGUAAUCAAUAGAGCAACCCUGUAAUACCCGGCUAGAAUCCGGCACCGGAAUUCCUGUUGUCUGGUGGAAUCCGGGGUGUUGGGAUUCUAUAUACGGGUAGGAUCGAUAGUUUUGAGUUGAAAUGAACCAAGGCAGAGGAGCCAAGUUCGGCCGCCGAAGAUAAGUUCGGCCGCCGAAAGUGCUCAAUGUUCGGCUUCCGAAGAUUCAGGUUCGGCCCCCGAAUGUUGCAUGGUCUUGCAUGCGAUUGGGCAGCCGAAACUGAGUUGGCCAGCCAGCUUUUGGGCAUCCUUAGUCAGCAUUUUGGACAGGUGUUAACCAGGCUUAACAGGUAUGAGAUAACCCAUCUAGAGUAAGCUCUAGUCAGGGAUACAGAGUACAGAGUACAUGAGUACAGAGUACAUGAGUACAGAGUACAGAGAUAGUGCAUGCACAGGUUAAGCCUUGGUUCAGAAAAGAGUUUUAUUUUCACAGAAAAUGUAUGAUCAUGUAUGAGGUUUACAGGUACACAGAGAGUAUAGUAGGCUUGCUACGGGUUCUGGCGGCCUUAAGCCGACCUGAAUCCUAGCGCCGGUGACGGUCCAUUUUGGGGUCGUUACAAACCCUACUACUCAAAGCAUCUGCCACCUUAUUACUAUGGCCAGCCUUAUGUUUUAUGACAUAAUGAAAGGCUCCAAAAUAAGUUGCCCAUCGACCAUGCAUCUUAUUCACAUGUUUUUAAGUUUUAAAGUGGAUCAAAGAUUGAUGAUCCGUGUGAAUAAUAAACUCUCAUCCCAUCAUAUACUACUCCCAAGUUUUAAAAGUCUGGAGUACUACAUAUAGCUCUUGCUCAUAAGUAGACCACUUCUUCCUAACUUCAUUCAGUUUCUCACUAAAGAAGGCAAUAGGCCUUUUAGACUGCGACAACACUCCGUCAAUCCCAACUCCACAAGCAUCACAUUCAAUCUCAAACAGUUUAUCAAAAAUAGGUAGAGCAAGAAUAGGGGCAGAAGUAAGCUUAUCUUUAAUCUCUUCAAAUCUCUUGUUGAUAGUGUCAGUCCAAGCAAAUUUCUACACUCUCUCUUUCUUCAAGCAAUCUGUGAUAGGGUAAUGAUGCUGCUAAAAUUUCUGAUAAACCGCCGAUAGAAAGUAGCAAGGCCAUGAAAGUUGCGAACUUCAAAAAUAGUUUUGGGGAUGGGCCAAUUCCGUAUUAUUUCUACCUUCUUCUCAUCAAUAUGUAUUCCUUUUGCACUAACAAUGAAUCCCAGGAACAAAACGCGCUCUGUCAUAUAAAUGCACUUUUUAGAUUAAUAACCAUCUCACUUUCUUGCAAGGUUGUCACGAUUUGAUGGAGAUGCUGUAAAUGUUCUUCUUUGCUGCGACUAAAAAUCAAGAUGUCAUCAAAAUAAACAACCACAAAUUUGCGUAAGAAAGGACGCAAAACCUUAUUCUUAAGUCGCAUAAAGGUGCUAGGUGCAUUCGUCAAACCAAAGGGCAUAACCAGCCACUCAUACAAGCCUUCCUUAGUCUUGAAGGCGGUCUUCCAUUCAUCUCCCUCCUUGAUCCGAACUUGGUGAUAGCCGCUUUUAAGGUCGACCUUAGAGAAGACUUUAGACCCGGAUAACUGAUCUAGCAUAUCAUCCAGUCGUGGAAUAGGAAAUUGAUACUGAACUAUAAUUUUGUUGAUGGCGCUGCUAUCCACGCACAUUCCUCAAGUCCCAUCUUUCUUUAGAACUAAUAGGGCAGGUACUUCGCAGGGGUUAAUGCUCUCCCGAAUAUUCAAUACUUCUUCAACGUGUUCUUGGAGGAUUUCACUCUCCUUUGGACUCAUAUUAUAAUGAGGCAAAUUCGAUAAUUUUGAUCCAGAAAUGAGAUCAAUCUGAUGUUGGAUAUUCCGCAAAGGUGGAAACUUGGAUGAUUCCUCCACUAUCUUAGGAAACUCCUUCAACAGCUCUUUGACAGGUGGUGGUAAAGAUGGUGCAUCCUCCAUUACACCUUUUGCUCUCACCAAUAAAGCCAGUGUGCCUCCAGAUUUUUCAACUGCGCCUGAUAGCCUCUGCACUCCCGUGGAAAUAGCAACAACAUUCUUCCUUUCUACUUUAGAAUGUUUCGCAGAACCAGAAGGCAAGAUAGUAAUCUUCUUUUGAUUCCACGUGAACAUGUAUAAAUUCUCCUUCCCCUUAUGCAAAGCAUCAACAUCAAACUGCCAAGGGCUACCUAGCAAAAUUUCACAGCAAUCCAUAUCCACAACAUCACAAUUAACAGGUUCAGUAUAAGAUUUACCGAUCAAGAUAGGCACGCUAUAGACUCUAUUGACCUCAAUUGUCGGACCUUCCUUAAUCCAUCUGACUUUGUAUGCGAAGGGUGUGGCUGUGUAGGCAACUGCAAUUUUCCCACCAAUUGCUUAGCUAUCAGAUUCUCACAACUGCAACUAUCUAUAAUUAGCCUGCAAAUUGCCUCUCAUACUUGACAAUUUGCUUGGAAAAUCUUCCUCCUUUGCGUCUCAUCCUCCUGUUUUGUUGAGCAUAAGAUUUUCUUCACCACAUAGGUGAUCUCUCCAUCUUUUGAACUAGCAAUCUGAAUGUACAUGACAUUCAAAUUUCACAUUAAGACAGCAAAGNNNNNNNNNNNNNNNNNNNNNNNNNNNNNNNNNNNNNNNNNNNNNAAAAAUCUAUCAUGAUGGAAUAUGGUAGAGACUUACAUCUCCACUCCUUUCCUUCACUUUCUUAAUUAUAAUUAGGAACAUCUUCAACUUCAAUUCAAGUACGUACACAAAUAAAAAAAACUUAAUUACACGUAUAAAACAUUACCAAAUUUCAACGAAUCUAUCAUGGCGCAUCAACAUGUUUAUUCCCAGUGGAACACAUGGUUGAACCAAGAGUACUAUAAUUUAUAUAUCGGCUAGGAGCUGAAGUUCUAUGAAAUCCUUUCGGCAAACAAUUCGUCAUCCACGUCUUCCUCAGAUUCAGCCACCGGCUCAACCACAUUAACCUAUCAGUGAUCAGUAUUAACUCCUCUAUGUUCUGAACAAUUAUUCGAUCGAUGACCAGGUUGCCUGCAGCGGUAACAUAUGUCUCCCAUUGGCUUCUGAUAAGGAUUGGUCUACCUCCUUUGUCUAUUGUAGUAGUGACUGCCUUUCCUUUACUGUCUCUCCUUUCUUCCAUAAUAUUUUGAGGAUUGCCAGAAUUUACAACCUUAGAAGACUGCUCGCUGUUAUUGCCUCUAUACUGCUAUGUCCUUGUCGAACCAAAAUUUCUAUAAUUAAAAUUCCGGUUGUACUACUGUCGUAGUUGCCAAUCAACACGCUCUUCUACUCUUUUUGCCAUCUCGAUGGCGUCUGUCAAAGUGAAAAUCGUAGCUUGAUAGUGGUUGUCGAAGCUGUAAAAAAUAAACCUAUUAUCAAUCAAUAAAAUAAUUUGUAGAUAGUGGCAAUAGGGUCGAACUAUAGGGAUUUGACACUAAAGAUCUUCCUAAUUAUGACUUGGACAAGUAAAUAAAAAUAAAUAAAAAGAGGGGGCUUUGUUUUGAUGAUAAUGAAUUAAAACUAAAUAGUAAGAGAAAGUAAUAAUUUAAAAAGAUGAGUAAAUCAAUGGGAGAAAAGCUCUAGUUGAAGUAUGGAUCUGUUUCAAUUGUUUAGAAUUGAUCAUUGAUACUCCUAUUUAUUUUAAUAAAUUAGUUUAGAUUGUGGAAGACGCUUCUCAAAACCAAAUUCCUCCUUAGUUUUAGUUUGACUAGGAAACGUUCGCUAAUCAAACACUAGUUAACAAGUUGCCAAGGAACGUCUUUGGGAUUUUUUACUUUUCAACUGUUAACUGCAUUAAGACUUAGAGAAACCCAAUUCUAAUCUUGCCAACCGCGUGGUCAAGUUUAGAUUAUGCAACCAAGUGUGCUUGUGUUCAAACAAUCUAAGGAAUUACGGACCUAAAUUAUUCAAACUAACAAUUUAUUACUUAUGCAAUUAAAAGCAACAGGCCUUAAUUGAUUCUAAUAACAAAGCAAUAAUAGCAUGAAGAUCAAGUUGCACAAAUAUUGAAAAUAUAGGAGCUUAACAAUGGAGUUUUAAAUCUCUCAAUUCAUCACAAACUGAAAUUUUCCAACUUCAACUAGAAAAGAAGGUGUUUAGCCACUCAUGGUGGACAAAAAUACACAAAAAGAAAGAAGAAAAGUAGAAGAAGAGAGCUGUUGUGUUGCUUGCUGACUUUCUGCAGUAAAUUCGAUGCCUUUUUGCUGGUUUUGGUGCUAUCCCUUUUAUAGGUGGAGAUUCCUAAUUCAAUUAGGACUUGGAAUCCUUCUUUGAAUUGGUUUCAUGAUGGUCUUUUAAUUCCUCCUUGCUUUCGUAUUUUAUAAUGAAUAAAAUUCCUUUGGUGAAAGAUUUUCUUUGGUGUGGCUUUUGGAGUUGUCAUAAGAUUGAUCUUGUAGUGUUUGAAGUAGGAUAGGACUUCAAUGCUUUUGAAAUUUGAAAUUUGAAAUUUUUCUCGAGCUGUUGUUCCUUGUUUGCGUCAGUUUGAUUUGGGCAGUUGAUUUGCCCAAAUCGCUUGCCCAGAUCAUUUCUGCAAUUCAGUCCCAGUUUUCUGCUUCAGCUUCCUGCGAGUGAUUUGGCCAAAUCACUUCGACCCAAUCAAUUUUUCAGCUUUUUCUGCACUUUUUCUCUAACUUUCCAUUUUCUUCAUUUUCUGUAAAAAUAUCACAAAAACAUAAAUUAAAUUAGAAAAAUGUGUAAUUAAACAGUAAUAAAAAUAAUAAAAAUGUGACUAAAUUAUGCUUGAACACAGCUACUCCUAUCAUACAACGAAUUUCGUGAUUCAGGCCCCUCUGAUAAUGAGCAACUUGCUGGGCUUCGUUCUCACAGUUUUCACACCUCGCCUAUAAUCUCAAAAACUCCUCGGUAUAUUCAUUCACCCUUCGGUUCCCCUGUACACAGUCAUGAUAUCGGUUAUACAAAACCUGAGCGUGAUCGUUUGGCAAGAACCGUUGUUUAAUCAUCUGCUUCAUUAACACCCAGUUUCGUAUGGGUUCCAGCCUCCUCUGAUAGCAUUCAUUUUGAAUCGAAUUCCACCAGGCUGCUACACCUCCUUUUAACUUAUAGGCCAUAAUCGAAACCUUGCGAUCCUCUUUCACGUUUAUAACUUCGAAGAAAUGUUCAACCUCUGCCAGCUAAUCAAGAACAGAUUCCACAUUCAACGAACCAGAAAAGUUUUGAAGGUCUAUAUUGAUCUUGUAACCUUCCUGAUAAUUCUGUUGGGGAUUUGCAGGUACAGAAUUGGCGACCACAAAAUUGGCGGCCACAGGAUUGGUGACUGGCUGGGGGUGUGCGACGGCGGUGGGUUGGUGUAUUCCCUACUGCAGGGCCAGCUGUCCUAUCAUCUCCUUCAAUUCUGCCAAAGAUGCCUCAAUCGCAGCAAGUCGUACCUCUUAGUUGUCUGCCAUGGUCAAACUUUGCUCUGAUACCAAUCAGAUAAAGGACUAAUUAGACUCUGUCAGGAGUUUUAAUCAAUAUCGUUUGGCUAAGACGAUAUAAGAGAAAAUAUAUGCUGAAAAGACGAAUAAUCUUAUUGAAAUUCUUCAAAGAUUGAAAAGUGAGUUUCUAAUAGUUAAGGGAGGCUAUUUAUAAUAGAAAAAAACUCUAAUAUGUAAAAUUAUAAAAAUAUCUAAAAAAAUAAUUAAAAUACAAAAUUGACCCCUAAAAGAUGGAAUUUCCAUAUCGAACUUAGUGAUAGGCUUACUGCCCUCGUCACACUUUUGAAAGUUGUGCGUCUCAAAAUUUCCUUUCCGAAAAGUUAUCGUGGGUCUCCAUUGGACGUCGGCAGCAAAAGUUAGACCCGGUCCAAAUCUGCCAUAAAGUUCAAGACUAGUUACUCCAUAUCACUAAAUGAGCUCAAAUUUACUCCAUAUCACUAAAUGAACUCAAAUUCAAACUUUUUGAAUAGAGUUUGAGUUGGCUCGUUAAUGUGAUAAACGAGUUUAUUAAGAAUCGAGUUCGAGCCGAAGAAUCGAGUUCGAGCUUAUAAAUGAAACUCGAGUCAAGCUUGAAUUCGAACUUGAACUUUUAAAUUUAUUUUCUAAUUGAAUUUGAGUUUAUCAAAGCUCGGCUCAACUCGACUCGAUUAUGGCCCUAAUUUCUUGUAUAUUUUGGAUCAGCAGCCAUACAUGUAUAUAUACAGUGGGUACAAUAGGCUUGACUCAAGAUAGGUUUACAGAAAAUGCAACACACUUGAAAGAACUGAAAACAGUUUCUCUAAUCAACCUUAAUAGGUUUCUUGCUUUUUUUUUUCAUGAUUUAAUCUUAAACCUUUUUGCAGUACGAAAAAUAGUGUAAUUUAUCAAAUUAAAAAAAAAAGUCUAUUCAUGAAAUUAAGUGCGAAAAUAACUUAUUCACCUUUAAAUUAAUAUAUACAUUAUAUAUAAAUUGCAUAAUAAAUUUAUUAACCAACUUAAAUCAUUUGUUUAGAUUACAGAUUUUGGACUUGCUCAUGUUUUUACGGACGUUGCUACUCACAUAUCCAAAUCAUCAGUUAUGGGAACCCGAGUGUACGUAAGAUAUAACUUUCUUUCUAUAUUUAAUUGCAUUGCUAUUUUUUUUCUUAUAUAAACGAAUUGCAUUGCUAUUAUUAUCUUUUUUAUUUUCACUCUCAUUAUUAUCUACUCUAAAAUAAAAAUUAAAAUAAAAAAAUACAUAAAAAUAAAUUAAGACUCCUUAAUUUGAAGAUAUUAUUUUCUUAAAGAAAAUCUACAUGAAUUUUAAUUGCAAUAAUUCCAUUGCAGUUAUGAAGAUCCACUAACGACGAAAUUGGGGAAGUAUUCUGAUAAGUCUGAUAUUUAUUCUUUUGGUGUUACACUUUUAGAGUUGAUUACCGGAAGAAAACCUCUAGAUAAUGGCACUGAUAUUGUUACUUGGGUAUGACUCUAUUUGCAUUAAUAAAAACUAUGAUAUAAUUUUUUUUUUAUCUCAGUGAUAUAUAGUCAUUUAAAAAAAGUAAAGUCUUGAAUUUAGAUUUCAAUGGAGCUAUUUAGAUUUCAUUCCCAUGCAUUUAAGAUCCAUUAAUAAAUAUUUUUUUUAUCUUGUAGGCAAAUCUUCGCAUUAAAAAAGUUUUAGACGGAAAAUAUGCAAAUUUUGUAGAUUCUAAAUUACAUUCUUUUGAUGCCGAACAAAUGCAUAGAAUGGUUUCUUGUAUUAAUUCUUGCUUAAAUCAACCUCCAAACUCUCGUCCAACGAUGGAAAAGGUAAAAAUUGUUCCCAUAAUUAAUUUAAUUUCAGUAUCUUUCAAUAUAUAUAUAUAUAUAUAAUUAUGUAGAAGCCUAUUGAUUUGUAAUUAUUUUUUUGCUAUAAAUGUCACACAGAUACGUUUAGUUCUUGAAGGAAAAUCACCUCUAGAGGAAUUAUAUGGUCACGAAGGAUUGCAGCUGAGUAUGAUAUAUAAAGGUUCAUAUUAUUUUAUGUUAAUUUAUUAUAAAUUAUAUGCAUAUUUAUACUAAAGCUUGAUCUAAUUGCUGCCUAAAUUGUCAUUUAAUUUUCAACUGCAAAAAAUAAGUUUUUUAAUUUGAAAUUUAGAAUAAAUUAGUUUUUAACCAAAAUUGAUACAUAUUAAUUAAAUAUAUUUUUUAAUCUUAUAAUUAUUCAAACAAACUGUAAAAACAAUGAUGAAAGCUUUAUCUUAAAGUUUUAAAACAUAAAUCUAAAAGUUCAUAAAUAAUUUCUUAAUCGUUAAUUUUGUUAAUCAUUGAAUUAAAACGUAUAGUUAAUAUAUAUAGUAUUGAAUAGUUUCAGGAUUAAAAAUAUAAUUUUAUUUGAAUAUAAUUAUUUAUAGGGUUAUGAUUUAUCUUAUUAAUUAUUUUUAAUAAUUAUAGGAGACAAGAACAAAAAAAUCAUUUAUCAACCGAAAACCUCCUUUGUCCCAUAUAUAUGAAAAGUGUAAAAUUAAGAAUUACUAUAUUUUAUUUAUUAUUUCAUAAAAAUGAAUACGUAAUUACAUUUACAUUUAAAUCGGUUAGAGUUUUUUAGAAUUAAAAAAUAAAUUAUAAAUAUUUAAUUUAUUAAUUAGGAAUCAAUAUAUAAAUUGGAUGUUUGUAUUAAAUAGUUAACAUUUUAGUCAAUUUACAAGUUCAUUGACUUAUUUAUAAUUUUACAUAUUAUUCUUUUAUUAUUUAAGGAAAAGUAAAUAAAUAGAAACAAAUCUUCAUAAGAAAAAAAUAUAUAUUAUCAAUGGCCAUGAAACCAUUUGCUAUUUUGAAGUUGUUAAAUUUUCUUUUGAAAGAUUGUGAAACGUAAUGAUUUACUUAUAUUAUAUACAUCCUGUUUGACAAACUUCUAAUAAAUUGAUUUAGUUUGUUUAAAUAAUAAACUUAUGAUAUUUAUAGGUUACAGUGUUUUUAGGUAAAUUUCAAUCAUAUAGGUUAUUUGAAUAUUAUUAAAAUUAGUACAUAACAAUAAUAAUAACUCAAUGUAUAAAAUUAAGAAAAUGAAAAAUAAAAAUAUGAAAGUUAAUACGAUCAUUUCUCGUUCACUAAUCUAAUUGGUGAAGGUGGUUUAGGACAAAUUUUUAUCGGAUCUUUGAAUGGUGAGAUCCGUGCUAUCAAUAAACUUAAAAAUCUGCCGGAUUUACAAUUCGAAGGAGAUUUUGAGAGACAGAUUAGGGUCUUUCAUAGUAUCCGUCACAAAAAUCUCAUUGAACUGCUUGGUUACUGCAUCGAUGGACCCAAUAGAUUUCUUAUUUUAGAGUAUUUUCCAAACGGAUCUUUGAAAUAUAAAUUACAUGGUGAGUCCUAUAUCUUUUAUUUUAUAUUCAUAUAACUGUUAUGACAUAUAUAAUUAAUCUGACAAAUUAGAAAUGGUAUAUUGUAGAAAGUCAGAAUGUUUUGGACUGGAAAAAAAGAAUGAAGAUCGCUAUAGGUUCUGCAAGAGGAUUGGAAUAUUUACAUGAACAAUGUGAGUAUAUAUUAAUAGAAUAUAUUUAUGCUUGGUAGGCUUUGUAUUAAUAAUUUAUUUUCUUUAAAGUCUUAUCUUCUCUUUAUGUCUUUUUCAGGUAAUCCUAAAAUCAUACAUUUAGAUAUCAAACCAAAUAAUAUUAUUCUUGAUCAUAACUUUGAACCUAAAGUAAGACAACUAAAUAAUAAAUAAAAGUUUUGUUUAUAUCAUUAUAUAUUUAUAUUAAAACCUUGAUUGUUGAAUUUUUAAAAAAAAAAAUAUAUUAAAAAAUAUGUGAACUCAUUAAUUUGAUUGUUGUAACUAAUUAAUAAAUUAACCUUUAUAGUUUUUUUUGUCUUUUUCCUGCCUUAAUAUUUUCUUAAUAAACCUUAUUGAAGUACGGAUAAUAGUGUUAUAUGAUCAAAUAAAAAAUAAAAAAUAAAAAAAGAAUAUAUUCAUGAAAUUAAGUGUUGAAAAUAAUUAAAUAUUUAAAUUAAUAUAUAUAUAUAUAUAUAUAUAUAUGGCAUAAUAAAUUUAUUAAUCUACUUAAAUCAUUUGUUUAGAUUUCAGAUUUUGGACUCAGCACAUUUUUUACGGACGAUGAUAGUGACAUAGACGAAUCAUAUAUUGGAUGGACCCCAGGGUACGUAAGAUACAACUUUCUUUCUAUCAUUUUAAUUACAUUGCUAUAUAUUAUUGUAUAUUUCUUUUUUAGUGCCAUUAUUAUCUACACAUAAAAAGAAAUUAGGACUCUUUAAUUUGGAGAAAUUAGUUUUCACAAAGAAAAUUUUAACAUGAAGUUUAAUUGUGAUCAUUCAAUUGCAGAUAUACAGAUCCGGCCAUAUUUCAAUCGAAAAAGUAUUCUGAUAAAUUCGAUGUAUAUUCUUUUGGUAUUACACUUUUAGAGUUGAUUACGGGAAGAAAGCCCAUUCAUAAAGGACUUGACAUUGUUACUUGGGUAUGACUCUAUUAGUUUAUAACGGUAUAAUAUAAAAAUUGUAAUAUAUAUUCUUUUAGCUCAUUGAAAAAAAAUAUAUACAUAUAUACUAUAAGUUAAAUAUAAAUUUACAUGCAACAAAUAUUUAUGAUUUGUUAAUAAAUAUUUUUUUUUCAAUAUCUCAUAGGUAAAUCCUCUAAUUAAAAAGGCUUUAGACGGAGAAUAUGUGAAUUUUGUAGAUUCCAGACUACAAUCUUUUGACCACAAUGAAAUGCAUCGAAUGAUUUUUUGUGCUAAUAGUUGUAUAAAUCAAUCUCCAAAAUCUCGUCCAUCAAUGAAAAAGGUAAAAUUUAUUCACAUAAUUUAAUUUUGGUGUAUUUUAAUUAAUUUUGGGGAAGCAUUAAAAGAUUACAUAAUUGAUUUAUAUAUUUUUAUACCAUUGCUAUGCCAUGUAGAUAUUUCUAGCUCUUGAAGGACUUUUGCCUCUAGAGGUUUUAUGGGAUGAGAAGAACAACUACUUACUAGAGAGAGCUGCAAAUGAAGGUCCGUUUCUAGUAAACUAUGGGAAUAUCUAUUUCAAAGUGUUGUUCAUUUUCUUUAUAGAUAAAUUAUAACUUAAGGAUAAAGUGAGAUCAUAUUAAUGUGAAAAAAAAAAAUCUUACUAUUAUCAAUUAAAUUUUAAUUUGUUUCAGCUACAUUUUAGAAUAAAUUAAAUUAUUUUUUAAAGCAAAUUCAAUUAAACUUAAGAUUGGUAAUCAAAUCAAAAUCAUAUUUUAGUGAAUUAAAUCUUUUUUUCUUUAAGAUAAAAAGUUACAAAAUCUAAAAGUAUAAAUUGUUUUGAAUUGCAUUUUUAAAAUACUUAAUUUAUUUAAUUCUGAUUGGCAUAUAAUUCUUAAUUUUGUCUAUUUAUUUUCAUUGAAAUAAAAUGAUUACUUUAGAUACAGCUUCACAUUUGCUUCUCAACCAGUUUCACAUUUUUUUAAUCUGUUUUGAUGGAUUUUUUAUCCAAAUUUUUUUACUUAGCAUGAUUGAUCAUAAGAUGGAUAUAUUAAAAAGUCUGAUAACCGAUUUUAAUUAGAUUUUUCAUGUUAAAUUUUUUCUUGUCUUAUUAAUAAAAUGCUGCUUAUCAGAAAAAAAAAACCAGUACUUACCAUUUUGUUUUUUAAUUCCAUUUCUUGGCAAAGCAGGUGAUCCCGUUGGAGUUCGAGCAGGAAAUAUUCCUCUGAAAAAUCUCAAGAAUUGAGCAGAAAUGUUUAAAAAAAGAAUUAUUUUUUUCCUUUUAAAUAGAAGUUGGAAACUUCAUUCAAAGGCCAAUUGAACAUCGAAAUAAAAGAUAGGCCUCAGUUGAGUUGGCAAAGGAAGACUUUCUGAAUUUUGCUUUGCUUGUAUGAACAUGUAUGUGGAUCAUUCUAUGUAUUGAUACGUCUUUGGAGUACUAUUGCAAUUUUUUUUUUAAUUAAAAAAAAAAGUUGGGGUCUGAAAUAAAUAGUAUACAAUGAAGUGAUUUAAUUUUUAUAAAAUCAUAUUAUUUUUAAAUUAAAUCUUUUUAGUUAACAAAUUUAAAUGAAUUUAUCCAUCUCAAUCUUGGAGAUAAGGUUGUUGUUGAAGGUGAAGGAAAUGAUAGGCCAAAAAGAUCUCAAUGUGUGCUAUGUAACAUGAGACAUGGACACACCUAUAUGUGCAACAUGAUGGUAUACUUGCUCAUGCAACAUGAAAAAGAAUGUGGCUUUAUUUGUUGAUUUACUUGCUUCACGUGGGAUUAGACCAAAUUAUUAUCUAUUGUUAUUUUUUUUCACUAUAUCAUGAAGUUAGGAGUAGUUAUUGAUUCCAAUUUAUAUUUAAACUCUUUCUCAUUUAUCAAAAAGCCAUGCAUUAUUUUAAAUAAAAUCUCCUAAUUUAUUUUAACUAUAAGCAAAAUAUUAGUUAUUCUUUUUAAUUUUGAUUCGACCUGUCAUCCUGGGCUCUUCAGUUUUUGCAUUGAACCGAAUGUAUUUGUAUUUGAUGCUGGACGCUGGGAAAAUGGGGUAUGGAUCUGGAAUCUGCUGUGGACAACUAUAUAUACACAUGAUAUUGUAUCAACGGGAGAUUGAACUCCUAGUCCAACUAUUGGCUUCUAUUAGAGGUGUAAAUGAAUCAAAUCGUUCGUGAGCUACUGGAGAUCCGGUUCGAUAAAAACUCGACCAAGUUCGAGUUUAAUUUUUAGACUCAUUUGAUAAACAAACUAAAUUUGAGUUCCAUAGUAUUCGACUCGUUAAAACUCAGUGAGUUCGGCUCGUUUCUGAGUUAAUGAGCAGGCUCGCGAAUAGACUCGUGAACAGUCUCAUUAAGUAAGUUGAAAUUAUUAUCAUAACAGCAAUAAACUCAAAUCCUACAUAUACUUUCAUUAGCCAAACUUAAAUUUUUUAAAAUUCAGCUCAAUAUAAUUUAGUUAUACUUUUAAAUUUACAUAUAUUUGGAUCAUUAAAAUUUUAAAGUUUAUCUUUAUAAGUUUACGAGUUAAUUUGUGAAUAUACUUAUUUAACUAAAAUUAUUUUAGUUUUAAACUUAUUCGUUUUAAAUUAAAACUCAUUAUAUAUGUAAAUAAAUUGAAUCAUUAGUUAACUAUUCGAGACUAAACUCGAUAAAAGUUCGAUUCAGCUCGAUAAAAACUCGACUCGUCUAAAUUCGUUUGCUAAACGAGACAAACUUAAACUUUUUAAUACUCGACUCGAGUUCGAAAUGAGUAAAACUCGAAUUCGGUUCGAAUUUAAAAAAAUUUUAACGAACCAAAUUUGAGUUCUUCAAAAUUCGACUCGACUUGAUUCGUUUACACUUCUAACUUCUAUUAAUACAACUAGACCAUAGACUGAAAAAUCAUCGCCUCAUUUAGAAAGUUUAAUGUUACAAGUUAUUUCAAUUGCUAGUUAGUUCUCUUUAUUAAUUUAUCUAAAUUAAAGAAUGAAUAAUUAAAAAACCAUAAUCAUAUGAAUUAGAUAUGAGACCAUCCAGAUCGUUGACUUUGAAAAAAAAAUGUUAAUACUAAUUAAAUUCAAAUGCCAUGAUUGUUCAUUGAUAGAGUUAUUAACAUAAGUACAUCCAUUCAAACGUCCAGGUGGAAAUCACGUUAACCUUAUGUCUUAAUAAACAAUAAAUAACUUGUUAUUUUUAUAAGACUUUUAUAUUUUUAUUUUUAUUCUCAUAAUCUUUUGUUGCCCACUACACGAAAUUAAUUUGUCAAUUAUUUACAUCAGAUAUCCUGCAUAAAAUCACUAAUAUAUUAUAAAAUUACUCUAAUUACAGUGUGAAAACAUGAAAUUCCCAUACUCAUUCUGUAAGAAAGCCCCAUUAAUUACAUUUUUUAUUAUAUAUUUUAAGAAAAGAAAUUAUAUCCACCGUAGGUUUACUGAGUCGAACUCAUUAAUAAAAGACCCUCAUUGAAACUUAGAAUAAAGAGAAACUCAUUAAUAAAUUUAUAAUAUGCAUUACACAAAAUGACAUUAACUGGAGGCCACAUGCUGCGAAUUCUACGCUCAACGUCAACGUUAAUUUUUUUUUUUUUUUAAAAAAAAGGAAAACGAAGGUCCUAACUGUCUUCCUUCAUCCUUCUUACAUCUCCCUCUUUAUCUCUGACCAUUCACAUUCACACUCUAUAAGAACUCUAUUAUAUAUACUUGCAAAAAACCUCUGGCCGUGGUUGCACAAGUCUGCAACUUCUGAUGGCCAAUCGCUUGGGGAUGAACGGGGCAGAUCACCGGAUUGAAACUAGAGGUAUUAAUUGUUUUUAGCUGAAACUGUUGUACCAAAUAGUAAUAGUUUCAUGGAGAUUUCAUUUCAUCUAACUAAUUGAGGCAUGUUGUUUAUUGAUUGUCACUAAGCACAGAUCAGAAUGAAUCUGGCUCAUCUUCUGAGAAGACUAUUGGGCCAAAGUCAUAUUCAUACGGUGAAUUAGCAAAGGCAACUGAUCAUUUCUCGCACAAUAAUCUAAUUGGUAAAGGUGGUUUUGGUCAUGUUUUUAAGGCAUCUUUAGAUGGUGAGAUCCGUGCUAUCAAGAAACUUGAUUUUUCGGAUGUACAAUCCGAAGGAGGUUUGGAGAAGGAGAUUAUGAUCGUCCAAAGCCUCAGUCACAAAAACCUCGUUGAACUGGUUGGUUACUGCAUUUAUGGAGCCAAUAGAUUGCUCAUCUUAAAGUAUUUUCCAAAUGGGUCCUUGAGAUCUAAAUUACAUGGUGAGUCCCAUAUUCUUUCUUUUACUUUUAUGUUCAUAUAACUAAUCAAUAUGAUAUAAUUAAUAGGAAGUGAUAAUGUUUUGGACUGGGAAAUAAGAAUGAAGAUCGCUAUAGGUUCUGCAAGAGGAUUAGAAUAUUUACAUGAAAAUUGUGAGUAUAUACUACUACAUAUUCUUAUAUGGCAGUAUUUUAGCUUUUUGAGUGUAAAUUUAUUUAUUUAUUUUUAUUUAUGUUUGAUAAUUUAUUUUCUCUUGCAGUUCAUAUUCUUUUUAUAUUUUUUCAGAUAAAUCUAAAAUUGUUCAUUUAGAUAUUAAACCAGAUAAUAUUCUUCUUGAGGAAGAUUUUGAACCUAAGGUAAGAUAAUUUUAUCAUAAGAAAAUAUUUUAGUAAUGUCAUCACAUAUGUAUAUAUAGCGUAACUUUGAUGAUUGAAAUUUUAUUUUUGAAUAACAUUAAAAAAUUAUGUGAAUCAUUAAUUAUAUAAUUUAAUUAAUAUAUAUAUAUAUAAAUGGCAUAAUAAAUUUAUUUAAUUAACUUAAAUAAUUUGUUUAGAUAACAGAUUUUGGACUUGCUCAAUUUUUUACCGACGGUGCUACUCAUAUAUCCAAAUCAUCAGUUAUGGGAACCCAUGUGUAAGAUAUAAUUUUCUUUCUAUCAUUUAAUUGCAUUGAUAUUAUUUUCUAUUUUUUCAAAUGCUAUUAUUAUCUUCUCUUAGAAUAGUUUAAAAUAAAAUAAAUAUUGAAAUAAAUAAAAUAACACAUAAAAAAAUAUAAGUGCUCCUUAAUUUGAUAGUAUUAGUAAUCUUAAUCUUAACGCACUCACAGAUUUAAUCUGGUGGUAAGUGCAUUUGAGUAAAUCUGAGAGAUUUCAUAUUCUACUUUUCAAAUCUCCAAUUCUCAGUUCAAAAAAAUAAAAGUAAUCUUAAUCUUAACAAAUUCUAUUGCAGUUACGAAGAUCCACUGACAACAAAACUUGGAAAGUAUUCUGAUAAAUCCGAUAUUUAUUCUUUUGGAGUUACACUUUUAGAACUGAUUACUGUAAGAAUGCCUAUAGACAAUGGUAUUGACAUUGUUACUUGGGUAUGACUCUGUUUGCUUUAAUAAAACUAUGAUAUAAAUAUUCUAUUUACCAUUUAUAAAGUUUUGAAUAUAGAUCUCAAUUGGAGUUAUUUAGAUUUCAAUCCAAUGCAUUUAUGAUUCAUUAAUAAUAAUUUUUUAAUUAAUAUCUUGUAGGCAAAUCCUCUAAUUAAAAAGGCUUUGGAUGGAAGAUAUACAAAUUUUAUAGAUUCCAAUUUACAAUCCUUUCACCACGAACAAAUGUAUCGAAUGGUUUCUUGUGUUAAUUCUUGUCUAAAUCAACCUCCAAGCUCUCGGCCAACAAUGAAAAAGGUAAAAUUUUUCACAUAACUAAUCUCAAAACCAUAUAUAUAUUAUCUUAAACCUUGUAAUCAUUUUAUUGUUAUGUCAUGCAGAUACGUCUAGUUCUUGAAGGAAUAUCACUCCCGGAAGAAUUAUACGAUCAUAAAUUGCGAAAGAGCAUCAUACAUAAAGGUCUAUAUCCUUUUAUGUUAAUUUAUUAGAAAUUAUAUGCGUAUUUAUACUAAAACUUGAUCAAAUUGAUGCCUAAAUUAAUUUUUAUUUAAUUUGUGUCAUAUCUUAAAAUUAGAAACAAAUGUUGAUUUUCAACUGCAUAAAUAUUAAUUUUUUUAAUUUUAAAUGUAGAAUAAAUUAGUUUUUUAGUCAAAAUUGUUAACAUAUUAAUGAAAUAUAAUUUUUAUCUUCUAAUUAUUCAAACAAACUGUAAAAACAAUGAUGAAAAUUUUACCUUAAAGUCAUACAUAAUUCCUAAUCAUUAAUUUUGUCAAUUAUUGAAUUAAAUCAUAUAGUUAAUAUUUAUAGGAUUGAAUAGUUUCAAGAUUAAACAUAUAAUUUUAUUUGAAUUAGAAGAAUAGAAUUACUUAUAAGAUACAGUUCUUAGAACACUUAACAUUAUAUUAUGAUUUACAUAGUCUGUUAACCAAGUUGGUUUCCUAGUAGAACGAGGCUAACCUCUUUCAAUAGGUUGGAUUUCCGGUGACCAGCAAUUUGAUGUUGCAAGUCAGAUUCUAAAAGUUGUACAAGUUGGUCAUUUUGAUUCUCUAUUUCUUUAAAGGAGACUCAUAUAGGUUGCUGUUGUGACUCAUUUUUAUCCUAAUUCCAUGUGUUUUCUUCGUAAAAACUCACAUCUCUACUGAUCACAAUCUUUUUAGUGUCUGAAUUUAAUAAUUUAUAAGUUUUAGAGACUUCACUUAAGAUAAGAAAGACACAUUUUUCACCUUUAUCAUUUAACUUUUUUCUUUUCUCAUCAGAUAUAUAUAUGCAUAUUUGAUGCAACUGAAAAUUCCACAAUGAUCAACAGUUGGUUUUCUUUCACUCCAUAUUUCCUUUGGAGUCAUAUUCUGUAUUGAAAAUGUUAGACUUCUAUUCAGUACAUGGAUACUCCAAUUAACUGCCUUAGGGCAAAAGUUUUUCGGAACAUUGCCUUUAGCCAGCAAUCUUCUCACCAUAUUAAGUAUUGUUCUAUUUUUCCUUUCCAAUACGCCAUUUUAGUAUGGUAUAUAGGCAGCUGUGAGUUGUCUUUGAAUGCUUUAUUCAUCACAAAAUUGUUUAAAUUUCUUUGAACAAUAUUUUCCACCAUGAUUAGUACGGAAAGUUUUAACUGCCUUCCCUUACUCAUUUUCAACAUGCACUUUGAAGCUUUUAAAUGCACAAAAAGCUUCUGAUUUAGCCUGCAAAAAGUAAAUCCAAUCUUCCGAGAAAAAUCAUCAAUGAAAGUGAUUAAAUAUUUAUUACCCCCAUUGGAAGUUGAAUUGAUUGGAACACAUAUAUCGAAAUGGACCAGCUCUAAAAAAUUUUUCGCUCUCUAUUAUUUUCCUUGUGGAAAUUGAGAGCAAUGUUGUUUACAAACACACACUCUUCAUAAACACGAGAUGGAAUAGUAAUUUGAGGAUGACCAUUCCCCAUAUUCCCCUGUUGGAGAGUUCUUAAUCCACCGAAAUUCAAGUGGCCGUAACGGAAAUGCCAAAGCCGAGAUGGAUUCUUCAUUUCAGCCAUCAAAUUGGUUUGGGCAACUUGAAUUUGCAAUGGAAACAACCUGUUUGAGCUCAUUUAAAUAAUUACAAUAGCUUCUCUUGAAGGAUCAUAAAUUUUACAAGCUCUCUUUUGAAUGAUUAUCAGAUAGCCCUUCUCUUGCAAUUGACCAGCACUAAGUAAAUUAAUUUUCAAAUCAGGAACAUAAAACACACUAGAAAUGGUCUCCAUAAAACCAUUCUUAGUUUUAAUAUCAAUAUCACCUUUUCCCAUCACAUUUACUUUAGAACUAUCACCAAAGCUCAUAGUUGAAUGAAAAGUUUUAUCUAAAUGGGAAAAGAGAGACUUACUACCACACAUAUGAUUACUACUGUAACGACCCAGAUUUCGGACCAUUACCGGCGCUAGGAUCCAGAUCGGCAUAAGGCCGCCGGGACCCGUAGCAAGCCUCCUAUACUCUCUGUAUACCUGUAUAAAUCUCAUACAUGAUCAAACAUUUCCUGUCAAAAUUUUGUUUUGUUCCUUGGCUUAACCUGUGCAUGCACUAACUCUGUAACCUGUGUAUGAACCCCCUAACCAGAGUACUCAUCAAUGCUCUAGUUGGGUCCAUACCAUAUGUGUUAAGCCUGGACACUCAUACUCAUCCAUGAAACAUAAACAUAAUCGACCAUGUACAUAAAGGGGAUUAACAUAAAACUGGGCCAAGCACAGUACUAUACAUCAUUCUUAACAAUACUACACAUCAUUCUUAACAGUUCUAAACAUCUCUUUAAAAGUUUACAUCAUAUACAUCAAUUACAUGUCCACCACUAGCUAUUACAUUAUCAGAACUCCUCUAACACUAUCAACUCCCUGAUCUGUCCCACACCUGCAAACUGGGGUAAAGGGAAAACGGGGUGAGCUAUAAAGCCCAGUGAGUAGAAACAUGGGGCAUUUUCAUAUAAACAUGCUCUCAUGGAAUGCAUCAUAACUCAAACAUUUCACGUAACGGAUGAAUCUUGUCACCAUUAGCCCUCUCAUCCUAUGCCCGGCCCUCGACGGGGCUCCGCAGGCUAUCACUUUAUAUCAUGCAGUUGCCAAGACGCGUGGACAUGAGGCAGCCCUGGACUUUCAUCAGCAUGCAAACAUAGGGCGGUGCCAGGACGCGAGGACAUGGGCAGCCUUGGACUUUCAUCAUCAUACAUAGGAGAGCUAAUGGGUCACUCAAAAUUCAUCCACAUCAUCAACAUAGUAUGCAAUGCAUCAACUUCGUGAAACUAAUGCAAAACAACCUAAAAUAUUCAUAGCAAUCAUGAUGCAUGAGAUAUGCUUAAAUUUUAAAACAUAGUUUAGUUCUACUCACCUCAAACUGACUCUGCUGCAGCUGACCUACUGCUGUGGUCCUCGGUUCCUCUGGUUCGAACCUACAUAGGUGGACUCAAAUGAGGUACCAAACAUAGACUAUAAAGACUCUAAACAACUCCCCGGAAACCCCCUAGAACAUCAUAAAACCAUCAUGUAAAACAAGCAAAGAAAGGCUGGACAGGGCACUUUCGGCGGCAGGUUCGGCGGCCGAAACCCCCCUCCAGAGACGAAACUCAUGCAUGUUCGGCGGCACCUUCGGCAGCCGAAAAUCUCGUCCAGAGACGAAACUCAUGCACCUUCGGCGGCACUUUCGGCGGCCGAACCUUGCCUCCAGAGACGAAGGUCCCAACUUUCGGAAGCAAGCUUUGGCAGCCGAAACUGCCUCCACAAGGGGUUCGGCGGCCGAAACUCCCUUCGGCGGCCGAACCUGGUUGCUUCUGUAAGGCAGAAACUCUGCAUCUCACAUGCACAACUCCCCCAAACUCAUUCCAACUUGCAUCAAACAUAACACAACUAGCAUAUACUUAAGUAUAUGCAUAAAGGGGUCCAAAACUAACAUAAAACCCCAAACAACAAACACAAACAACCACAAAUCAUGAAUAUACACAAAACCCUCCAUAACACCCUCCUUAACCUAACAUGCAUUUCUACCCAUAAAAACUCCAUGAAACCUUCAAAAAUCAAGAAAGGAAGUUCAGGAUCUUCACUUACCUCUUCCAAAUGAGAGAAUAAACGAUCCCAACGUGGAGUGAUGGAGAAAUCUUCCCUCAAAACCUCCAAACUUCCUAACUUUGCUCUUUUACUCAAAAACUUCAAAACAAACAUAAAACUCAUCAAAACUUUGAAUGAUUUGAAGGAAACAUGAAAAUCACCCAAGGAGAACCUCAGCCUCACCUCUGGUUGGCAAAAAUGGAAAAAGUGAUCCAAAUCACCGACCUUUGACCAUUUAUAGGUGGCUGGCCAGACCACCUUCGGCGGCCAAACGUGAAGCCGAAUGCCAUGCAUGUUUGGCGGCCGAAAGUAACCUUCGGCGGCCGAACAUGGGCUUUUCUGCCUUGGUGUUUUUUCUUUCAAAAACUCAUUUCUUUUUAACACUUUAAAACAUUAAAACUCUUUUAAAACAUGUAAAAACAUAACCCGAACCCUUCUAGGGCAUUCCGACAUCGGAAAUUCACCGGACUACAGGAAUUCCAAUGCCGAACUCUAGCCGGGUAUUACAUUCUCCCCCCCUUAAGAACAUUCGUCCUCGAAUGUUCCUCGAACACAUAACACAUAGAUACGGGAAAAAACUAACUAACCUUAAAACAGAUAUGGAUACUGCUGAAGCAUAGAUUCCCGUGUCUCCCAGGUGCAUUCCUCUAGAUUGUGGUGGUUCCACAAAACUUUCACCAUCGGAAUUUCCUUGUUCCUUAGCUUUCUGAUCUGCGUGUCCAAGAUCCGUACUGGCUGCUCUACAUAGGUGAGAUCACCGAGGAUCUCUACAUCAGGUUCACUAAGAACCUUACUCGGAUCAGGCACGAACCGUCUCAGCAUAGAAACAUGGAAAACCGGGUGAAUUCUCUCCAUAGAUGCAGGUAAAUCCAGCUUAUACGAUACCUUCCCGAUCCUCUGCAAGAUCUCAAAGGGACCAAUGUACCGCGGAGCUAGUUUACCCUUUCUUCCGAACCUAACCACUCCCUUCAUUGGAGACACUUUCAGCAAAACCAUAUCCCCCUCCUGGAACUCUAACUGUUUCCUGCGAACGUCUGCAUAGCUCUUCUGUCUGCUAACUGCAGUUUUCAUCCUUUCUCUGAUUAUGGGCACUACCCUGCUGGUAAUCUCUAUUAACUCUGGCCCUGCCAGAGCCUUCUCCCCUACUUUUUCCCAGCAAACAGGUGUUCUGCAUUUCCUCCCAUACAAAGCUUCAUAAGGAGCCAUCCCUAUGCUAGCAUGAUGGCUGUUGUUGUAGGCAAACUCCACCAAAGGUAGAUGCUGUCUCCAAGAACCGCCAAAGUCUAACACACACAUUCUGAGCAUAUCUUCUAUGGUUUGGAUGGUCCUCUCUGAUUGACCGUCUGUCUGUGGGUGGAAAGCAGUACUGAAAUCCAAUCUCGUGCCCAUAGCAGCUUGCAGACUCCGCCAAAACCUGGAGGUAAACUGAGGUCCUCUAUCCGAAACUAUAGACACAGGAACUCCAUGCAGCUUUACUAUCUCUUCUACAUACACCUGCGCAAGUUUGUCCACAGAGUAGUUACUCCUAACCGGAAUGAAGUGAGCAGAUUUAGUCAGUCUAUCCACAAUCACCCAGAUGGAGUCUAGCCUGUUAGACGUCACCGGUAACCCCACUACAAAGUCCAUGGCUAUGUUUUCCCAUUUCCACUCUGGAAUAGGCAGUGGGUUAAGCAUUCCGGCCGGCUUCUGGUGCUCUAGCUUCACCCUUUGACAUAUCUCGCAGGCUGACACAUACUGUGCCACUUCUUUAUUCAUCGCUGGCCACCAAUACACUCUUCUCAAAUCUUGAUACAUCUUAGUGGCUCCAGGGUGAACGCUAUACCUUGCAUUAUGAGCUUCCCUCAUAAUGUCUUCCUUCAACUCUCUAUCAUCUGGUACACAUAGACGAUUCCCGUAACGGAGGAUCCCUUGACCGUCAAACCUGAAUUCUGCACUGUUGCCUGACUGAACAGUCCUGACAAUCUUCACUAGUUCUGGGUCCUCGUGCUGUUUCUGAGCCACCUGCUCCAGAAAAACUGGUGUUACUCUCAUCUGUGCUAUCAAAGCACCGGUACCAGAUAACUUUAACUGCAGCCCUUCCUCCAAGAGCUUAUAAAACUCCGACACCACUGGUCGUCUCUCUGCGGUUAUGUGGGAUAAGCUGCCAAGUGACUUCCGGCUUAAGGCGUCUGCCACAACGUUCGCCUUACCCGGAUGAUACUGAAUUUUACAAUCGUAGUCACUAAGUAGCUCUACCCACCUUCUUUGUCUCAAAUUCAGCUCUCUUUGACUCAAGAUAUACUGUAAACUUUUGUGGUCUGUGAAGAUCUCGCAUCUAACCCCAUAGAGGUAGUGUCUCCACAUCUUGAGUGCAAAGAUAACUGCUGCCAUCUCCAGGUCGUGUGUGGGGUAAUUCAACUCAUUCUUCUUCAACUGCCUAGAAGCAUAAGCUAUCACCCUAUCAUUCUGCAUCAAAACACAACCCAGCCCUACUCUAGACGCAUCACAGAAUACUGUGAAGUCCUCACCACUGACUGGCAAAGCCAACACUGGUGCUGUCGUCAAUCUCCUCUUAAGCUCUUCAAAACUUUCUUCACACUGAUCUGACCAAGCAAACUUCUGAUUCUUCUUGGUCAGCUUGGUCAUAGGAGCGGCUAUUUUUGAGAAAUCCUGCACAAACCAUCUGUAGUAGCCGGCCAAACCCAAGAAACUUUUAAUCUCCGUCACCGUAGUGGGUCUGGGCCAGUUAGCUACAGCCUCUAUCUUCUUGGGGUCUACCUCGAUUCCGUCUGCUGAAACAACAUGCCCCAAGAAAGAAAUGCUCCUUAACCAGAACUCACACUUGGAGAACUUAGCAUACAAGCUAUGCUCUCUCAAGGUUUGCAAAACUGUCCCCAGAUGAUGGGCAUGCUCCUCUGCAUCCUUGGAGUACACUAGAAUAUCAUCUAUAAAGACAAUCACAAAGUGAUCCAGGUACUCACUGAAAACUCUAUUCAUGAGGUCCAUAAAUGCUGCAGGGGCAUUAGUCAACCCGAACGGCAUUACCAGGAACUCAUAGUGCCCAUAUCUGGUCCUGAAGGCUGUCUUGGGAACAUCUUCUUCUCUAACUCUUAACUGGUGAUAUCCCGAUCUCAGAUCUAUUUUAGAAAAACAACCUGCUCCAGCUAGCUGGUCGAAUAGAUCGUCGAUCCUCGGCAAGGGAUACUUAUUCUUGGUAGUGACCUUAUUCAACUGUCUAUAGUCGAUACAAAGUCUAAGGGAUCCAUCCUUCUUUCUAACAAAAAGCACUGGAGCACCCCAAGGUGAGGUACUAGGGCGGAUGAAACCCUUAUCUACCAACUCUUGCAGCUACUCUUUCAGCUCUUUCAAUUCUGCUGGUGCCAUCCUGUAGGGAGGAAUAGAGAUCGGUCUGGUACCAGGCGUCAACUCUAUCUCGAACUCUAUUUCCCUAUCAGGUGGUAGUCCUAGAAGCUCUUCCGGGAACACAUCUAAAAACUCAUUAACUACUGGUACCGAAGCUGGUUCCCUAACCUGUUUAUCUAGCUCUCUCACAUGAGCUAGAAACCCCUGACAACCCCUCCUCAACAACCUGUGAGCCUGAAGGGCUGAUAUCAAGCCUCUAGGCGUCCCCCUCCUGUCUCCUCUGAAGACACAUACUGACCCAUCCAGAUCCCUAAGACUAACUACCUUGUCCCUGCAAUCCAAGGUAGCACCAUAUGUAGAUAGCCAAUCCAUCCCUAGAAUGACGUCAAAAUCUAUCAAAUCUAGAACCACCAGGUCAGCUGGAAGGCAUCUACCUUCUAUAAACACUAGACUGUACCUGCAGACUGACUCUGCUACUGAUGGGUCACAUUUGGGUCCACUGACCCAGAGAGGACACUCUAACCCAGAAACUAUCAGACCCAACCUCUCUACGGCUCUAGAAGCAAUGAAAGAGUGAGUAGCACCGGGGUCCAUUAAAGCAUACACAUCAGAACACCCAAUGAUGAGUUUACCUGACACCACCGUGUUAGAUGUGUUAGCCUCUUCUUGCGUCAUCGUGAAGAUCCGCGCUGGGGCUGCAGGACCUCCACCUCGGGAACCUGCUGCUGCUGAAGAAGAGGCUGCUCCUCUUCCUCGACCUCUGCUACUAGCCUGAGUUUGUGCUGGUGCUGCUGGCUGAGCUACACUGCCAGAACCCGUCUGCUGAGACUGUGCCAUAGAAACUGUUCUAGGACAAUCCCGAGCCAUAUGCCCCUCUUGUCCACAUCUAAAACAUGCAUUUGUCCCAGCUCGACAAACUCCUCUGUGUAACUUUCCACACCUCAUGCACACCUGACUUCCCGAACCAGGGUUUGAACUACUUCCCAUUCCUAGUCCGGACUUCAGCUUGUUCCAAAACUUACUCUUUUUAGACUUGGACCUGUCCAUUUUUCCACUUCCUGAUGCCUUGGGUACUGAAGUUUGAGCCACUGACUGCCUAACCUUCCCUUCAAUGAUCGCACUAGCCUCCAUUCUCCGAGCCAUAUCUACUAUAGCAUGGAAGCUCUCCCUCUCAGCUGAUUGUAUCAAGGAGGAAUACCUGGAGUUUAACUUCAUAAUAAACCUCCUGGACUUCUUCUGAUCAGUAUCAAGAGAUUGCCCUGAAAAAGGCAAGAGCUCCAUAAAUUUGUCAGCGAGAUCAUCUACGGUCAUCUCAUCACUCUGCCUCAGUUGUUCAAAUUCUAACAUCUUCAUCUCCCUCGAGCUAUCGGGAAAAGUCCAUCCCGCAAACUCGUUAGCAAACACCUCCUAGGUGAGACUGUCUAUCCUCGGUUCUACAUAGCUUCGAUACCACUCUUUAGCUUUCUUACAUUUCAAUGAGAUCCCUGCCAUCUGAAUGGCUCUGGUAUCGUCAGCCCCUAGCUCAUCUGUAAGCGUCUUCACCGUUUUGAGAUACUCAAACGGAUCGUCACCUGUAUCAAAUUGGGGAGCACCCAACAUCAGAUAAGCAGUCAUUUUGACCUUUCCCCUUCUAGAUGAACUAGGCUGUGAUAUUGGAACUUCUGGGGCUAUAGGUUCUUCUGGUGGUGAUGGAGGUGCAACAUUUUCUGGUAUAGGGUGUACUGUUUCUGGAUGAUAAGAUGGGGGUGGAUACAUAGGAUACUGUGGGUAUGGUGGAUAGAAUGGUGGAUAUGUCAUAUAAGAUGGGUAAGGGUUAAAACUAGGAUGAUCCGACAUACCUCCCAUCGAAUAUCCCGGAUACUGUGGAUAAGGUGGGUAUUGAGGUGGUGAAACAAACUCCGAGGCCUGAGUGCCUCCCUGAGACUCACCCAUGCCUUCCUCAGACAUACCGACACCCAAAUUACUAUCCAUCUGCUGCUCCACAUCCCAAUCAUCCUCCACUUCCAUAGAUACUCCUCCUUGCACUGUUCCUCUUCUGCUUCCAUCAAAAGACCUUCUAGGGUCCCUUGACGUUCUUCCUCUGCUAGGCCUACUUGAUAUGGACCUAGGCAAAACAGGAGGAUGGGCAUCUGCACCCUCGUCCUGAGAUGGUACUCUAGUCAAUCGGGUAGAUCGACGAGUUCCUCGCAUCUUGUUUUCUGAGAAAACAACACAUAGCACAAAACAUCAGUAUCAUAUGGUCCAUGUGGAAACACACAUGAACCCUCAUCACAUAUAAAACAUGCAUAUCAUAACAUCAUCAAAGGACAAAACUCAACAUCCUACCCUAGUGGACAUGUUUUUCCUACUGUGCUUGCCCUUCUAGAACAUCUAUGAGCCCUAUACACUCUAGGUCCGACCUUACGAACCUAGGGCUCUGAUACCAAUCUGUAACGACCCAGAUUUCGGACCAUUACCUGCACUAGGAUCCAGAUCGGCAUAAGGCCGCCGGGACCCGUAGCAAGCCUCCUAUACUCUCUGCAUACCUGUAUAAAUCCCAUACAUGAUCAAACAUUUCCUGUCAAAAUUUUGUUUUGUUCCCUGGCUUAAUCUGUGCAUGCACUAACUCUGUAACCUGUGUAUGAACCCCCUAACCAGAGUACUCAUCAAUGCUCUAGUUGGGUCCAUACCAUAUGUGUUAAGCCUGGACACUCAUACUCAUCCAUGAAACAUAAACAUAAUCGACCAUGUACAUAAAGGGAAUUAACAUAAAACUGGGCCAAGCACAGUACUAUACAUCAUUCUUAACAAUACUACACAUCAUUCUUAACAGUUCUAAACAUCUAUUUAAAAGUUUACAUCAUAUACAUCAAUUACAUGUCCACCACUAGCUAUUACAUGAUCAGAACUCCUCUAACACUAUCAACUCCCUGAUCUGUCCCACACCUGCAAACUGGGGUAAAGGGAAAACGGGGUGAGCUAUAAAGCCCAGUGAGUAGAAACAUGGGGCAUUUUCAUAUAAACAUGCUCUCAUGGAAUGCAUCAUAACUCAAACAUUUCACGUAACGGAUGAAUCUUGUCACCAUUAGCCCUCUCAUCCUAUGCCCGACCCUCGACGGGGCUCCGCAGGCUAUCACUUUAUAUCAUGCAGUUGCCAAGACGCGUGGACAUGAGGCAGCCCUAGACUUUCAUCAGCAUGCAAACAUAGGGGGGUGCCAGGACGCGAGGACAUGGGCAGCCUUGGACUUUCAUCAUCAUACAUAGGAGAGCUAAUGGGUCACUCAAAAUUCAUCCACAUCAUCAACAUAGUAUGCAAUGCAUCAACUUCAUGAAACUAAUGCAAAACAACCUAAAAUAUUCAUAGCAAUCAUGAUGCAUGAGAUAUGCUUAAAUUUUAAAACAUGGUUUAGUUCUACUCACCUCAAACUGACUCUGCUGCAGCUGACCUACUGCUGUGGUCCUCGGUUCCUCUGGUCCGAACCUACAUAGGUGGACUCAAAUGAGGUACCAAACAUAGACUAUAAAGACUCUAAACAACUCUCCGGAAACCCCCUAGAACAUCAUAAAACCAUCAUGUAAAACAAGCAAAGAAAGGCUGGACAGGGCACUUUCGGCGGCAGGUUCGGUGGCCGAAACCCCCCUCCAGAGACGAAACUCAUGCAUGUUCGGCGGCACCUUCGGCGGCCGAAAGUCCCGUCCAGAGACGAAACUCAUGCACCUUCAGCAGCACUUUCGGCGGCCGAACCUUGCCUCUAGAGACGAAGGUCCCAACUUUCGGAAGCAAGCUUUGGCAGCCGAAACUGCCUCCACAAGGGGUUCGGCGGCCGAAACUCCCUUCGGCGGCCGAACCUGGUUGCUUCCGUAAGGCAGAAACUCUGCAUCUCACAUGCACAACUCCCCCAAACUCAUUCCAACUUGCAUCAAACAUAACACAACUAGCAUAUACUUAAGUGUAACGCCCCGGAAAUCCGGACCGCUACCGGCGCUAGGAUCCAGAUCGGCAUAAGGCCGCCGGGACCCGUAGCAAGCCUAACAUAACCUGUAAACAUGUUUAAUCCCAUACAUGAUCAACCAUAUACAUAAAAAAAAAAAAUCAAAACUUUUCUUUCAUACAUACUAUCAUCAACUAACUCAACCUGUGCAUACUCUGAACAUAUACAUAACAUAAUCCCUCUGUGGGAUCUCAUCAAGCCUCAAAGGCAAAACAACAGGUGUUGAGUUAAUUUACAUAAACAUCAUAUCAUAAGAUCAUGUACAUACAAAAGGGNNNNNNNNNNNNNNNNNNNNNNNNNNNNNNNNNNNNNNNNNNNNNNNNNNNNNNNNNNNNNNNNNNNNNNNNNNNNNNNNNNNNNNNNNNNNNNNNNNNNNNNNNNNNNNNNNNNNNNNNNNNNNNNNNNNNNNNNNNNNNNNNNNNNNNNNNNNNNNNNNNNNNNNNNNNNNNNNNNNNNNNNNNNNNNNNNNNNNNNNNNNNNNNNNNNNNNNNNNNNNNNNNNNNNNNNNNNNNNNNNNNNNNNNNNNNNNNNNNNNNNNNNNNNNNNNNNNNNNNNNNNNNNNNNNNNNNNNNNNNNNNNNNNNNNNNNNNNNNNNNNNNNNNNNNNNNNNNNNNNNNNNNNNNNNNNNNNNNNNNNNNNNNNNNNNNNNNNNNNNNNNNNNNNNNNNNNNNNNNNNNNNNNNNNNNNNNNNNNNNNNNNNNNNNNNNNNNNNNNNNNNNNNNNNNNNNNNNNNNNNNNNNNNNNNNNNNNNNNNNNNNNNNNNNNNNNNNNNNNNNNNNNNNNNNNNNNNNNNNNNNNNNNNNNNNNNNNNNNNNNNNNNNNNNNNNNNNNNNNNNNNNNNNNNNNNNNNNNNNNNNNNNNNNNNNNNNNNNNNNNNNNNNNNNNNNNNNNNNNNNNNNNNNNNNNNNNNNNNNNNNNNNNNNNNNNNNNNNNNNNNNNNNNNNNNNNNNNNNNNNNNNNNNNNNNNNNNNNNNNNNNNNNNNNNNNNNNNNNNNNNNNNNNNNNNNNNNNNNNNNNNNNNNNNNNNNNNNNNNNNNNNNNNNNNNNNNNNNNNNNNNNNNNNNNNNNNNNNNNNNNNNNNNNNNNNNNNNNNNNNNNNNNNNNNNNNNNNNNNNNNNNNNNNNNNNNNNNNNNNNNNNNNNNNNNNNNNNNNNNNNNNNNNNNNNNNNNNNNNNNNNNNNNNNNNNNNNNNNNNNNNNNNNNNNNNNNNNNNNNNNNNNNNNNNNNNNNNNNNNNNNNNNNNNNNNNNNNNNNNNNNNNNNNNNNNNNNNNNNNNNNNNNNNNNNNNNNNNNNNNNNNNNNNNNNNNNNNNNNNNNNNNNNNNNNNNNNNNNNNNNNNNNNNNNNNNNNNNNNNNNNNNNNNNNNNNNNNNNNNNNNNNNNNNNNNNNNNNNNNNNNNNNNNNNNNNNNNNNNNNNNNNNNNNNNNNNNNNNNNNNNNNNNNNNNNNNNNNNNNNNNNNNNNNNNNNNNNNNNNNNNNNNNNNNNNNNNNNNNNNNNNNNNNNNNNNNNNNNNNNNNNNNNNNNNNNNNNNNNNNNNNNNNNNNNNNNNNNNNNNNNNNNNNNNNNNNNNNNNNNNNNNNNNNNNNNNNNNNNNNNNNNNNNNNNNNNNNNNNNNNNNNNNNNNNNNNNNNNNNNNNNNNNNNNNNNNNNNNNNNNNNNNNNNNNNNNNNNNNNNNNNNNNNNNNNNNNNNNNNNNNNNNNNNNNNNNNNNNNNNNNNNNNNNNNNNNNNNNNNNNNNNNNNNNNNNNNNNNNNNNNNNNNNNNNNNNNNNNNNNNNNNNNNNNNNNNNNNNNNNNNNNNNNNNNNNNNNNNNNNNNNNNNNNNNNNNNNNNNNNNNNNNNNNNNNNNNNNNNNNNNNNNNNNNNNNNNNNNNNNNNNNNNNNNNNNNNNNNNNNNNNNNNNNNNNNNNNNNNNNNNNNNNNNNNNNNNNNNNNNNNNNNNNNNNNNNNNNNNNNNNNNNNNNNNNNNNNNNNNNNNNNNNNNNNNNNNNNNNNNNNNNNNNNNNNNNNNNNNNNNNNNNNNNNNNNNNNNNNNNNNNNNNNNNNNNNNNNNNNNNNNNNNNNNNNNNNNNNNNNNNNNNNNNNNNNNNNNNNNNNNNNNNNNNNNNNNNNNNNNNNNNNNNNNNNNNNNNNNNNNNNNNNNNNNNNNNNNNNNNNNNNNNNNNNNNNNNNNNNNNNNNNNNNNNNNNNNNNNNNNNNNNNNNNNNNNNNNNNNNNNNNNNNNNNNNNNNNNNNNNNNNNNNNNNNNNNNNNNNNNNNNNNNNNNNNNNNNNNNNNNNNNNNNNNNNNNNNNNNNNNNNNNNNNNNNNNNNNNNNNNNNNNNNNNNNNNNNNNNNNNNNNNNNNNNNNNNNNNNNNNNNNNNNNNNNNNNNNNNNNNNNNNNNNNNNNNNNNNNNNNNNNNNNNNNNNNNNNNNNNNNNNNNNNNNNNNNNNNNNNNNNNNNNNNNNNNNNNNNNNNNNNNNNNNNNNNNNNNNNNNNNNNNNNNNNNNNNNNNNNNNNNNNNNNNNNNNNNNNNNNNNNNNNNNNNNNNNNNNNNNNNNNNNNNNNNNNNNNNNNNNNNNNNNNNNNNNNNNNNNNNNNNNNNNNNNNNNNNNNNNNNNNNNNNNNNNNNNNNNNNNNNNNNNNNNNNNNNNNNNNNNNNNNNNNNNNNNNNNNNNNNNNNNNNNNNNNNNNNNNNNNNNNNNNNNNNNNNNNNNGCAGGUUGAGUUAGUAGAUGAUGAAAUGUAUGAAAGAAAAGUUUUAAUUGUUUAUGAUGAUGUUGAUCAUGUAUGGGAUUAAACAGGUUUACAGGUUACAUGUCAGGCUUGCUACGGGUCCCGGCGGCCUUAAGCCGAUCUGGAUCCUAGCGCCGGUAGCGGUCCGAUUUUCGGGGCGUUACAGAGUGGUAUCAGAGCCCUAGGUUCACAUGGUCGGACCUAGAGUGUCGGGCUCAUAGAUGUUAUAGAAGGUCAAGCACAAUAGGAAAAGAUCAUGUCCACUAGGAUAGGAUAAUGAGUCCUGUCUUGAAUGAUGAUGUGAAAUGCCAUGACAUGAUGCAUGUGCAUUAAUGAUAUGUUUUGAUUGCUAUGUAUGUGAUGAGGGUUCAUGUGUGCCCAUAUGAACCAUAUGAUGCUAAUGUUUGCUUGCUAUGUGCUGUUUUCAGAAAACAGGAUGAGAGGAACUCGUCGAUCUGCACGAUUGACUGGAGUACCACCUGAGGAUGAGGGCAUGAGCGCCCGUCCUCCAGCAUUGCCUAGGGCAAUGUCUAGCAGGUCAAGCAGGGAAAGAGUAGCAAGAGACCCUAGAAGGUCUUUAGAUAUGGGUAGAAGCAGAUCAGUAAGGGGGACUGUGCAAGGCGGUAUGUCAGAGGAUGUGGGAGAUGAGAUGGAUGUGGACCAGAGGAGGGAUGGUAGCCUUGGAGUGAGUAUGUCGGAAGAAGGGAUGGGAGAGUCCCAAGGAGGCACACAGGCCUCGGGAUUUGUUCAGCCACCUCAGUACCCACCUUUUCCACAUAAUCCCGGGUAUUCGAUGGGAGGUACAUCGGAUUACCCUAGCUUUAGCCCUUUCCCCACACAGAUGCCAUACCCACCAUACUACCCACCAUACCCACAGUACCCUAUGUAUCCACCCCCACCCUACUAUCCAAAUCCAGCAAACCCUACCCCAGGGGAUGCUGCACCUCCUCCACCACCCACAGAACCCACAGUUCCAACAACCCAAGACCCUAAACCUAGCUCAUCUGGAGGGAGCAAAGUGAGGAUGACCGACUACAUGAAGUUGGGUGCCCCCCAAUUUGAAACAGGUGACGACCCAUUUGUGUAUCUGGAGAGGGUCAAAACCAUAACAGAUGAGAUAGGAGCGGAGGACAGUAGAGCCAUUCAGAUGGCAGGGUUCACCCUGAAAUGCAAGAAGGCCCGUGAGUGGUUCAAGGCCUAUGUGAAACCGAGGGUGGACAGUCUUUCAUGGGAGGAGUUUGCUAAUGAGUUUGCAGGAUGGGCUUUCCCUGAUAGCUCAAGGGAACAGAAGAUGAUAGAGUUCGAACAGUUGAGACAAACUGAUGACAUGAGUGUAGAUGAAUACACUGACAGGUUUAUGGAGUUGCUGCCAUUUGCUGGCCAGAACCUUGAUACAGACCAUAAAAAGUCAAGGAGGUACAUCAUGAAGCUCAAUUCCAGGUAUUCCUCCUUGAUACAGUCAACAGAUAGAGAGAGUUUCCAUGCCAUAGUGGAUAUGGCCCGGAGAAUGGAGGCUAGUGCUAUCAUCGAGGGCAGAGUUAAACAGUCAGUGGCACAGCCUUCUGGUCUUAAGACCCCAGGUUCUUCAUCUCUGAGUGCAGCUGCUUCAGGCAGUAAGAAGUGGGACAGAAGCCCCAAGAAGUCAAAGAAGAACAAGUUCUGGAGCAAGAUCAAGUCAGGUCUGGGAUUAGGAGGUGGCUCAAGCUCUGGUGGAAAUAGUGCUGUGUGUGCUAAGUGUGGUAGGCCACACUGGGGAGUAUGCCGGUUUGGGACGACAGCCUGCUACAGAUGUGGGCAACAGGGACAUAUGUCACGGGAGUGUCCUAGAGCAGCUCCUACGGCACAGCCUCAGCAGACAGCUUCAGGCAGUGUAGCACAGCCAGCAGCUCCAGCCAUGACACAGGCCAGUGGCAGAGGCAGAGGGAGAGGGUCAGCCUCUUCUUCAGCAGGGUUCAGAGGUGAGGGUCCGUCAGCUCCAGCAAGGAUCUUCACCAUGACACAGCAGGAGGCUAACACAUCCAACACCGUGGUGUCAGGUAAUCUCAUCAUUGGGUGUUCUGAUGUGUAUGCAUUGAUGGACCCUGGUGCAUCUCAUUCUUUUAUUGCACCGAGAGCCGUUCAGAGGUUAGGGUUGAUGGUCUCUGGGUUAGAGUGUCCCCUAUGGGUCAGUGGACCCAAGUGUGACCCGACAGUUGCAGAGUCAGUCUGCCAGUGUAGUCCAGUUUUUAUAGAGGGAAGAUGCUUAUCCGCCGACCUUGUGGUUCUAGAUUUGACAGACUUCGACGUCAUUCUAGGGAUGGAUUGGCUAUCUACCCAUGGUGCUACCUUGGACUGCAGAGACAAGGUAGUUAAGUUCAGAUGUCAGGAUGGGUCAGAGGUCGUCUUCAGAGGAGACAAAAAGGGUACACCUAGAGGCCUGAUAUCAGCUCUUCAGGCUCAGAGGUUGCUUAGGAGGGGAUGUCAGGGGUUUUUGGCUCAUGUGAGAGAGCUAGACAGUCAGGUUAGAGAGCCCGCCUCAGUGCCAGUAGUCAGAGAGUUCUUAGAUGUCUUCCCAGACGAGCUUCCAGGAUUACCACCUGCUAGGGAGAUAGAGUUUGAAAUAGAGCUGAUGCCUGGAACUAGGCCUAUCUCUAUCCCUCCCUACAGGAUGGCACCAGCAGAGUUGAAGGAGCUUAAGGAACAAUUGCAAAAACUGGUGGAUAAGGGUUUCAUCCGACCGAGUACCUCACCUUGGGGUGCUCCAGUGCUCUUUGUGAAGAAAAAGGAUGGAUCCCUCAGGCUUUGUAUCGACUACAGGCAGUUGAACAAAGUCACCAUCAAGAAUAAGUACCCGUUGCCAAGGAUCGACGAUCUAUUCGACCAGCUAGCAGGAGCGGGUUGUUUCUCCAAAAUAGAUCUAAGAUCUGGGUACCAUCAGCUGAGGAUUAGAGAGGAAGAUGUACCAAAGACAGCCUUCAGGACCAGAUAUGGGCAUUUUGAGUUCCUUGUGAUGCCGUUCGGGUUAACCAACGCCCCUGCAGCAUUCAUGGAUCUCAUGAACAGAGUAUUUAGACAGUACCUGGAUCACUUCGUUAUUGUCUUCAUAGAUGAUAUCCUAGUGUAUUCCAGGAAUGCAGAGGAGCAUGCCCAUCAUCUGAGAUUAGUUCUGCAGACCUUGAGGGAACAUGGCUUGUAUGCCAAGUUCUCCAAGUGUGAGUUCUGGUUAAGGAGCAUCUCAUUCUUGGGGCAUAUUGUGUCAGAGAACGGAAUAGAAGUGGAUCCCAAGAAAGUUGAAGCUGUGACUAACUGGCCUAGACCCACUACAGUAACAGAGAUCAUAAGUUUCUUGGGUUUGGCUGGUUAUUACAGGAGGUUCGUUCAGGACUUCUCGAAAAUUGCAGCUCCUUUGACCAGGUUAACCAGAAAGAAUCAGAAGUUCAUAUGGACCGAACAGUGCCAAGAGAGUUUUGAAGAGCUGAAGGGAAGGUUGACUUCAGCACCGGUGUUAGCUCUGCCAAACAGCAAUGAGGAUUUCACAGUGUUCUGUGAUUCAUCCAGAGUAGGUGUGGGUUGUGUGCUAAUGCAGAAUGGAAGGGUGAUAGCUUAUGCUUCUAGACAGUUAAAGAGGCACGAGUUAAAUUACCCCACACACGACCUUGAGAUGGCAGCAGUUAUCUUUGCCCUCAAGAUGUGGAGGCACUACCUCUAUGGGGUAAAAUGUGAGAUCUUUACAGAUCAUAAGAGCCUGCAGCACAUCUUGAGCCAGAGAGAGCUGAAUUUGAGACAGAGAAGAUGGGUAGAACUGUUAAGUGACUAUGAUUGCAAGAUCCAGUACCAUCCGGGUAAGGCUAAUGUAGUGGCUGAUGCCUUAAGCCGGAAAUCACUUGGCAGUCUAUCCCACAUCACGGCAGAGAGGAGACCCGUGGUGAAGGAGUUUUACAAACUCAUGAAUGAAGGUCUACAAUUGGAGUUGUCUGGUACAGGCGCUUUGAUUGCACAGAUGAGAGUGGCACCCGUGUUUCUGGAGCAGGUGGCUCAGAAACAGCAUGAGGACCCAGAGUUAGUGAAGAUUGUCAGGACUGUUCAGUCAGGUAAAGACAGUGAGUUCAGAUUUGAUGAUAGGGGGAUCCUCCGCUAUGGGAGCAGACUAUGUGUACCAGAUGACAUAGGGCUAAAGGGAGACAUUAUGAGAGAGGCUCAUAAUGCAAGAUACAGUGUUCACCCUGGAGCCACCAAGAUGUAUCAAGAUCUGAAGAGAGUGUAUUGGUGGCCAGCUAUGAAGAGGGAAGUGGCACAGUUCGUGUCAGCCUGCGAAGUGUGUCAGAGGGUGAAACUGGAACAUCAGAAGCCGGCUGGAAUGCUUAACCCGCUACCUAUUCCAGAGUGGAAAUGGGAAAAUAUAGCUAUGGACUUCGUAGUGGGGUUACCGGCGACACCCAACAGGUUAGACUCCAUAUGGGUGAUUGUGGACAGACUCACCAAAUCUGCUCACUUUAUUCCUGUCAGGAGCAACUACUCUGUGGAUAAAUUGGCGCAGGUGUAUGUGGAUGAAGUAGUAAGGCUGCAUGGGGUUCCUGUUUCAAUAGUGUCAGAUAGAGGGCCCCAGUUCACCUCCAGGUUUUGGCGGAGUCUGCAGAGUGCUAUGGGUACCAGACUAGAUUUCAGUACUGCCUUCCAUCCCCAGACUGAUGGACAGUCAUAGAGGACCAUCCAGACUAUAGAAGAUAUGCUCAGGAUGUGUGUGCUAGAUUUUGGCGGUUCUUGGAGGCAACAUCUACCCUUGGUGGAGUUUGCCUACAAUAACAGCUAUCAUGCUAGCAUAGGGAUGGCUCCAUAUGAAGCUUUGUAUGGGAGGAAGUGCAGGUCACCCGUUUGCUGGGAAGAGGUUGGAGAGAGGUCCUUAGCAGGGCCUGAGCUUGUAGAGAUCACCAGCAGGGUGGUGCCCAUGAUCAGAGAAAGAAUCAGAACUGCCAUGAGUAGACAGAAAAGUUAUGCAGACAUCCGCAGGAAACAGGUAGAAUUUCAGGAGGGGGAUCUAGUAUUGCUCAAGGUGUCUCCGAUAAAAGGGGUGGUUCGGUUUGGUAAGAAGGGUAAGCUAGCUCCGCGGUACAUCGGACCCUUUGAAGUCCUGCAAAGGAUUGGGAGUGUAUCGUACAAGCUGGAUUUACCUGCAUCUAUGGAAAGAAUCCAUCCGGUUUUCCAUGUUUCCAUGUUAAGAAAGUUCGUGUCAGAUCCAGGCAAGGUUCUUAGCGAGCCUGAUGUGGAGAUCCAAGAGGAUCUCAUUUAUGUAGAGCAGCCAGUAUGGAUUCUAGACACUCAGAUCAGAAAGUUAAGGAACAAGGAAAUCCCGAUGGUGAAAGUCCUUUGGAACCACCACAAUUUGGAAGAAUGCACCUGGGAGACACGGGAGUCCAUGCUCCAGCAAUAUCCCCAUCUCUUUUAAAGGUUAGUAUCUAUGUGUGCUAUGUGUUUAGUAUGUAUGAUAUAUUUUAUGCUUUGUAUGUACUAAUUGAGGAACAUUCGGGGACGAAUGUUCUUAAGGGGGGGAGAAUGUAAUACCCGGCUAGACUCCGGUAUCGGAAUUCCUACCGUCCGGUGGAAUUUGGAUGUCGGAAACCUCUAGAAGGGUAAAAACAUGUUUUUAUAAAAUGUUUUCAUGUAUUUUAAUGUUUUAAGUAUGAAAUUAAAUGAGUUUUUGCAUGAAAAGUCUUUGGAGGAAAACCCAGGUUCGGCCGCCGAAAGUCAAGUUCGGCCGCCGAACAUGCAUGCGUUUGGGAGGCACGUUAGGCCCCCGAAAGCAUAAGAAAGGGGAGUCCAGGUUCGGCCGCCGAACCUUAUGUUCGGCCGCCGAACAUUGCAUGGAUGCGGAGGCACAUUCGGCCCCCGAACGUGGCCUGGCCAGCCACCUAUAAAAGGGGCACUUAGCCGAAAUGGGCGAGUUUUCUCCCAUUUUCGGCCACAGCAAGCUUUCGACCUCCCUCUCCCCAAAUCUUGUGUUCUUUCUACAAAUCUCCUCCAUUUUUCUUGAGUUUUAACUUCACAUUGCAAGUUUUGAGCAUUUGAGACAACUUUUGGAGCUUUGGAAACUCAGGAGCUCAUUUGCUUGGAUCUCCGAGUUUUGAUCGCCUCUCUCUCGAUCUUCAAGAGGUAAGAGCCGAUCUUAAGCUCAAUGUAUGUUUUAAACAAGUUUUAUGAAGUUUUAUGGGGUAGAAUGGCAUGUAUAGGGUUGUAUGAGUUAGUUGAGCUAUGUUAGGUUUUAUGUGAUUUUUUUGAGCAAUGUAUGUUGGAAAUGUGUUGUUGUGAGUGUUGUAGUUGGGGUAUAUGUUAGUUUGAGACCCCUAGGUGUAAUGUAUGUGAUGUAUGCAUGUUUUAGAACAAGUUUAUGCAUGAUUGGUGGUUUUGGGAGGCAAGAGGCUCAUGUGAGCAAAGUUUCUGCCUGUUUGGCAGAAACCAGGUUCGGCAGCCGAAGGGACUUUCGGCUGCCGAACCCCCUUGUGGAGGCAGCAUUCGGCUGCCGAAGCUUGCCCCCGAAAAGAGACUUUCGUCUCUGUCUGGGAGUUUCGGCCGCCGAAGGUGCCGCCGAACCUGCCUGACUUUCGUCUCUGUCCAGGACUUUCGGCCGCCGAAGGUGCCGCCGAAAGCGCCCUGUUCAGCCACUUCAUGCAUGUAUUCCUAUGUUUAUGUCAUGAUGUUUUAGGGGGUUUUUGGAGAGUAUAUUAGAGUUAUGUUUAUAUAUGUUUGGUCCCUCAUUGGAGUCCACCUGUGUAGGUUCAGACCCGAGGAACCGAGGAUCCCAGCAGUGAGUCAGCUGCUACAGAGUGUUGUUAGAGUCUUCAGAGCAACCAGAGGUGAGUAGAAUAAACUCUUAAGUUUUAAAAUUAAUGAAAUAUUAAUUUUGAGCAUGUUCAUGCAUCACGAUUGCCAUGAGAUAUUUUAGGAUGUUGCAUUAGAAUUCACGAAUAUGUUGCACUGCAUAUUAUGUUGAUGUUGUGGGUAAAUACUGAAUGAUCCACUAGUCCUUGAUAUGGAAGUCCAGGGAGCCUUUGACUACGCCCUUGGCACUAGAUAAUGGAAGACCAGGGAGCCUUUGACUACGCCCUUGGCACUAUGGAACGCCAAGACCAAGUGCCUGAUAAGGCCUUGGGGCAGUGUAAGUAAUGUUAUGCUUAAUGGAAGACCAGUGAGCCUCUGACUACGCCGCUGGCAUUAGAUAUGAUGAUGGGACUAGUUGGUGACAGGUUUACCCUUGAUGUGGCUUGUUUGUGAUGUGACACAUUUCAUGAAGCAUGAAUUAAAAAUAUAAUGUUUUUAUUAUUCUGCUCACUGGGCUCUUGUAGCUCACCCCUCUCCCCUAACCCCAGAUGUGCAGGUACAGGGUAGAUCAGGAGGUUAGCCAGAGAUUUGAAGUAUGUUUAUGUAAUAGCUAGAUUGUGGACAUGACAAAUGUAUUAUGAUGUAAUGUAAGAGAUCAUAGCAUGUUAUGUAAUGAGAUAUUUAUAUUGAGGUUAUAGUUGUGCUUGACCCUAUGAGUAUUGUUAUCCCAUUGAUACAUGAUCUAUAGAUGAUGCUUAUGUAAACUAACUCAACAUAUGUUGUAAUGCCUUUGAGGCUUGAUGAGAUCCCACAGAGGGACUAUGUUAUGUAUAUGUUCAGAGUAUGUGCAGGUUGAGUUAGUAGAUGAUGAAAUGUAUGAAAGAAAAGUUUUAAUUGUUUAUGAUGAUGUUGAUCAUGUAUGGGAUUAAACAGGUUUACAGGUUACAUGUCAGGCUUGCUACGGGUCCCGGCGGCCUUAAGCCGAUCUGGAUCCUAGCGCCGGUAGCGGUCCGAUUUUCGGGGCGUUACAGAUACCUUCCCAACCUUUUGCAAGACCUCAAAGGGCCCGAUGUACCGUGGAGCUAGCUUACCUUUCUUCCCGAACCGAACCACCCCUUUCAUUGGGGACACUUUGAGCAAUACCAUAUCCCCCUCCUGAAACUCCACUUGUUUCCUGCGGAUGUCCGCAUAACUCUUUUGCCUGCUUGUAGCAGUCUUGAUUCUCUCUCGGAUAAUGGGCACCACCCUGCUGGUGAUCUCUACAAGUUCAGGCCCUGCUAAGGACCUCUCUCCAACCUCUUCCCAGCACACAGGUGAUCUGCACUUCCUCCCAUACAAAGCUUCAUAUGGAGCCAUCCCGAUGCUAGCAUGAUAGCUGUUAUUGUAGGCGAACUCCACUAAGGGUAGAUGUUGCCUCCAAGAACCGCCAAAAUCUAGCACACACAUCCUGAGCAUAUCCUCUAUUGUCUGGAUGGUCCUCUCUGACUGUCCAUCAGUCUGGGGAUGGAAGGCAGUACUGAAAUCCAACCUGGUACCCAUAGCAUUCUGCAGACUCCGCCAGAACCUGGAGGUGAACUGGGGCCCUCUAUCAGACACUAUAGAAACGGGAACCCCAUGCAACCUUACAAUCUCGUCAACAUACACCUGCGCCAAUUUAUCCACAGAGUAGUUGCUCCUUACAGGGAUGAAGUGAGCAGAUUUAGUGAGUCUGUCCACAAUCACCCAUAUGGAGUCUAAUCUGUUGGAUGUUGCCGGUAGCCCCACUACAAAAUCCAUGGCGAUAUUUUCCCAUUUCCACUCUGGAAUCGACAGUGGGUUAAGCAUUCCAGCCGGCUUCUGAUGUUCCAGCUUCACCCUCUGACACACUUCGCAGGCUGACACAAACUGUGCCACUUCUCUCUUCAUAGCUGGCCACCAAUACACUCUCUUCAGAUCUUGAUACAUCUUGGUGGCUCCAGGGUGAACACUGUAUCUUGCAUUAUGAGCCUCUCUCAUAAUGUCUCCCUUUAGCCUAUGUCAUCUGGUACACAUAGUCUAUUCCCAUAGCGGAGGAUCCCCUUACUAUCGAAUCUGAACUCACUGCCCUUGCCUGACUGAACAGUCCUGGCAAUCUUCACUAACUCUGGGUCCUCGUGCUGUUUCUGAGCUACCUGCUCCAGAAACACGGGUGUUACUUUUAUCUGUGCAAUCAGAGCACCUGUACCAGACAACUCCAACUGUAGACCUUCAUCAAUGAGCUUGUAAAAUUCCUUCACCACCGGUCUCCUCUCUACCGUGAUGUGGGAUAGACUGCCAAGUGAUUUCCGGCUUAAGGCAUCAGCUACUACAUUAGCCUUACCCGGAUGGUACUGGAUCUUGCAAUCAUAGUCACUCAACAGUUCUACCCAUCUCCUCUGUCUCAAAUUCAGCUCUCUCUGACUCAAAAUGUGCUGCAGGCUCUUAUGAUCUGUGAAGAUCUCACAUUUUACCCCAUAGAGGUAAUGCCUCCACAUCUUGAGGGCAAAGAUAACUGCUGCCAUUUCCAGGUCGUGUGUGGGGUAAUUCAGCUCAUGCCUCUUCAGCUGUCUAGAAGCAUAAGCGAUCACCCUACCAUUCUGCAUCAACACACAACCCAGGCCUACUCUGGAUGCAUCACAGAACACUGUGAAAUCCUCAUUGCUGUUUGGCAGAGCUAACACUGGUGCUGAAGUCAACCUCUUCUUGAGCUCCUCAAAGCUUUCUUCACACUGAUCGGUCCACUCGAACCUCUGAUUCUUUCUGGUCAAUCUGGUUAAAGGAGUUGCAAUCUUAGAGAAGUCCUGGACGAACCUCCUGUAAUAACCAGCCAAACCCAAGAAACUUCUGAUCUCUGUCACUGAGGUGGGCCUUGGCCAGUUAGUCACAGCUUCAACCUUCUUGGGGUCCACCUCUAUCCCAUUCUCUGACACUAUAUGCCCCAAGAAUGAUAUGCUCCUUAACCAGAACUCACACUUGGAGAACUUGGCAUACAAGCCAUGUUCCCUCAAGGUCUGUAAAACUAUCCUCAGAUGAUGGGCAUGCUCCUCUGCAUUCCUGGAAUACACCAAGAUAUCGUCUAUGAAGACAAUAACAAAGUGAUCCAGGUACGGUCUAAACACUCUGUUCAUGAGAUCCAUGAAUGCUGCAGGGGCGUUAGUUAACCCAAACGGCAUUACAAGGAACUCAUAGUGCCCAUAUCUGGUCCUGAAAGCUGUCUUCGGUAUGUCUUCUUCUCUUAUCCUCAGCUGAUGGUACCCUGAUCUCAGAUCUAUCUUGGAGAAACAACCCGCUCCUGCUAGCUGGUCGAAUAGAUCGUCGAUCCUUGGCAAUGGGUACUUGUUCUUGGUAGUGACUUUGUUCAACUGCCUGUAGUCGAUACAAAGUCUGAGGGAUCCAUCCUUCUUUCUCACGAAUAGCACUGGAGCACCCCAAGGUGAGGUACUCGGUCGGAUGAAGCCCUUAUCUACCAGAUCUUGCAACUGCCCUUUCAACUCUUUCAAUUCUGCUGGUGCCAUCCUGUAGGGAGGGAUAGAGAUCGGUCUAGUUCCAGGCAUCAAUUCAAUCUCGAACUCUAUCUCCCUAGCAGGUGGUAGUCCUGGAAGCUCUUCUGGAAAGACAUCCAGAAAUUCUCUGACAACUGGCACUGAGGCUGGCUCCCUGACCUGACUAUCUAGCUCUCUCACGUGAGCUACAUACCCCUGACAUCCCUUCCUAAGCAGCCUACGAGCCUGUAGGGCCGAUAUUAGACCUCUAGGCGUACCCCUCUUGUCUCCUCUGAAGACGACCUUUGACCCGUUCUGAUCUCUGAACCUGACUACCUUGUCCCUGCAGUCCAAGGUAGCACCAUGGGUAGAUAGCCAAUCCAUCCCUAGAAUGACGUCAAAAUCUGUCAAGUCUAGAACCACAAGGUCGGCGGAGAGGCAUCUUCCCUCAACAAAUACUGGACUGUACCGGCAGACUGACUCUGCCACUGACGGGUCACACUUGGGUCCACUGACCCAUAGGGGACACUCUAACCCAGAGACCAUCAACCCUAAUCUCUCAACUGCCCUCGGAGCAAUAAAGGAAUGAGAUGCACCUGGGUCCAUUAAUGCAUACACAUCAGAACACCCAAUGAUGAGAUUACCUGACACCACGGUGUUGGAUGUGUUCGCCUCCUGCUGAGUCAUGGUGAAGAUCCUGGCUGGAGCUGAUGGACCUUCACCUCGGGAACCUGAAGAAGAGGCUACUCCUCUCCCUCUACCUCUGCCACUGCCCUGAGUUGUGGCUGGAGCUGCUGGCUGUGCCACACUGCCUGAAGCUGUCUGUUGGGGCUGGCCCGUGAAAGGUGCUCUAGGACAAUCCCGAGCUAUGUGUCCCUCCUGGCCACAUCUGAAACAUACAUUGGUCCCAAAUCGACACCCUCCUUUGUGUGGCCUCCCACACCUUUGGCAUUCUGCACCGUCUGAGCCUGAACUCGAGCCACCGCCUAAUCCCAGACCGGAUUUCAGCUUAUUCCAGAACUUGUUCUUCUUGGGCUUCUUGGUGUUACUCCAUCUCUUACUACCUGAACUCUGAGUAGAGGGUCCUGACCCUCCUCUGCCUGGGGUCUUAACCCCUGAAGACUGGGUCACCGACUGCUUCACUGACCCCUCAAUUAUAGCACUGGCCUCCAUUCUUCGAGCCAUAUCCACCACAGUGUGGAAACUUUCCCUCUCAGCUGAUUGAAUCAAUGAGGAGUACCUGGACUGUAAUUUCAUGACAUAUCUCCUGGCCUUCUUUGCAUCUGUAUCUAGAGCUUGCCCUGAGAAGGGUAAUAGCUCCAGAAAUUUAUCUGUGUACUCCUCUAUGCUCAUGUCUUAUGUCUGUCUCAGUUGCUCAAACUCAAUCAUCUUCAACUCUCUGGAACUAUCUGGAAAGGCCCAUCCAGCAAACUCAUUGGCAAAUUCCUCCCAUGUCAUACUUUCAAGUCUCGGGUCCACAUAACACUUGUACCACUCCCGUGCCUUCUUGCACUUUAAAGUGAACCCUGCCAUCUCAAUGGCUCUUCUGUCAUCUGCCCCUAGCUCAUCAGUGAUCAUCUUCACUGCUCUCAGGUAUUCAAAGGGAUCAUCCCCUGACUUGUAUUUAGGAGCAUCCAGCUUAAGGUAAGCUGUCAUCUUCACCUUGCUCCCACUGGCUGAGCUAGGUUUAGGAGGUUGAGUAACUGGGGCUACUGGUUCUGUAGGUGGUGGGGGUGGGGGGUGCAGCAUUCCCCGAGAUGGGGUUUGCUGGGUGAGGAUGGAAGGAUGAGGGUGGAUAGGCUGAGUACUGUGGGUAAGGUGGAUAGAAAGGUGGAUAAGGCAUGUGAGUAGGGUAGGGGUUAAAGCUGGAGUAAUCCGAUUUACUUCCCAUCGGAUACCCGGGACUCUGUGCAUAGGGUGGAUAAUAGGGUGGAAAACCAUACCCCGAGGCCUGAGUGCCUCCUUGUGACUCCCCUGUCCCUUCUUCUGACAUGCUAACAUCCAGAUUCCCAUCCCUUCUCUGAUCUUCUUCCAUAACCUCCCUCACAUCUGAAGAACUUCCUCCUCUGUCUGUCCCCCUUCUGCUAGUAUCAAAAGACCUUCUAGGGUCCCUUGACACUCUUUCUCUGUUUACUCUGCAUGACAUUGCCCUAGGCAAUGUGGGAGGACGGGCGCUCGUGCCCUCAUCCUCUGGUGGGGCUCCUGUCAACCGUGCAGAUCGACGAGUUCCUCUCAUCCUGUUUUCUCUGAAAAACCAGCACAUAACUCACAAGCAUUAACAUCAUAUGGUUCAUGUGGGCACACAUGAACCCUCAUCAUAUACAUAGCAAACAUAGCAUAUUAUUUAUGCACAUGCAUUUAAUCAUGGCAUAUCACAUCUUUAAUCAAGGCAGGACUCUACAUCCUAUCCUAGUGGACAUGACUUUUCCUAUUGUGCUUGACCUUCUAUAACCUCUAUGAGCCCGACACGCUAGGUCCGACCAUAUGAACCUAGGGCUUUGAUACCACUCUGUAACGCCCCGGAAAUCCGGACCGCUACCGGCGCUAGGAUCCAGAUCGGCAUAAGGCCGCCGGGACCCGUAGCAAGCCUAACAUAACCUGUAAACAUGUUUAAUCCCAUACAUGAUCAACCAUAUACAUAAAAAAAAAAAUCAAAACUUUUCUUUCAUACAUACUAUCAUCAACUAACUCAACCUGUGCAUACUCUGAACAUAUACAUAACAUAAUCCCUCUGUGGGAUCUCAUCAAGCCUCAAAGGCAAAACAACAGGUGUUGAGUUAAUUUACAUAAACAUCAUAUCAUAAGAUCAUGUACAUACAAAAGGGAUUAGCAAUACACUAUGGUCAAGCACAACUCUAACCUCAAUAACCUCAUUACAUAACAUACUGAAAGUUUUUACAUUUCAUCAUAAUACAAUUGUCAUGUCCACAAUCUAACUAUUACAUACAUAUGACUUUUCUCUUCUUGCCUUCUCUAUCUAUCCCGUACCUGCAAACCUGGGGGUUAAGGGAGAGGGGUGAGCUAGAUGCCCAGUGAGUAGAACUGUAAAAAGAAUAUUUAAAACAUGCUGUCAUGGAAUGCAUCACUACACAAACAUUUCACACCACGGGUGGACUGAUUCAAAAAUCCCUCAGCUCCAUGCCCGGCCCUAAAGAGGGCACCACAGGACUUCAUAUGCCCGGCCCUAUUAUGGGCACCACAGGACUUCGUAACUCGGAGCUAUUGCCCGGCCCUAUUAUGGGCACCACAGGACUUCGUAUUCAGAGGGCUAAUGAAUCAUCCUAAUGUCCAUCCACUAUCAUCUAUCACAACAAUGCAAUGCGGCAUAUUCGUGAAUUCUAAUGCAAACAUCCUAUAAUAUAAUCAUGAUGCAUGAAGCAUGAUAAAAACAUUUAAUUUCUUAAUUUAAAAGGUUAAGUUUAGUUCCACUCACCUCUGGCUGACUCUGACAAUCUCUGUAGCAGCUGGCUCACUGCUGGGGUCCUUGGUUCCUCGGGUCCGAACCUACAUGGGUGGACUCCAAUGAGGGACCAAACAUACAUAAACAUAACUCUAAUAUAACCCCCAAAAAUCCCCCUAAUGCAUCAUGAAAACAUCACAUAAAAUAUGCAUGAAAUGGCUGAACAGGGCACUUUCGGCGGCACCUUCGGCGGCCGAAAGUCCCAGACAGAGACGAAACUCAGGUAGGUUCGGCGGCACCUUCGGCGGCCGAAAGUGCCAGACAGAGACGAAAGUCUCUUUUCAGGGGCAACUUCGGCAACCGAAAGGCCUGCCUCCCCAGCCAUGUUCGGCGGCCGAAAGUGCCUUCGGCUGCCGAACCUGGUUUCUGCCAAAGGGCAGAAACUUGGCUCCCUUUGCACAUUUCGCCUCCAAACCUUCCAAACAUGCAUAUUUUUCAACCAAAGCAUGCAUACAAGUUCCUAGGGGCCUCAAGCAAGCAUAUACCCCAUCUACAACACUCCAAACACACACAAUCAAGCCACAUUGUUCAUCAAAGCAUCAAAAACCCAUAAGCUCAACAUAUACCCUAACAUGCAUUCUACCCCUUAAAACUUCAUAAAACUUGUUUAAAACACAUAAUAAGGGUGGAUCCGAGCUUACCUCUUGAAGAAACGAGAGGAAAGGCGAUCCUAGCUUGGAGAUGGAGAGAUUGAGCUCUUUGAACCUCUAAGUACCCAAAUCUUGCUCUAAACUCAAAAAUCUUCAAAAACAAAGUUAUAGGCUCAUUAAAACGUGUGAGAUUUGAAGGAAAAGAUGCAAGAUUGGUGAGGAAUGACGGAGAGCUCACCUUGGCCGAAAAUGGGGGAAAAAGCUCGCCCGUUUUCGGCUAAGGGACCCUUUUAUAGUGGCUGGCCAGGCCACGUUCGGGGGCCGAAAGUGCCUCCGCAUCCAUGCAAUGUUCGGCGGCCGAACCUGCACUUCCCUCACUCAUGCUUUCGGGGGCCUAACGUGCCUCCAAAAUGCAUGCAUGUUCGGCGGCCGAACUUGGCUUUCGGCGGCCGAACCUGGAUUUUCCUCCAAAGAUUUUUCAUGUAAAACUCAUUAAAUUUCAUACUUAAAAACAUUAAAAACAUGAAAACCUUUUAUAAAAACAUGCUUUUACCCUUCUAGAGGUUUCCGACACCCAAAUUCCACCGGACGGUAGGAAUUCCGAUACCGGAGUCUAGCCGGGUAUUACAUUAAGUAUAUGCAUAAAGGGGUCCAAAACUAACCUAAAACCCCAAACAACAAACACAAACAACCACAAAUCAUGAAUAUACACAAAACCCUCCAUAACACCCUCCUUAACCUAACAUGCAUUUCUACCCAUAAAAACUCCAUGAAACCUUCAAAAAUCAAAAAAGGAAGUUCAGGAUCUUCACUUACCUCUUCCAAAUGAGAGAAUAAACGAUCCCAACGUGGAGUGAUGGAGAAAUCUUCCCUCAAAACCUCCAAACUUCCUAACUUUGCUCUUUUACUCAAAAACUUCAAAACAAACAUAAAACUCAUCAAAACUUUGAAUGAUUUGAAGGAAACAUGAAAAUCACCCAAGGAGAACCUCAGCCUCACCUCUGGUUGGCAAAAAUGGAAAAAGUGAUCCAAAUCACCGACCUUUGACCAUUUAUAGGUGGCUGGCCAGACCACCUUCGGCGGCCAAACGUGAAGCCGAAUGCCAUGCAUGUUCGGCGGCCGAAAGUGACCUUCGGCGGCCGAACAUGGGCUUUUCUGCCUUGGUAUUUUUUCUUUCAAAAACUCAUUUCUUUUUAACACUUUAAAACAUUAAAACUGUUUUAAAACAUGUAAAAACAUAACCCGAACCCUUCUAGGGCAUUCCGACAUCGGAAAUUCACCGGACUACAGGAAUUCCAAUGCCGAACUCUAGCCGGGUAUUACAGCUACAUCCUAUAUCAACGUAUCAAAUUCCAGAGUUAAUUGUCUCAUUAGUUUGAACAAUCAUUAAGAGAGUUUCAGCUUCAUGAUUUUCCACAAAGUUUGACUUCUCCCUAUUUUCUCUGUCAUUUGACAUUUUGGUACGACAUUCUGAACGAAAUUGACCAAAUUUAUGGCAUCUGUAGCAUUCAAUUUUGGAUUUGUCAAAAUGCUGAAACUAUCCUUUUCCUUUGUGCGAUUGAUCACCGUCAGUUUUGAAAUUUGUGUUUCCAUUUCUGUUGCCACGAUCUCUCCUUCCUCUUCCUCUUCCACUUCCUCUACCUCUUCAUCGUUAGUUUUAUAGCUUCUCUCCAUAGUUCUCGCAAAAUAGCUUGUGAUAGAUUCACCAUCCUUCAUUUGUAGAGUCUCAAAAUCUCAUCUCAAGACUUGAAGCUGUGCAUGCUUUACUCUUGCGAAGUCUUGAUAUUUCUUUUUCAUGGAGUCCCAAAUUUGUUUGGAAGUAUCUUUACAUAAAAUAGUCUCUAAAAUUGAAUGAUUGAUUGCCUAAAAUAAAUAAUUUUUCGCCUUAAGAUCCUUCAACUUUAGCCCUUCAAUUUCUGCUUUUUGCCCCUCAGUCACUACUGCUUCACUUGUUGGUGCCAGUACUCCAUCUGAAACAACUUGUCAACACUCUUUCGAUAUGAGAAUAUUUUCCAUCAACAUACUCUAGUGAUCAUAGUGACCAUCGAAGCAAGAUAUCGUAGGUUGCACAAAACUAUCAAAUGCUAUUGAUAAUAUUUGAAAAAUGCAAAAAAAGCUACAGCUUAAACUUGGGUUUGAUAUCACUGUUAGUAGCAUUUUUUAAAAAUAUAGCAAAAAUAAAAUUACAGUAAGUGUAGUAUGAUAAAAGACCAAAUAAAAGUGAAAUCUCAUCCAUAAAAUUAAAAAUAAAUAGCCCAAAAUAGGCUUUACUAACCAACUAAGAAACAACUACUAACAUAAAAGCACUAAACCACUAAUAUAAAAACACUAAAAUAGGAAGCGUUAAACUGAUAACAUAAAAGCACUAAAUCACUAAUAUAAAAGCAAUAAAAUAGGAAGUUAAUUAGUUACUGCUACCAAAAAUUUGUAAAGAAAUUAAAUUGAGUGUAGAAUGUAAUUAAACACCACAUGCAUAAUUUACAGAUGAAUUUGUAUGAUUAAAGUACAUGAUUUAAUUUGAUAAUGUUAUAUUAUUUUGUAUUUUAUUUGACUGAAAAAUAUAAAAAUUUAUUAUAAAAUUAAUUUCCUAUUUCAAGUUUAAUUCUAUUAUUUUACUAACAAUAUUAUAUCACAAAUAAAAUUUUGAUAUUUUAAUAGUUUGAAAUAUUUAUGAAUAAUUAUCAUAAUAAUUGUUGUGAAAAGAAAAACAUUUUAUAAUAUGAUUUAAUUUAUAUAUUUUAAUAAUUUUUUGAAAAUUUUUAACAGGAAUUUUUGUAUAUUAUUAUUAUUUUUUUAAUUGAGAAUUGAAAAUUAGAUGAGUAGAAUAUGAGAACUCUCAAAUUUACUCAGAUGUACUUGCCAUUAAACCAGUAUUUUGUAUACUAAUUUUUAAAAGAAAUUUUUAUCCGAUAGUCAUAUAAUUAUAUUUUAAUUGUUCUUGAUUUCUCGCAUUAGCUUUAUAUUAAGGCAAUUUAAACUCGGUCAAUUGUAGUAAGUCUUCAUCUGAUCUGUCAAGUUGACUUCAUAUUUAUAUAUUUGGACAACAUAAUAUUUGGAGAAUACAAAAUUAUAUAUAAUGUUCUGAAUAUUUAAAAUUAUUUAUACACACCUUUCCGUUUUAUCAUUUUUAUUCAUUUUAUAUUUUUAUAUAUAUUAAAAAAUAUAGUUUUUUAAUUAUAUUCAUAUUAAAUAUAUUAAAUUUUAUUAAAUAUUAAAAAAAUUUUUAAAAAUAAAAUAAAAUUAAAUACGAUUUAUAUAUUAUUAUAAUUUUAAAAAAUAAAUAAUAAUUUUAAAACAAUAAAAAAAUAAAUAAAAAUUUAUGGAGUUUAUUUUAUUGUGAUAUUUUAAAAGCCUUGAAUCUAGGUCUUUUUUUUAUUUAGUUUUAUCGUAUGGGUCUUGGUCUAUAUAUUAUAAAACGUUAAUUCUAGAAGGCUUAGUAAUCAAUAAUUCAACAUGAUUUUAUCUCAUUGGAUAGAUAUUAUUAAUUAAUUAGAUGGUCACCACCUAAUUAGCUCAUCUCCACAACACGGCUUCAACCUCAAUAUCUUUCACACUUGUAAGCUCUCUAUAUAUAUAUAUUGUAGGAAACAUCUGUCCGAGGUAUUUUAGCUACCCGACUUUCAUUUACUAAAAAAUUAAAUUUAUUGAUCCAACCAGUCAAAUAAAUGCCGAAAAUCUAAUUUGACGGUGGUCAUUGCUUAUAAGUUAUGAUAUUAUAAAUGCUUUGUUCUUUCAAAUGUAUAAUAAAUUAUAAUUUAUUAAGAUUAAUUUAACUAAUAUCUAAUUAAUUCUAAAAAAAGACUAUUAAGAAUUAUAAUCCUUUAUUUAAUAAAUAUGAUAAUUAGUCAGUUCAUAUUCUGAAUUUUUACAAAUUACCAUAUAUAAUAAAUGAUCUUAGAUGGAUCAAAUGAGCUUAUAUAUAUGAUAAACGUAAUCACUCACAUUUACACUAUUAAUAUUAAUAUCUAUAAAAAUUGGUAAAAUUAUACGUAUACAAUUAAAAAUUAAAUUUUUUACGGAUGCUAAACUUGAAAUCUCUUACCUUUUGUUUGACAUAACUCAUUUUAGAAUAAAAGAAUUUAAAUAAAUUUUAGUAAAAUAUAUUUUAUUUUCUUUAAAAAUAAAAAUUGUAUGAAUUAAAAAAAAAUGUUAUAUUCCAAACAAUAAAAUUAAUGAAAAAAAAAAUUAAAUUGAAUCAUUAUAAAAUCUUUGAUUCCAAACAAGAUCCUAAAAGCUUGAACUAUGAAAAACCUUAUAAUUAAUUAAUAAUUUAUAGAUAAUUUGUCAUUUAUAAGUACAUCCAUAAUUUAAUUAUUUAUUCAUAAUUUAAUUAUUCUUAUUAUUUUUUAUGAAAUUUAACUUUUUAAUACAUUUCUGUGUAUAUCCUAUUUUUAUAGAUGUAGAUUCAUAUUUAACCAAAUCAUAUAGUGUAUAUUUUAUUUUUUUAUAAUAUUUACUUCUAAACCAAUCAGUUAUUUAUUUUCCCAACAGAUAAUAUGGCAGGGAAAUACCGUUUGGAUUGGCCAACCAGAAUGGUGAUCGCUUUACGCAUCGGAAGAGGAUUGGUAAAUCUGCAUGAUCGAUGUGAGUCUUCCCUUGUAUGCUUAGGCCUUGGCUAUAUCAAAGCAUGAUUUUUCUGUUUUAAUACAAAUGAAAAGUGCUUCUUGAUUUGAGUAUGUAAGGGUUUAUUUAUUUGUUCAGGCUGUUCCUGCAAUUCAAAAUGAUUGGCCCAAAGGCAACUAUAAGUUUGUUGAUGAAAAAUUAGAGAGAUACUUUGACAAGGAUGAAAUGGAUCGAAUGAUAGAAUGUGCUUUAGCAUGUUUAGAGCGUUAUCCACAAAAUCGACCAGAAAUGAGUAAGGUAAUUUCAUAAAGCUUUAUAUUCUAUUUUAUAUUAUGUAUACAUACGUGAGUUUUAAACAAUUUAGCAUUUUUUGUUAUAUUUUAAUAUUUAGACAACAUAUUUUUAUCACGGUUGUAAAAUUAUUAUUUUAAUACUGAUAAGAUAAUAAUUUAAAAUUAUUAUAGAGAAAAUUCAUUCUAUAUUCAAUAAAAUUAUAAUUUUAGUUGCAUUUUUAAUUCACUGUGAAAAAAUAAUUAAACCGUUAUUUUAUUCUAAUAAUGGAGAUAGAGGUAAUGAUUGUUAAACUGAUAUUAUUAAUUUAUAAUUACAAUUAAAAAUAUAAAACAAUAAUUUAUAGUUAUUGUCUUAAAUUUAUUUUUAUAGUAGUAAUUAUGAUAAACUAAUAACAUUCAUGUGUUAUAAUUAUAGUCUAAUUUGGGAAAGAAAAAAAAACUCAAUUGCUUUUUUUUGAACGGAAAAUUAGAAAUUAGGGAAAUAUAAUAUGGAAUCUCUCAAAUUUAUUUAGAUGUACUUAUCAGUGAGUGUAAAAAAGAAAAACUCAAUUACUAAAAAUUAAAUUUUGUAAGAAUUAUUAAUAAAGUUAAUUUAUUCCAUUUCUUGGCAGAUUCAGUACUUUUUUUUUCCCUUUUUCUAAUUACUUUUCUUGGCAAAGCAGGUUGUUGAAGUUCUAGCAGGAAACAUUUAUCGGAAAAAUCUCAAGAAUUGAGAUGAAAUGUUUGAAAAAGAUAAUUAUUUUUUUUCCUUUUCACUAGAAGUUGGAAACUUCCUUGAAAGGCCGAUUGGACACUGAAAUAAAAGAUAGACUUCCGUUGAAGUGGCAAAGGAGUGUAACUGGAAGACUAUUGCAAUUGAAAAAAAAAGUUCCGUUUGAAAUAAAUCGAAUGUAAAAAAGUGAUUUAGCUUAGAGUAAUUUUUUUAAUUAACUCUUUUUAGUUAAUAAAAUUAAAAUUUUAGUUAUUAUGUUUCUAAAUAUGCAAAUUAAAUUAAAUUCUUAUAAAUUUUUAGUUUUCAAACAGGAAAAUAAAAGGUUUUGGAAGGUUUGAAUCCAAAUAAGAACGUUGAGAGAAUUAUAUCACCGCCAAAUUGCUGGACUAUCUACAGUAGCAUUUCUUUUUCAAAAACAAUUGAAAAUGAGGUUAAUUCUUAUUCUAUUAACUAAAAUUAAAAAAAAAAAUUUAAAUGGAGAUUGAAAAAAUAAAAUUUAAUAUCUCACAUAUUUAUUUAAAUACACUUAUCACCAUAUUAAGAUUGUGAGUAUAAUAUUUAUUAUAUUUUAAUUAUAAUUUAAGAAUUUAAUACGCUAAUAAAUCAUAUAGAGAUGUAAUUGCAUAUUUAAUAUUAUUUUAAUCUGCAUUCCCAGGUUUAGCCUGAUAGUAAGUGCAUUCGGUUAAACCUGAUAGAUCUCAGGUUCGAAUCCCAUCCCCAUUUCAAAAAAAAAAAAAAAAUAUUAUUUUAAUCUUUUAAGUCAAAAUCAAUAAUUUCAACUCCAACCAUAGGUUAUGGCACUAAUCAAGUAAGAGAGAAAAAUAUUUUUAAAGGGAAAUACUUAUUUUUAAUAAAACAAAUUAACUCAGAGUUAGCUUCUCUUAUUAGUUUAUAUGAAUUUUAUUAUAUUAAUAAUAAAAAUAUAUUUGUUAAAUAUGACCAAAAUUUUAAAAAUGACCCUCUUUUAAAUUCCAAUAUUAAUUUAAUUCCAAUAACUUAUCAUAUUUCUCCUUAUUAUCCAUAAUAAACAAUGACCAAGAUUUUAAAAUGACCCUCUCUAAUUUAAUUCUAAUAUUAAAAAUGACCAAAUUUAUUAUCUAUAUUAAACAAUGACCAUGCUUUUUAAAAAUGAUCCUAAUUAAGAUCAAACUAACAACUUUGUAGUUUCUUCAUUUAUUAAUAUGCAAGUGGGAGAUAAAAAAUCAUUAGUUAAUUAAUUUGGUACGUCCUAUUUUAUAAUACACUGAGCAAUCUGAAAGCUGAUUGGCCCCCACAAAUGGAUUAAUUAAUAAUUCAACCUUCUUAAUUAAUGCCGCCUUCAUUGACAGCCUGGGUACUGUUCAGAAACUAACAAUAUAGUAAUCUUACUAUUGCACCGACUCUGCAUAAUUUGUAUUUUUUUGAUACUCCCUACUUUCAAACUUUAAUUUUCGCUAUCGCUGUUUAUUUGAUGGAUUCAAUUUUUGAAUAAAUUAAAUAUUUAAAUUUAAAUAUUUAUAAAAAUAAAAAUAAUCAAUUUUAAUUAAAAAUUAAAUUAAAUUGAAUCGAUCUGAUUUAAUUCGAUUUGAUUGAUUUGAAUUUUUAAUAAAUUUUUUAUUUUUUAUAUUUUAUUUUUAAUAUUUUAAAAUUUAAUUAAAAUAUUUUAAUUUUAAUAUAAUUUAAUAUUUUUAUAUUAUUGAACAUAAUAUAUUAUUAUCAUUAAUCAAUUCAGCUUGAUUUUUUUAUUUUUUUUAUCAAAAUUAAAUAAAAUUGAAAUAAUUAAAAAUUUUAAAAUUAAAAAUCAAAACAAACUCAAAUGAAUAAAAAAUUAAAUUAAAUUUUUAAAUUAAUUUAAUUUGAUUAAUUUUUUUGAUUUAAAUCGAAUAUUACUGGCUCUAAUUUUUCCAUAUAAAUAUUAUGCACAUGUAAAACAUAUAGGUUAAAUAUAUAUUAAAUAAGAUAUUUUCUUAUUAAAAAAAUAUUAUGCACAUGUAAAACAUAUAGGUUAAAUAUAUAUUUACAUAUUUAUAUUUUAAUAUUAUAUACAAAAAGAUACAAGAGAAAGAUACAAGAGUGUAUAUAUAUAUAUAUAUAUAUAGAUGACUGACUCUCUCUCGCUCCUUGGCUUUUCAUUUCCUAGCUUGACUGACUCUCUCUCUCUCUGUCAUCCUAACCUUGUGGGCAGCCAUGGCAGAACCAAGCAGAGGAGGUAUGUUACAACUAAACACCCUAUUUGAAAUUUCGAUUGUGUGAAAUUUAUAUUUAUCAUACUAUAUCUUUUAGUUCGUAACCUAUUAUUAACUUAAAAGUAAACUUAGUUAGAUUUAUUCGAGUUGUGAAUUGAAUUGAAAUAAUCGGUUAAAUUCUAUGAUAGAUUAGUCAAUGGAUUUAAAUUUUUAAUUCAGAUUAAAAUUUAAAAUCAGAAGGACUAAUUAAAAACUUCUCUUCUUAAUUGAAAUUAAAAUUGAACUAAAAUCGAUAAUUUAAAUUAAUCGUACAGUUUAGUUUCGAUUUGAUUUUAAAUUUUUAAAAUAAAUUAUCUUAUAAAAUUCUGUAAAUUUUUAAAAUUAAUAUAUAGAUAAAUCAAAUUAUUAAAUAAUUAAGUUAAAUUUUUUACUCGUAAAAAAUAUAUUUCCAUUUAAUUUUUUUUAUAUUAUAUGAAUGGGUAUAUUUUGUAAAAAAAUUAUUUAUUGAAUUAUUAAUUAAAUAAUUUUUAGUACUCAUAUUUAUUUCUUUACGUUUUAUUUAAUUUUAACUAAAUUUUUUAAAAAUUUUUUCACGUAUGUGUGGAAUUUAUGUUUGAUAUCAAUGCCAACCCACAAAAUUGCAGAAUAACAAAAUUAGCAUUUGAUCCAGGUGUUCACAAGUACAGCUUUGAAGAGCUAGCAAAAGCAACAGGUGAUUUCUCCAACAACAACCGCGUUGGACAGGACGGUUCUGGUGAAGUUUAUGAAGGAACACUUCCCAAUGGUAAACAAGUUGCGAUUAAGAGGCUUCAAUAUAAUUCAGAUCCUGAGAAACAGCAAGUGGAACUUCUAUUUGAGAAUGAGGUUAAAACCAAUAGCCGCACUCGUCACCCGAAUAUUGUGGAGGUCGUCGGAUACUGCAGCGAAGAAGCUGAUCGAUUGAUUGUUUACGAGUUCGUGUCCAACAAGAGCUUGAAAUCUCAUCUCUAUGGUGAGUACUUCUUAAAUUUUCUCAUUGGAUUUAUAAUUUAUUUAUCAUGAGAAUUAAAUGAUUAAGCCAUUUUGUUUGGUUACACAAGUGGGAAGAAGACAGCUGGCGACCGCCCCGAUCGAUUGGCCAACCAGAAUGAAGAUUGCUUUGGGUAUAGCAGAAGGAUUGGCAUAUUUGCAUGAAGAAUGUGAGGUUUUAACUUUAUUUAGUUUUUUUUUUUCCCAAGUUUUCUAUAUUGCACAUUAUACUUUUUAAUUUUAUGCAUUUUUAGGUAAAUCAGGAAUCAUCCACCGAGAUAUUAAAAGUGAUAAUAUUCUUCUCGAUGAUAAAUUUAAUCCUAAGGUAUGAUGAUAUACUCACAGAAGACAGCUAAACAUUUUAUAAUUAAUAUUAAAAAUGUAAAUAAAGUUUACAUUUAUAACUAUUAACUGUUUUAAUUAAUUACAAGUAAUUUUAAUUAUAAAUAAGUGGCCUUUCAAAAUCUUGAUUUAAAAUACCUUCUGUUUAGAAUUAAAAAAAACUUGUAAGAUUCAUAUCAACUUUGAAUUUAAAUUUAACUUAUUAGUUAUAAAUUAAUUUGAAUGACACAAUAAAUUACUUCUAUCAACUUUUUUCUUUUCAGAUUAGAAAUUUUGGAAUUUCCAAAGAAUUUGCGGAUUCAAAAACUCACGUUUCCACUAUCCCAAUGGGAACUCCAGAGUAAGAUUCGUUCUUAUUUGUUUGCUAAAUUUUCUUUCUCAAAGAAAAUUGGUUGAAUUAGUAGUUCUCAUUUGAUAAACACUUUCUUUAAGUGCAGUUAUCUCGCUCCUGAGCAUUACACCCAAGAUGAUCAAAAUAAGAAGCUCACCGAUAAGUCUGAUGUAUUUUCCUUUGGUGUCGUACUUCUAGAGCUGAUUACGGGAAAAUUAGCUGCUUUUGAGAAGGAACGCAGGGAAUAUAUUUUCUUAACUAUUUGGGUACUUAAAAAUAAAGAAUUUGAUAUUUUGUAUAUUCAAUAUUCAAGGGUUUUUUAUUUUUUAUUAUUUUUUCCCUGAUGGAAUGCUUAACUGACCUUUGUACAUCUAUUUUGAUUAUUCACAGGCCGUGCCUCUACUGAAACAAAUUUUGGAUGCAGACUAUCAAGAUUUGGAUGCUGAAAAUUGUAAAGAACUUUUUGAUUCCAAAUUACCGAACAAUUUUGAGAAAAAUGAUAUGGAAAAGCUUAUUUAUUCUGCUGCUGCUUGUAUAUAUAAACCUGCAAAGUUACGCCCACAUAUGUGCGAGGUAAAUUGACAAAACCAAACCAGUUAUUUUUGGAUUAUGCUUUGCAUGUGAUUAUCAGUAAAAAUAUAUGAAAUAUAAUUUAAAAAGUACGUAAAAAUUAUUUGAUAAUUUUGCAUAUGUUAUUAAAAAUUGGGAGGGUGACUGCAUGUGAUUUUUUGAUGCAGAUAGUUAAAGUACUAAAUGGAGAUAUGGAACCCAAAACUAUAUGGGUGAGAAGUGAUUGCAAGUACCUAUACAAUGGGUCACCUUACGCUCCAUUUCCUCAAGCUCAGGGAACCUCCAGCUCUUGAUCUCUAUCCAAUACAUGAAUUAACCUCCGCCUUGUAAUAAAAGAGUAUGUGUUCUUGCUAAAUGCACGUGCUUUUCUAAGGGAUCAAUUAGUUAAUAAGAAUGUGUUCCUUGCUGAAUUUUUUUUUUUUCAAUAUUAAUAAUGAUUGAUAUUGAAUAAUUUUUCAUGUAUAUAUAUAUAUAUAUAUAUAUAUAUAUAUAUGCAGAAUAUAUAAUAUCCAUUAAGUAUUAUUUUAAAACAAAGAGAUAAUAAUUUUUUUUAGUGAGGGUUCCUUCGAAGUGCAACAUAUAUAUGUAUAUAUAUACACAUAGGUAUGAUUGGUAAACGUAUGGAAAAUUUUUUUGGAUAAAUCAUAAGUCGAAUCCAACAAAAUAAUUAAAGAUUUAAUAGCUUUUGAUAAUUUCAAAUUCAACAUUUAUAUUUAAUAGCAUCGAUCUUGAUAUUAAUAUAUAUAUAUAUAUAUAUAUUAAAAUAAUGAAUACGUACAUAUUAAUAUAAAAUUAUUCAAUUAAUAUCAAGAUCAGAGCCACCAAAAAUAAUCUAUUAACGGGUGUCGAAUCUAUCAAUUUAAUUUUACUUCCCUUUUCUUGAUUUAGAUGACUAGUUGAGAUAGAAGAAUAGUUUGAAACAAAAAGUAAGAAGAAAAGUUUUUUUUUUUCUAUAAAAGUGAUUUUGCGUAAGUUAAGAAAAAAAAUUUAAAAGAAAAAAUAAUAAAUAGUGCAAUUGAAAAUUGAGAAACAAGUUAUUGAUUAAAAAUUCCAGUUGAAAGUAAUCAAAUUGAGGUUUUUUGCAGUUGAUAAUUGAUUAAAAAAAAAUAUUUCAUGUUAUUAUUUAUUGUUUGGUUACAGUGGUCAAACAAGCGAAUCUCACCGAUUCUUCUUUAUGAAUAAAUUAAUCCGCUUAGCGCUUAAAUUAAUUCCUAGUUAACUAACUGUAACGGUCAUCUGCCUGCUUGCGGCAAUUCCGUCCCACAUCGACGGAAUAUGAUAAAUUGGAAUUGUAUAUAAUAGCUAGCACGAAACUACUAAUUAACUUGAUUAACUAUUUUGGGCUGAGUGGAAAGUGGGUCCAAAAGUUAUUUAGGUCAGUUCCGGCCGGGCUGCUUCAAUUAGUAUCAGAGCCACCUUGGGUCAGACAAAUUGUGCAUAGCUAGUGGGCCUGCGAGUAAAGGGCUACCCGUGAGAGACAAGAUGGAGCUGCCCGAGGUACUAGCGAACCACAAUACCCGAGGGUCCAGUCCUGAUUAGCAAUUGUAUUGGAUUCAGUUGUCCUGGUUAGCAAUUGUACUGGAUUCCGUUGCGAUGAGGACGUAGCAAAAAUUUAGCGGAAUCGAUCUGCUUGUGGCAAUUCCGUCCCACAUCGGCGGAAUAUGAUAAAUUGAAAUUGUAUAUAAUAACUAGUACGAAACUACUAAUUAGUCAACUGCAUUAAGAGAGAAGAACCCAAACUUGACCAAUAAAAACAAGCGAUUUAUUUAAAUCAAAUCUACUAAUUUCUUAAUAUAAACUAACAUGUUAACAUGUUAAUUGCUACUUGUUAUUAAUUCAAUUAAACAAUUACGGAUUUAAUUAGCAAUAUGUUGUCUUCCCAAGAUAUUCAAGUGAUGAAAAGAAUUGAAGUACAUAACCUCCCAACUUGAAUAAAACCUCAAUUUAAUUUACCCUUCAACUGAAAAUAAUUAUAUAGGCACACAAGAAUAAAAUUCUAAGAUUGGGAGAGUCUUUAUAUAGGCACACAAGGAUAAAAUUUAAUAGUUUAAAAUAAACUCUACACCCCCUAUCUUAUCUCUAUCCUAAUCCGAUUGACAACUAAUUAUAUAGGCACACAAGAAAACAAUAAUGGGAAAUUAACAAAAAAUAGAAAUAAGAUGAAAAGAAUUGAAGUACAUAACCUCCCAUCUUGCAUAAAAACCUCAAUUUAAUUUACCCUUCAACUGAAAGUAAUUGUUUAGCCUGUAAAGGUCAUAAUAAAAUUGCAACAACUAAGAACAAGAAGAAGGAAAGAAGAAAAAAAAGACAAAAAGAAGAUGGAGAAGAAGAGGGGGUCGGCGGCACCCAGAGGAGAGGAGGGGGGAAGGAGAGAAUAUGAUGUGUAGGUUUAAUUCUAAGAACCUUUAUAGGGUGAAUCUUUGCUAAGGUGGCAAAAUCUGCUGAGGUAGCGCCUUCUGAAGCUCUCCAUUGCCUUGAGUUACAAGUUGAGUCAAGGUUGUAACCUUUCUGUCCAAAAAUCUUUUAAUUCAGUCUCUUUUCGUUCUUUUUCUUAAUUUUCGAUAAAAAACCUAUCCAAAUUUAAAUUCUAAAUAAAAAUUAAAUAUUUAUAUCAAAAUUAUAGUAAAAUCAUGGAAUUAAAUGAGAAAAAAGUUGUGAGUUUUGCAACAUCAUCUAUCUAAUUCAACAAAUAUAAAUUGCGUAUAGGGUGAAUAAGAUCAAAUUCACAAGAAAUUGACACUAAAAAUCUCCAAUUAAUAAGUAGAAAAAAUGAAUAAUAGAAGUAGAAAGAGAAUUUUAAUGAAAAUUCAAUUAAAGUAAUAAAUCAAGAUAAUUUAAUAAAGAUAAUUUAAUAAGGUCGUGAAAAUAUAUAGGGAAGCUAAUAUGGUAGCGGAUUAUCUUGCGAAUAGUGCGCAUGGUGGAGUUUUUGGUAUGAGUUUUAUUGAUUUGCCUUCAUCUAGUAUUAAGCUCCUCUUGAAUGCUGACUGUAUGAAUGUUUUUCAUGAUCGUAUAAUAAACUAAAGGGCUCUAUCCCUCCUUUUCAAAAAAAAUAAUAAUAACAAUAAUUAAGAGAAAAUUAAAUUAAUACAAAUAAAUUAUAGUUGAAGAUUAUAGUCCAUUUCAGUUUUGAAAAUUGAUCAUAAAAACAAAAAAAAAUCUUUAUUUAUUCUAAUAAGUUAGUUUAGUUAUAGAAUACACUCUGUAUAAUUAUGGCACACGAGAUCGUGGACAUGCCGGUCGACGAGCAACAAAAGCAACAAGUUAUGGUUCCUCCAACAUCAUUCCAGAAACUUCAUUUGAUGAGAUGGAUCGUUUUCCCAAACCCAUUGUCUUUAGGAGAAGAUGAACAUGUUACAUUUAAUAAAAACCUUAAACCUUUCUCUUCUUAUUUUUCAUAGACCAGAGUUCUCCUUAUCAUUUUAAGCUUUUCUCUUUUUAUUAUUUUCUUUAACCGAUAACUUAUUGUUUUAUUCUCUAUAUUGAAUAUGACCAAUCUUAAAAAUAACUCUCUUUUAUUUAAUUUCAAUAUCAAAUAUUACAUGAGAUUUCUGAAAUAUUGAUAUAUUUUUUUUUAUUGGUAAUUCAAUAAAAAUUCAUUGGUGAAUAGUAUGAUCUAUUUUUAAAAGUCUCACUGAUAAAUUUGUACCCUGGAAUCUAUUCUGGAAUUCACUAGUAAUUUUUUACCCUGGAACUUUUUUUCAAGCUCACGAGAUCAGUUGGAAAAUUGUUGUCUUUCUUUGCCCCCUAUGAAUAUACAAUGGUUCCACAAAUUAGAUAUAUACACUAACUGCAUGUCAUGGUUUGCUUAGAUGAUGAAUCUAGCUCAUACUUUGAAAAAGGUUGAUUAAAUUGAAGAAUCUGGCUCAUUGCAUGAGAAGAAUUAUAAGGGUUUUGGGCUGAAGCAACUAGCAGUGGCAAGAAGUGCAUCUGACAUUUAUAUAGGCGUAUAAUAAACUAGCAAAUGCAACAGGUCAUUUCUCGCUCAAUAACCAAUUUCGUCAAAUUUCAAGGGAUUCUUAGAGGGCAAGAUUUGUGCUAUUAAUUAAAUAAAAUUUUAGGGAUUAUGUUAUAAUUUAUUGUUAAUAUGUGACAUGACAUAUAGACUAAAAAUUUUUUUUAUCAAAAUUGAUUGAGAUUAAUAGAUAAAAUUAAAAUAAAUGUGAAAAGAUUAAUUUUAUUGUAUAAAAUUUUAAAAUUAGAAUAUAAAUGUGAAAAAUCAUACAUUUUUACAUCUUUUUAUCCAAUAGAUUUUGUUAUUAGAUAAACUAGUUGACACCCACAUGUUGAGUAAAUUUUAAUUAUACAGUUAUUAAUUUUAUUGAUAAAGAAUAAAAAAUAAAGUUUUUAUGGUUAAGUGGUAUCGAAGUUGCAAUACGGAUAAAAAGAUCUCAAUUUUUCUUAUAAAAUUCCAAAUCAAAAUUUUUAGUCAAAGUAUCCCACCAAUUUAUUAAAUUGUUUAAUUACUCUUUUGCAUUUAUUUUGAAUAACAAUACAAAUAAAUUUCAUUAUUAAUUAAAUCAUCAAAAUCCAUAUUAUAUUUUUAAUUUUUAACAUUAUACUAAUUUGUAAAAAUAGGAUCUAUUCAUUAAAGAUAUGUGUAAUAUAAUUAUUUUCAUAACUAUAUAUAGAUAUUACACUAGAACAAGCAAUUUAUUGAGACACCCAUGUAUCCAAAACGUAUAAACUAAUACACUGGGCAAUCAGAGAUAUCUUUAUUGAUUACAGAAUAGGUAUUUAUACAUACAAGUGUGACUUAGUUAACAAGUAUUUAAAAUCUAUACAAACUAGGAAACCGAAAUCUAUACAAAUUAGGAAAAUAGAAUCCUAAUCCUUAUCAGUAUAGUCUCAAUCCUAAUCCUUAUCACUUAUCAGUAUAGUCUCAAUCCUAAUCCUUAUCAUAAACCAUCAAAUACAUGCCAUUUAUCAAUAAUCUUUUUUAUUAUAAGAUUUUAAAAAAAACAGUGAUAAGAGAAAAAAGAAACACAACGGUUUAAAUAUUUAAUAAAUUUAGUCAUAAAAAUUAAAUUAAAUGUAAUAUUAAAUAAAUUUAACAUGGACGAUAAAAUGAUCAAAUGAGUAAACUUAAUCGUUUUAGAACAAUCAAACAUUAUAUUGCGACUUAUAUAGUCUGUCAACCAAGUUGGUUUCCUAGUAGAAGGAGGCUGACCUCUUUCAAUAGGUUGGAUUUCCUGUGAACUUUCACUAGCAAUUUGAUAUUGCAAGUCAGAUUAUGAAAGUUGUACAUGUUUGUUAUUUUGGUUCUCUAUUUCUUCAAAGGAGACUGAUAUAGGUUGCUGUUGUGACUCAUUUUUAGCCUAAUUCCAUAUGUUUUCUUCAUAAAAAAUCACAUCACUACUGAUCACAAUCUUUUUAGUGUUUGAAUUUAACAACUUAUAAGCUUUAGAAACUUCACUUAAGCCAAGAAAGACAUGUUUUUCACCCUUAUCAUCUAACUUUUUCAUUUUCUCAUAAGAUAUAUAUGCAUAUUUGAUGCAACUGAAAAUUGAACAAUGAUCAACAACUGGUUUUCUUCCACUCCAUAUUUCCUCAGGAGUCAUAUUUUGUAUUAAAAGUAUUAGACUUCUAUUUAGUACAUGGAUAUUCCAAUUAACUGUCUCAGGCCAAAAGUUCUUCAGAACAUUGCCUUUAGCCAGCAAUCUUCUCACCAUAUUAAGGAUUGUUCUAUUUUUCCUUUCCAAUAUGUCAUUUUAUUAUGGCAAAUAGGCAGCGAGUUCUCUUCCAAUGCUUUAUUCAUCACAAAAUUGUUCAAAUUCCUUUGAAUAAUAUUUUCCACCAUGAUUGGUAAGGAAAGUUUUAACUACCUUCCUUGACUCAUUUUCAACAUGCGCUUUGAAGCUUUUAAAUGCACAAAAAGCUUCUGAUUUAGCUUGUAAAAAGUAAACCCAAGUCUUCCGAGAAAAAUCAUCAAUGGAAGUGAUUAAAUAUUUCUUACCCCAUUGAAAGUUGGAUUAAUUGGACCAUAUAUAUCGAAUGGACCAGAUCUAAAAAAUCAUUCGCUCUCCAUGAUUUUCCUUGUGGAAAUUGAGAGCAAUGUUGUUUACAAACACACACUCUUCACAAACUUGAGAUGGAAUAGUAAUUUGAGGAAGACCAUUCGCCAUAUUCUUAUGUUGGAGAGUUCUUAAUCCACCGAAAUUCAAGUGACCAUAAUAGAAAUGCCAAAAUUGAGAUGGAUUCUUCAUUUCAGCCAUCAAAUGGGUUUAGGCAAUUUGAAUUUGCAAUGGAAACAACUUGUUUGAGCUCAUUUAAAUAAUUACAAUGGCUUCUCUUGAAGGAUUAUAAAUUUCACAAGCUCCCUUUUGAAUGGUUAUCAUAUAGCCCUUCUCUUGCAAUUGACCCGCACUAAGUAAAUUAUUUUUUAAAUCAGGAACAUAAAGCACACUAGAAAUAGUCUCCAUAAAACCAUUCUUAGUUUUAAUAUCAAUAUCACUUUUUCCCAUCACAUUCACUUUAGAACUAUUACUAAAACUCACAGUUGAAUGAAAAGUUUUAUCUAAGUGGGAAAAGAGAGACUUUACUACCACACAUAUGAUUGCUACAUUCUGUAUCAAUGUAUCAAACUGCAGAGUUAAUUGUCUCAUUGGUUUAAACAGUCAUUAAGAGAGUUUCAGCUUCAUGAUUUUUCUAUAAAGUUUGACUUCUCCCUAUUUUGACAUUUUGGUACGACAUUCCAAAUGAAAUUGACCAAAUUUAUAGCAUAUGUAGCAUUCAAUUUUAGAUUUGUCAAAGUGCUAAAACUAUCAUUUCCUUUUGUGUGAUUGAUCAUCGUCAGAUUUGAAAUUUGGUGCCAAAGAUCGUAGGAUUUUCUUCACAAUGGUGACAUUUUCCAUCUCCUCACCAUGAAAUCACAUUUUAUUGCUCAAUAAAAUAGGAAGUUAAUUAAUUACUGGUACCAAAAAUUUGUAAAGAAAUUAAAAUUGAGUGUAGAAUAAUUUGGGUAAGUAAACACCACAAGCAUAAUUUACAGAUGAGUUGGUAUGAUUAAUAAUGAUUACCAAAUUUUGAUACAACGGAUGACUAUUGUCUUGAUCUAAUAGUAAAAACAAAGGUGUUUAAAAAAUUAUGGUUCAAUCUCACCGUCACUUUUUUUUUUUUUUUUUUUUGCAUUUUUUGGUCAAAGUGCUAACUAACAUUUUUUUUUUGCCAAAGUGAUUACUAUUCUUGUAAUUCAACCUCAUGCUAAACCUACCCUAAAGAAAAUCCAAGUCUGAACGCUAAAGUUACCCACAUCUUUCUUCCAUCCUAUAAUAUAAUUUUAUUAUAAUUGAAAGCAAAAUUCUAUAAAGAAAAAUAAUUAGAAAAGUUUUCAUAAAUUAAAACCGAUUUUUACAAACAAAUUUUUAAAAACAAAAUCUCAUCUCUUUAAAAAGUUGACCAAUUUCCAUAAAAAUUAAUUAAAAAUAAAAUUUUAACUAUUUAAGUUCUCUAUUCUAUAUAUAUAUAUAUAUAGAAAGUAAAAUAUAAUUAAAUUUAUUAUUAUAAAAUUAAUAAUUUUUAGUAACAGAAAUUAAUAAUUUUAUUGUUAAUAAUGUUAUACAUUUAAUUAAUUUAUUAUAUGAUAUUAUAGUUUACUAUUUCAAGUUUAAUUCUAUUAUUUUACUAACAAUAUUAUAUGACAAAUAAAAUUUUGAUGUUUUAAUAGUCUGAAUAUUUAAAAUUAUUUAUGUACCUUUUUUUUCACAUAUAUUAAAAAAUAUAAUUUUUUUAGUUAAUUUUUUAAUUAUAUUCCUCUUAAAUAUAUUAAAUUUUAUUAAAUAUUAAAAAAUAUUUAAAAAUAUUUUAAAAAUAAAAUAAAAUUAAAUACGAUUAUAAUAAUUAAUUUAUAUAUUAUUAUAAUUUAGAAAAAUAAAUAAUAAUUUUAAAACAAUAAAAAAAUAGAUAAAAAUUUAUGGAGCAGAAAAUAGUAUUUUAUUGUAAUAUUUUAAAAGCCUUGGGUCUAGGUCUUAUUUUAUUUUAUUUUAUGGGUCUUGGUCUAUAUAUUAUAAAACGUUAAUUCUAGAAGGCUUAAUAAUCAAUAAUUCAACAUGCUUUUAUCUUAUUGGAUAGAUGUUAUUAAUUAAUUAGAUGGUCAUCACCUAAUUAUCUCAGCUCCACAAUACGGCUUCAACCUCAAUAUCUUUCACACUUGUAAGCUCUACAAAUAUAUUAAUAUUAAUAUUUUUUUAUAAUGUUUAUAUAUUAAUAUUUAAUAGAUUUUAUUAUUAAUAUUUCAAUAAAAAAUUAUUGGUAUUACAUAAUUUCUGAUCAUAAAAUUAAUAUUAUGUUGCAAUUAAAUUUAUAAAAAUAAUUUAAUUAUAUUAUAUAUAUUUAUCUAAUAAUAAAUAUUUUUUAUUAUUUUAAUAGAUUAAUAUAGUAUAAUAAUUUUAUACACUUUUAAUCACAUUAUAAAAUUAUGAAAUAAAGUAUAAGAAAUAAUUAUUAUUAUAUUUUAUAAAAAUAUUUUUAAUAUAUAAAAGUACUAUAAAAAUUAAUAACAAAGAAACUACAUACCAAAAUAUUUAAAAUUAUAAUAUUAUUCUUUUAUUAAACAUAUAUAAGAUUAUUUUAUUAAAUUAAUUACUUAAUUUAUUUGUUUUUUUAUAAAUUAUUAAUAAUUCAAUAAUCGAUAUAAUAUUUAGAAUUAUUAUAUUAUUUUACUAUUAAAUAUUAUAUGAGAAUAUUUAAUUAUUUAUAAUUUAUUAAAUACAAAUUAAUUAAUUAAUUAAUCUAAUAGCAUAAUAAAUUAAUUAAAUCUAUUAUUUUUGAUAAAUUAUAAAUAAUUAGUGAUUGUAACGGUCAGCGCUUGUGGAUUUGCGGCUUUCAUCCCACGUCGGGGAGAUGAUAGAAAAUUGGAAUUGUAUAUAAUAGCUAGCACGAAACAACUAAAUAACUUGAGUUAACCAUUUUGGGUCAAAUGAAAAGUGGAUCUAAAAGUUAUUUGGGCCAGUUUGGACCAGACUGUUUCAAUUGGUAUCAGAACCACCUUGGGUUAGACAAAUUAUGCGAAACUAGUGGGCCUGCGAGGAAAGGGCUAUCCGUGAGAGACGAGGUGGAGCCGCCCGAGAUACUAGCGAACCACAAUACCCAAAGAUUCGGUCCUGGUUAGCAAUUGUAAUCGAUUCAGUUGCGGCGAGAACAUCGUAAAUUUAGCUGGACCGAGGUAACAGUCAGCUGCAUGCUUGUGGAUUUGCGGCUUCCGUCCCACAUCGGGAGAUGAUAGAAAAUUGAAAUUGUAUAUAAUAGCUAGCACGAAACUACUAAAUAACUUGGGUUAACCGUUUUGAAUCAAGUGGAAAGUGGGUCCAAAAGUUAUUUGGGCCAGUUUGGACCGGGCUGUUUCAAUUAGUAUCAGAGCCACCCUGGGUCAGACAAAUUGUGCGGAGCUAGUGGGUCUGCGAGGAAAGGGCUACCCGUGAGAGAUGAGGUGGAGCCGCCCGAGGUACUAGUGAACCACAAUACUCAAGAGUUCGGUCCUGAUUAGCAAUUGCAAUCGAUUCAGUUGCGACGAGGACAUCACAAAUUUAACUAUUUUGAGUAAGUGAAAAGUGGAUCUAAAAGUAAUUUAGAUCAGUUUGGAUCGGGCUGUUUCAGAUUCCGUAUAGUAUCUAAUCAUAAUUUUAUUUUAUAAUUCUAAAUAUUAAUAUAUUUUAUAUAUUAAUAUUUAAUAUAUUUUAUUAUUAAUAUUUAAAUUAAAAAUAUUAUUAAUCUUAUAUAAUUUCACUAUCAUAAAAUUAAUAUUAUACCACAAUCCAAUAAAAAAAUAAAUUUAAUUUUUAUAAUUUUAAAUAUUUAUAUUAAUUUAUUUAUUUAUUUUAUAUUUUUCUUUAAUUAAUUAUUUAAUUUAGUGUUUUAUACAUACAUUUAAUACAAUAAUAUUAUAAUUUUAAAUAUUUUUUGUGUGCAGUUUUUUUUAUUAAUUUUUAUAAUAUUUUUAUAUAUUAAAAUAAUAAAAUAUAAAAAAUAUAAUAAUUAUAUAUUAAUAAAUUUAUAAUUAAAUAAAUUUAUAAUUAAUUAGUAUUAUUUAAUUAUAAUAAUAUAUUAAAAUUAAUAAAAUAUAUUAUAAAAAAAUUAUUGUAAUAAAAAAUAUAAUAUAAAUAAAAUUAUUAAAUUAAUAUAAUAUAAAAAUAAUAUAUUAAUUAAUUAAUAUAAUUAUAAUACUUUAAUAAUUAAAAAAAUAUAAAAAAAUUAAAUCAUGGGAGCUAGGCCAUGAUUACUAAUAGUUAGUACCAAAUUAUUAAUAACUUAAAUUAAUUUUAUAAAUAAUAUAUUAUUCUAUUUCAAAUUAAUAUGGAAUUGAAUAAAAUUGUAUUUAGUUAAAAUGUUAAUUAUAAUUAGAAAUUUAAUUUGUUUGAAAAUAACUUUUGCAUUAAAAUAUGAAUUCAUUGGAUUAAUCCUAACCGAUAAUCAUUUUUAUCAUAUAAAUUGUUGGGUUGACAAUUAAUAUCACCAGCCAGUUUCAAUUAAAACAUAUUACUAAUCCCAUUUAGGAAGUACAAAGAUCGUUCCAGAAUUAAAAUUAUAUUAAUUAUUAACUAAAAUCAAUCUUUAAAAAUUGAAUUUCAAGUUCACUCUCAAAUUUAGUUUAAUGGUAAGUGUAUCUGAAUACAUCUGAGAGAUUUCAGAUUUUAUUCUCUCAAUUUCCAAUCCCAUUUAAAAAAAAAAUUAAAUUUCAAAUAAAAUGAAACUUUUUUUACGUAAAAUAAAGAAAAAUUACUAAAUUUUAGGGCUGUAAUCGAACCGAGCUGAGCCGAAUUUUGAUACGUUCAGUCUCGAUUAGAAAAUAAAUUUAAAAGCUCGAGUUUGACCUUGAGCUCGACUCGAACUCUAUUUAUAAACUCGAGCUCAAUUCAUAAAAUAAAUAUUAAACUCGAGCUCGGUUCGAACUCGAUUCGUAAUAAACUCGUUUGUCACAUUAACGAGCCAACUCAAACUCUAUUCAAAAAACUCGAAUUUGAACUCAUUUAGACUCGAAUUUGAGAUCGAUUAUAUUAUAAAUAAGCUUAAUAUAAUUUAAAUUUAUUUAAAUUAUAAAUAAAUUUAAAUUAUAAGGUUAUUAAGAGACUUCUAAAUUAAAUUUUUUUAGCUAAUUGAAAUCUCUCUAAUUGAAAACUAAUGAAAAAGAAUGUCGAAUGGUUGUCUUUUUAUAGAGAAGUCACGAUUCUCCAUAUCCUUUCAACUUUCGAUGUGGGAAUAGUGUUAGCAAACAAGUUUGUUCGCGAGGCUGCUCACGAGCUUGUUCACGAGGCUGCUCACGAGCUUGUUCACGAGCCUAUUCACGAAUCAGCUCGCGAGUCUAAAUAAGCCGAAUACUGUUAAGUUCAAGUUCGACUCGUUUAUUAAACGAGUCUAAAAAGUGAGUUCGAGCUCGGUUCGUUUAGAAAACAAGUCGAGCCCGAUCGAGUUUUUAUCGAGACGAGUCUCGAAUAGUUCACGAACAGUUUGGUUCGUUUACAUCUCUACUAAAUUUAGAAAAAAAUUAAAAUUAACUAAAAUUUGAUACUAAAGGGAUUUUAUAAUGUAAUUUUGACUAUUAUAAUCGUUACAUAUAUAUUUAUAUUCCUGCAUUAUAUAUUUAAAAUAAAUUCAUUGAACACUUAAGUUAAGACUGUAACUCAUUGCAUAUCUAAUUUAUAAAAAUUCUACCAAUUAAAUAUUAAAUAAUUAUAUUCAAAUUUUUUUAUAUAAAAAAUUCCAUCGAAUUAUACUGUAGAUCUUGUUGGCCAUAUUUUAAAUUUUUUAAAUGAAAAGAUUGCCCUCUAUAAAGGAGAGUAAUUUUAUUAUUUUAUAAAAAUUUAAAGUAAUAUCGAUAAAUCUAGAAUAUAAUUAAACAAUAAUAAAUGAAAUUAAUUUUUACUUUUUAUUUAUAAGCUAUAGAUAAAAUGAGUAAUUUACAUUUAAUUGCCAUGAUUCAUGUACGAUUAAAUAUUCAAAUAUGUUUUGAUUAUAGUUUCAGUAUUAAGCCUUUAUUUAUUUAUAAAAUAUAAUAUAUAUUUGAAAAAUAUUUUUCUAUGUUUUGAUUAUAGUUUCAUGUAUUAAGCCUUUAUUUAUUUAUAAAAUAUAAUAUAUAUUUGAAAAAUAUUUUUCAUGUGAAAUAAUAUUAUAUUAUGUAAAAUGAGAGUAAUUUUUUAUUUUAUGAAAAUUUAAAGUAAUAUUAAUAAAUCUAGACAUAAACAAUAAUAAAUGAAAUUAAUUUUAUUUUUUUUACACUCUAAUGUAGAAGUGAGUAGUUUUCGGUUCAAAUUGAAAAAAUUGAUCGAAUUAAAUUAAUUCAAAAAUUUAGUGUAGUUUUUUUAUUUUUUUCGAUUUUGUACGAUUUUUAUUUUUAAAAUUUUUUAUUAUUUCAAUUCAAUUUGAUUUUGAUAAAAAAAAAUUAAUAAAAUUAAACUAAACCGAUUAGUGAUAAUAGUAUAUUAAUUUUUUCUAAUAUAGAAAUAUUUUAAUUAAAUUUUAAAAUAUUAAAAAUAAAGUAUUAAAAAUAAAAAAUCUCAUUAAAAGGUCUAAUCAAUUAAGCUAAAUCAAAUCAAAUCGAAUUAUAUCAGUUUAUAUUUAAAUGGUUUCUAUUUAAAAUCGAUUCGAUUUAAUUUUUAUAAAUUCUAAAUUUUUAAUUUUUAACUUUUUCAAUUCGAUUUGAUUUUAAACCGAACUGACGAAAUGUUACCUUACAUGCUAUUGAUAAUAUGAGUAAUUUAAAUUUAAUUUUCAUGAUUCAUAUACAGUUUAAGUAUUAAGUCUAGGGAGCUUUUUGGCCAAGUUUCCCUCUGUGGUACCUCUGUGGAUCGAUGCUCUCGCCUUUUCCUCUUCUUAAAUCUAACUUCUUCUUUUUCUUUCCCCAUUGAAGAUGAUCUGCGUCAAUUGACUAUCGAAGCGGCUCAUCCCGUCAAAGGUCAGGAUAGCCCAAAGCAAUGAUCGUCCUGUGUUGGAACUGCCGAGGACUCGACAAUCCUCGGACAGUAAAUACAUUAAAGGAUUUGGUUACUAGUUACAAGCUGGACAUUUUAUUUUUGAUGGAAACAAAAGUUCUUAGUUCUCGUAUGGAAUUUUUUUGUAGUUUUUUACAUUUUGAUAGUUGCUUCUCAGUUAAUAGACAAGGAUUAGGAGGAGGCCUUUCGUUAAUGUGGAAGAGUCAUGUGUCUGUUUCUGUGAUUGGCUUUUCUUCCAAUUUUAUUGAUUCGAUUGUUUCGCAAGGUAAUAUCCAAUGGAGGUUUACUGGUUAUUAUGGAUUUUCGAAAUCACAACGAUGACGUCAUUCUUGGAACCUUAUUCGAGCUUUAUCUCGUAGAAACUCUCUUCCGUGGCUUUGUUCGGAAGACUUUAAUAAUUUAUGCUCGAGAGAUGAGAAAGAAGGAGCAACUUUACCAAAUUAUCUUAUGCAGGGGUUUAGACAGAUACUUGAGGACAGUAAUCUUAUUCAAAUACCUACUGUUGGCUCUUUCUUCACAUGGGAGAAGCUUGAUAGAGCCCUUGCUACUGAGGACUGGACUCGUAAAUUCACUAAUGUUGUCUGCUCGGUUGUUCAUGUUCCUAGAUCGGAUCACAAACCGUUGGUGAUUAAUACAGCUCAUAAGGAUAAUAGGGGAGAUAGAAGGAGAUUUCGAUUUGAUAAUGCAUGGUUAUGUGAUGAGAGUCUGGCUAAGGUUGUUAAAGGAGUUUGGGUUAAUUCUAUACCACACAACCUUUUGAUGAAACGUGAUGAUUUAGUUUUAGCUCUUUCGUUGUAGAGUAGGAGUAGAAAUAGAGAGUUUUGGCAAAAGAAGAAGACUAUACAGAGAUUAUUGGAUAAUGGGCCCAGUACUGUUUCUCACGCCUCUUUAAAGAAAGAUUGGAAUUGUCUCCUUGAGCAGGAAGAAACUAGACUUAAAUAGCAGACAAAGUGCUUUUGGCUUAAAAAUGGGAACCGAAAUACAAAAUUUUUUCAUGCACAAAUUAAUGAUAGACAGAAUGAACCUUAUUACUAAAUUAAAGGAGUCGUCGGGUACCUGGAUUGAGGAUGAGCAGGAAAUUAAAAAUCAUAUUCUGCAUUAUUUAAAGUCUAUUUUUUAUGGCAGUUCUGUGGAUUGUGAACGGGUUUUUGAGUUGGUGCCGCCAUUGAUUAGUGAUACCGAUAAUACUGAUCUUUGUGCUCCCUUUUCGAAUGAGAAAUUUAGAGCUGCUCUUUUUCAGAUGCAUUCAGAUAAGGCAUCUGGGCCGGAUGGGUUAAAUCCUACAUUUUACUAGAGAUUUUGGCACUUGAUUGGCAAUGAUGUUUUCGAUGGUUGUCGCCUUGGCUUCAACAAGGUACUUUUCCUUCUUCUCUUACUGAAACAUUGAUUGUUUUGAUCCCUAAAGUAGAUAGCCCUGAAACUAUUAAAGACUUUUGUCCAAUUGCGUUAUGGAAUGUGUUAUAUAAGAUUGUGGCUAAAGCUUUGGCGAACAAAUUUAAAAGGGUCCUUCCUAUGAUUAUCUCUGAGAAUCAGUCUGCCUUUAUCCCUCAUCGAUUGAUUACCGAUAAUGUUAUGGUUGCGUUUGAAAUGAUGCACAAUAUGAAAACUAAUAAGGGCAGAAAUGAUGGUAAUUGUGCACUUAAAAUUGAUAUUUCUAAGACUUAUGAUAUGAUAGAGUGGGAGUUUCUAAAAAGCAUGGUGGAACGAUUUGGUUUUUCUACUCAAUGGAUUAGGUGGUUGAUUAUGUGCUUUUCGGAAGUCUCUUACAAUAUCAAUUUUAAUGGUGAUUGGAUUGGUCCUAUUGUGCCUGGUAGAGGUAUUCGACAGGGGGAUCCUAUAUCUCCGUAUCUCUAUUUGGUGUGUGCGGAAGGCUUAUUGUUACUACUUAAAGAUGCUGAAUCUAGGAGCUAGUUGCAGGGCUGUAGGGCAGGUACUAGGGGUGAGCAGUAUUCGGUUCAAAUCGAAAAAAUCGAUCGAACCGAAUUAAUUUAAAAAUUCAGUUCGGUUUUUUAUUCAAUUUGGUUCAGUUCGAUUUUUAAUUUCAGAAAUUUCAGUUAUUUCGGUUCGGUUCGAUUUUGAUCAGAAAAAAAUCGAAAAAACCGAACCGAACAGAUUAGUGAUAAUAAUAUGUUGUUUUCAAUAAUAUAGUGAAAUUAAAUCAUAUUAAAAUUAAAAUAUUUUAAUUAAAUUUUAAAAUACUAAAAAUAAAGUGUAAAAAAUAAAAAAUUUAUUAAAAAUCGAAACCGAUCAAACCGAACUGAAUUGAACUGAAUCAGACCGGUUCGGUUCGAUUCAGUUUCUAACCAAAAUCGAUUCGGUUCAAUUUUCAUAAAUACUAAAAUUUUGGUUUUCGGUUUAUUCGGUUCGGUUUUGAACCGAACCGACCGAAUGCUCACCCUUAGCAGGUACUAGAUGCCCAAAGAUCUCACAUUUAUUUUUUACAGAUGAUUCUCUGCUAUUUUUUAAUGCUAGACUGGAGGAAGUAGAUAGUAUUAAAUCUAUUCUCAAUACCUAUGUGGCUGCUUCUGGACAAGUGAACUUCAACAAAUCUGACAUUUUCUUUAGUCCCAAUGUGGUCUCCUCUGUAAGGUCUAAUAUUAGUAAUAUCCUGGAUGUUCAUUCACCAUUGAGUCAUAGUGCCUAUCUGGGAUUACCUUCUCUUAUUAGGAGGAACAAAAAAGCAAUUUUUAGUUUUCUAAAAGAAAGAAUGUAGAAGAGGAUUAAUUCAUGGAGCAGCAGAUUUCUAUCUAGAGCAUGCAAGGAGAUUCUCAUAAAAUCUGUGUUGCAGGCUAUACCUGCAUAUUGCAUGAAUAUUUUUUGGAUUUCCAUUACUAUUUUGAAGGAAUUGCAUAGAAUGGUCAAUGACUUUUGGUGGGGGGUAAAAGAGAAGGGCGGAGGGGUAUUAAUUGGCUAGCGUGGGAGAAGAUGUGUAGUAGAAAGAAGGAGGGGAGUAUGGGGUUUCGGGACUUUAGAAGUUUUAAUUUGUCUUUACUUGGCAAACAAGUGUGGAAGUUCUUAACAAAUCCUAAUACUCUUUGUUGUAGAGUGUUUAAAGCAAAGUAUUUCCCAAAUGGUAAUUUAUUUUCCGCCAAUGUAAGUAAUGGUGCUAGCUUUGUUUGGAAAAGUGUGAUGACAUCAAGGAAGUUGAUUCGAAGGGGUACAAGGUGGAGUGUGGGUAAUUGAGAGAAGAUUUUAGUGGCUUCAGCUCCCUGGGUUCCUAAGAAGGAUAUCUUUUUUGCUGAUGAUGGCUCCGAUUUUAUUGAACCACAUUUGCGUGUUUGUGAUCUUUUUUAAGGUAAUGAGAGGGUUUGGAACAUUGCUCUUUUAAUAGAGCUUUUUUGUUCAAGAGAUAUCAGGGCUAUUAUUAGUAUUCCUAUUAGUAUUACCAAUAAGGAAGAUUCCUUCUUGUGACAUUUUGAUAAAAGAGGUAUGUAUACGGUAAAGUCUGCAUACUUUGUAUGUAUGGACUUGCUAGGAAGAUCAUCUUUUAAUGUGGGGGGUGAGUUGUAGACUAGUUUGUGGAAUGUUUCUGUCUCUCGAAAAGUGAAAGAUUUCUGUUGGAGAGCUUGUAGAAAUAUAUUGCCUACAAAGGAUAACUUAAGGCAAAAGGGUGUGGAUGUAGAUGCUAGAUGUCCUUCGUGUCAUGAAAAUGAAAGUGUCAAUCAUAUUUUGUUGCAUUGUCCUUUGUCCAAGAAAGUUUGGAGGUUAAGGGGAGUGGAAAAUUUGCAGUCUAAUGAUAAUUUUUUUAAUUUUUUACUGCAGAUCUUGAAAUCUCAAGAUAAGGUUCAAAAAACCUUUGUAAUGGUCUGUGCAUGGAGAUUAUGGUCAGCAAGGAACUCAUUAUUAUGGAACCAGGUGCAAAAUUCAGCAGCUCACCUUGUGGAAGACGUCAUGCAUCAUAUCUCGGAUUAGGAAGUUGCUCAACGUGCUGGUGCUUUACAUGGAAAUACCAUUGCUGCUUUAUAUCGGGGCAGAAACUUGUUUUAUUCUUCCAACCCUGCUCGUGAUCCUAAAGCCAUUCCUCUCUAAAUUCGUGCGUCAUCUCCAAGUUUGGACAAUUUCAGUUGGUUUUGUCAAGUUGAUGGGGUUUUGUUUCAAGUUUAAGAUUUUAUUAGCUACGGUUUUGUUGUGGAAAACUCUGAGGGUAUAUUUCAACGUGGUGUUUCUGGUUUUUCGAAAGGUAAUGGUAUGCCGGUAAUUGUUGAAGUUUUAGCUCUCCAUCAUUGUUUGCUCUUUGCGAUGAAAUUUUUGUCUUUUAAUGGCUGCAUUCUUAUAGACUGUUUGUAGGUGAUUUAAACUCUUCAGUCUCUACAUUUAGACAUUUCUGAAUUGAGUUUGAUUUUGAAUGAUUAUAAAUCUUUGUUAGACUUUAGAACUGAUAUUACUGUUAGAUGGGUUCGUCGUUAUGCCACUCUAACUGCUCAUACUUUGACUAGAGAAUCUAUUAGGUAUGAUCGUCUUUCUUUUGGAAUGAUAUCCCUCUUUGUUUGAUAAAAUUUUAUUAAUAUAAUCGGUAGUUUUUUUUAACAAAAAAAUAUUAAGCCUAGGGCUUUAUUUGUUAGUAAGAAAUAAUACAUAUUUAAAAAAUAUUUUAAUUUAACAUAUUUUAAAAAAAAUAUUUUUCAUAAAAAUAUAUUUAAUAAAAUAAUUUAUUUUUUAUUAUUUAAUUUGUAAUUUUAAAAAUAAAAGAUAAUAAUACAUUUAUGUACAGUAGUAUUAAUAUAAUUCUGAAAAAAAAAUUUUAUUUUUUUAAAAGAAAAUAUCAUUUUCUUUAAAAAUUAUAAAAUUUUUCAUUUGAAAAAAUAAAUUUCCCUUGAUUAAUUUUUCUAAAUAUUUCAAGUUUUAUAAAAUAUAGAAAAUAUUUUUUUAAAAAAAUAUUUUGCAUGAAAUAAAGUUUUAAUCCACUAAUUUUAAAUAAUAUAAAAAUAUAAAUAUAUAUUUAAAGUUAUUUUAGAUCUUAGAUAAAAUCAGUUAUUCCAACUCCAACCUUUGGUGGUGGCACUAAUCAAGUAUAUAAGAAAAAUAGUUUUAAAGGGCUGCUUUUAUUAUAAUCGAGUAAAAUUAUAUAGUUAAAUAUUUAACAGGUGAUAUUGGUCAAUUUUAUAUGAAUUUAUUAUAUUAAUAAUGAAAUUAUAUUUAUUAUGUAUGUAAAAGAGUUGUAUUAAAUAAUUAUUUUAAUAUGUAUGAUUAAAAAUAAAAUGAUCAUAAAAUUAAAAAUUUAUUUUGUAUUCUCACUUUUCAAUUUUUAAAGAAUUUUAAUAAAUUUAAAGUCCAUAUUGUUCAUUGAUAGAGUCUUAGCAUAAGUGUAUCCAUUCAUACGUCUAGGUGGAAAUCACGUUAACCUUAUGCUCUAAUUAGGGGUGUAAACGAAUCGAGCUGAGCCGAGUUUUGAAGAGCUCAAGCUUGGUUCGUUAAAAUUUUUUCGAGCUCGAGCCGAAUUCAAGCUUUACUCAUUUCGAACUCGAGCCGAGUAUUAAGAAGUUCAAGCUUGGCUCGUUUAGCAAACGAGCUUAGACGAGUCGAGUUUUUAUCGAGCUGAGUCGAGCUUUUAUCGAGUUUAGUCUCGAAUAGUUCACGAGUAGUUUAAUUUAUUUACAUGUAUAAUGAGUUUUAGUUUAAAACUAAUAAUUUUAAAACUAAAAUAAUUUUAAUUAAAUAAGUAUAUCUACAAAUUAGCACGUAAGCUUAUAAAGAUGAGUUUUUAAAUCUUAAUGAUCCAAAUAUAUGCAAGUUUAAAAGUGUAAUUAAAGUAUAUAGAGUUUAAUUUUAGAAAAUUUAGAUUUAGCUCAUGAAAGUAUAUGCAGGGUUUGAGUUUAUUUCUCUUAUGAUAGCAAUUUCAGUUUGCUUAAUGAGACUGUUCACGAGUCUAUUCGCGAGCUUGCUCAUGAACUCAGGAACGAGCCGAGUUCACGAGUUUUAACGAGCCGAAUACUAUGGAGCUCAAGUUUUGCUCGUUUACCAAACGAGCCUGAAAAUUAAGCUCGAGCUUGGCUCGUUUAGAAAUCAAGUCGAGCUCGGUCGAACUUUUAUCGAAUCGAACCUCGAAUAGCUCACGAACGAUUUGGUUCAUUUACAACCCUAGUCCUAAUAAACAAUAAACAACUUGUUAUCUUUAUAAGACUUUUAUAUUUUUAUUUUUAUAUAUUUCAUAAUUUUAUAUUGCCCACUACACGAAAUUGAUUGGUAGUUAAAAUCUCUCUCUCAAACAUUUGGAUUGGACCUCAGAUAUAAAUUAUUAAUGGCACCCAUGUGCCCAUUAAAAAAUAAAUUAGGUACAGAUAAACCUGAUUAGCUUUACUGUAAGUUUCAUUAAUUUAAUACUUCAAUAUCUAUUUCUUUAUUUAUUAUUAUUUUUAAAAACCUCAUUGAUGAGAUGAAUAGGACCUUCAAAAUUUAAAAAGCAUUGUUGAUAUUUGUCAGCCGGCUUAGAUUAUUAUUUUUAUAAACAAAUUUUAACAAAUAAAAAAAAACUCUUACUNNNNNNNNNNNNNNNNNNNNNNNNNNNNNNNNNNNNNNNNNNNNNNNNNNNNNNNNNNNNNNNNNNNNNNNNNNNNNNNNNNNNNNNNNNNNNNNNNNNNNNNNNNNNNNNNNNNNNNNNNNNNNNNNNNNNNNNNNNNNNNNNNNNNNNNNNNNNNNNNNNNNNNNNNNNNNNNNNNNNNNNNNNNNNNNNNNNNNNNNNNNNNNNNNNNNNNNNNNNNNNNNNNNNNNNNNNNNNNNNNNNNNNNNNNNNNNNNNNNNNNNNNNNNNNNNNNNNNNNNNNNNNNNNNNNNNNNNNNNNNNNNNNNNNNNNNNNNNNNNNNNNNNNNNNNNNNNNNNNNNNNNNNNNNNNNNNNNNNNNNNNNNNNNNNNNNNNNNNNNCAUGUGAUUUUUUUUUUCUGAACUAAUAAAAGACCACACUGAAAAGAUUUUUUUUUUUUUUUAAAAAAAACAACUCCUCGUUGAAACUUAGAAUAAAGAGAAACUCAUUAAUAAAUUUAUAAUAUGCAUUACACAAAAUGACAUUAACUGGAGGCCAAAAUGACAUUAACUGGAGGCCACAUGCUGCGAAUUCUACGCUCAACGUUAUUUUUUUUAUAAGAAAAAAAACAAAAAAAGGAAAACGACGGUCCUAACGCUAAAGUUACCUACUGUCUUCCUUCAUCCUUCCUAUAUCUAACUCUCUAUCUCUGACCAUUCACAUUCACACCCUAUAGAAACUCUAUUAUAUAUAUACUCGCAACAAACUUAUGGUCGUGGUUGCAUAAGUCUGCAACUUCAUCGCCUCUCGCUUGGGGAUGAAUGGGGCAGAUCGCCGGAUGGAAACUAGAGGUAUUAAUUGUUUUCAGCUGAAACUGUUGUACCAAAUAGUAAUAGUUUCAUGGAGAUUUCAUUUCAUCUAACUAAUUGAGGCAUGUUGUUAUUGAUUGUCACUAAGCACAGAUCAGAAUGAAUCUGGCUCAUCUCCUGAGAAGACUAUUGGGCCAAAGUCAUAUUCAUACGGUGAACUAGCAAGUGUAACUGGUCAUUUCUCGCUCAAUAAUCUAAUUGGUCGAGGUGGUUUUGGUCAUGUUUUCAAGGCAUUAUUAGAUGGUGAGAUUCGUGCUAUCAAGAGACUUGAUUUUCCAGAUGUACAGUCUGAAGGAGGUUUGGAGAGGGAGAUUAUGGUUGUCAAAAGCGUCAGUCACAAAAACCUUGUUGAACUAGUUGGUUACUGCAUUGAUGGAGCCAAUAGAUUGCUUAUUUUAAAGUAUUUUCCAAAUGGGUCCUUGAGAUCUAAAUUACACGGUGAGUCCCAUAUCCUUUCUUUUACUUUUAUGUUCAUAUAUCCAAUCAAUAUGACAUGAAUAAUCUUGCAAAUUAUAAAUGGUAUUGUAGGAAGUGGGGAUGUUUUGGACUGGAAAACAAGAAUGAAGAUCGCCACAGGUUCUGCAAAAGGAUUGGAAUAUUUACAUGAACACUGUGAGUAUAUACUACUACAUAUUUUUACUUGGCAGGAUUUUAACCUUUGAGUGUGAAUUUAUUUAUUUAUUUUUGUUUAUAUUGAUAAUUUCUUUUCUCUCAAACAUUUAUAUUUUAUAUUCUUUUCAGGUAAACCUAAAAUUAUUCAUUUAGAUAUCAAGCCGGAUAAUAUUCUUCUUGACGAAGAUUUUGAACCCAAAGUAAGAUAAUUUUAUAAUAAAUAAUCAUUUUAUUUAUAUCAUGGCAUAUGUAUAGUAGAACUUUCAUCUGAAAUUUUAUUUUUGAAUAAUAUUAAAAUAUUAUGUUAACUCUUUAAUGACAUAAUUUAAUUUUUGUAAUUAAUUAAUAAAUUUGGGUUCUAAUUCUUUUUUGGUUUGGCCAUAUAUUUUUGGUUUUUUUAAUAAAAUUUAUUGCUUAUAAAAAAAAAUUAAUAAAUCAACCUUAGUAGGUUUCUUGUCUUUUUUUUUUUUCAUGAUUUAAUAUUUUCUUAAUAAACUUGAUUGAAGUACGGAAAAUUGUGUAAUUUACCAAAUAACUUUAAUUUUAAAUUAAGAUAUAUAUAUAUAUAUAUAUAUAUAUAUAUAUAUAUGGCAUAAUAAAUUUAUUAAUCAACUUAAAUAAUUUGUUUAGAUAACAGAUUUUGGACUUGCUCAAUUUUUUACCGACGGUGCUACUCACAUAUCCAAAUCAUCAGUUAUGGGAACCCAUGUGUAAGAUAUAAUUUUCUUUCUAUCAUUUAAUUGCAUUGCUAUUAUUUUCUAUUUUUUCAAUGCCAUUAUUAUCUCCUCUUAAAAUAGUUUAAAAUAAAAUAAAUAUUAAAAUAGAUAAAAUAACACAUAAAAAAAUAUAAGUACUCCUUAAUUUGAUAGUAUUAGUAAUCUUAACAAAUUUUAUUACAGUUAUUAAUAAUCUUAACAAAUUUUAUUGCAGUUACGAAGAUCCAUUUACAACAAAAUUGGGAAAGUAUUCUGAUAAAUCUGAUAUUUAUUCUUUUGGAGUUACACUUUUAGAAUUGAUUACUGGAAGAAAACCUAUAGACAAUGGCACUGAUAUUGUUACUUGGGUAUGACUCUGUUUGCUUUAAUAAAACUAUGAUAUAAAAAUUCUAUUUACCAUUUAUAAAGUUUUGAAUUUAGAUCUCAAUUGGAGUUAUUUAGAUUUAAAUUCAAUGCAUUCAUGAUUCAUUAAUAAAUAAUUUUUUAAUCAAUAUCUUGUAGGCAAAUCCUCUAAUUAAAAAGGCUUUGAAGAGAAGGUAUACAAAUUUUAUAGAUUCCAAUUUACAAUCCUUUGACUAUGAACAAAUGUAUCAAAUGGUUUCUUGUGUUGAUUCUUGUCUAAAUCAACCUCCAAGCUCUCGUCCAACAAUGGAAAAGGUAAAAUUUUUCACAUAACUAAUCUCAAAACUAUAUAUAUAUUAUCUCAAAACUUGUAAUCAUUUUAUUAUUAUGUUAUGCAGAUACGUCUAGUUCUUGAAGGAAAAUCACUCUCGAAAGAAUUAUACGAUCAUAAAUUGCGAAGGAGUAUUAUACAUACAGGUUUAUAUUCUUUUAUGCUAAUUUAUUAAAAAUUAUAUGCAUAUUUGAUCUAAUUGAUGCCUAAAUUUUCAUUUAAUGUGUCAUAUCUUAAUAUUUGAACAAUGUUGAUUUUCAACUACAAAAAUAUUAGUUUUUUAAUUUGAAAUUUAGAAUAAAAUAGUUUUUAACCAAAAUUGAUAACUUAUUAAUUAAAUAUAAUUUUUUAUUUUAUAAUUAUUCAAAAAACUGUGAAAAGAAUGAAAAAUUACUUUGAAGUUUUUUUUUUUUUUGGAAAUAGGAAUUAGGGGAAUAAAAUAUGAGAACUCUCAUAUGCACUUUCCACCAGAAUAAGUCUAUGAGUGUAAUUACCUUAAAGUUUUAAAACAUAAAUCUAAAAGUUCAUACAUGUAUAUAUGUAGAGGUACUAACAGUUUUACAGAUCCGAAAGGAUCUAGGUCAUCGCCUGAGUUGAAUAGAAGUAUAAUUACUGGGCCGAGGCAAUAUUCAUUUGAACAACUAGUAAAGGCGACCAAUUAUUUUUCUAAUAACGAUCUCAUUGGCGAGGGUGGCUUUGGACAAGUUUAUAGGGGAUUACUAGAUGGUGAAACCCUUGCUAUUAAGAAACUCAAAAAUCAUCGAGAUUUACAGUCGCAAGAAUACCUGAAGAAUGAGAUUAUUGUUGUUAGCAGCAUCCGCCACAAAAAUCUUGUUGAACUGCUUGGUUACUGUAUUGAAGGGGCCAAUAAAUUCCUUGUUUUUAAGUAUUUUCCCAAUAAGUCCUUGAGCUCUCAAUUACACGGUGAGUUUCAUCCUUUCCCUUUAUAUAUAUAUAUAUAUAAUUUUUUGUUUCAUAAUCGUUAUGAAAAUUAAUAUAAAUAAAAAUUGAUUUUUGUAGAAAGCGAUCAGGAUUUGAACUGGGAGACAAGAAUAAAUAUCGCUAAAGGCUCUGCAAAAGGCCUAGAAUAUUUGCAUGAACACUGUGAGUAUAUAAUUAAAUAUAUUCAUAGCUAAUAAUUGCCAAGCUUUUUAGCUCUUGAGGUUCUAAUAUCUAUUGUUCUUUCUUUGAGUUAAUAUAUAAUUUAUUUUAUCUUAAAACUUUUUAUUUUUUUUGUAUGUUAGGUGAACCUCCUAUCAUACAUUUAAAUAUCAAGUCAGACAAUAUUCUUCUUGAUGAAGAUUUUAAACCAAAGGUAAAAUAUUUUGAUAAUUAUUGGAUCCAUAAUACAGUGGAACAUCAAAUAUUGUUGGAUGUCAAAAUUUUAUUUUUAAGAGAGCCACUGAGUUUGCCUCUCUUAAACUGUGAGUGAAAGAUAUAUCCACCAUCUUAUAAAUAGAGGGUUUUUAAACUCAUAGGAACUAAUAAUAUUGAUUUUACUAUACCACAAAAACUAAAAUGUAUUUUAUCUUUUUGAUGAAUAUUCUUAAAGUACACAUAACAGUGUAAUUUGUUAGAAUAAGAGUAUAAGAAGUAUAUUUAUGAAAUUUGGUGUAGAAAUAACUACACCUUUUUUUUGUAUAUAUAUAUAUAUAUAACAUAAUAAAUUUAUUUAUCUACUCUUUUUUGAAAAUAAAUUUAUUAAUCUAUUUAAAUAAUUUUGUUUAAUUAGGUGGCUGAUUUUGGACUUGCACGCUUUUUUUCGGAGACUAUUAUUCACAUAUUCAAAUCAGCGACUAUGGAAACCAAAGCGUAAGAUAAUUUAUACAUGUUUAAAUUUUUUAGUGUCAUUAUUAUGUUCUACUUCUAGAAUAAUUAAAAUAAAAUAAAAUACAUAUGAAAACAGAAGGAAACUAGUGUUUCUUUAGAUUUUAAUUUCUUGAAUCUUGACAUGAAUUUUGAUUGAGCUUACUAAAUUGCAGCUAUAUAGAUCCAUAUGCAAUAAAAACUGGAGAGUACACUGUAAAAUCAGAUGUUUACUCAUUUGGUAUUAUGCUUCUAGAAUUAAUUACCGGAAGAAGACUCAUAGAAGAAGACGGCUCUGAUGUUGUUGAAUGGGUAAGGCGUAUGCAACUAGUAUACUUUAAAAAUUUAUGAUAUGUAAUUGUAUAAUUAAAAUAUAAUAAAAGAUAUUUAAGAUCCAAAACUCACCAUUCACAUGCAAUCACUGAUAUUAAUGCAUUUGAAAUUCCCAAUUGAUGUAAGUCUGAGUUAAUAAAUAGACAUAAUUAUAUUUUUAUUGAUAUUCUACAGGCAAAAUCUGAAAUUAAGAAGGCUUUGCGGGAUAAAAAAUUUGAAAGAUUUGUAGAUUCUAGAUUGCAAAUGUUUGACGAUGAAGAAGCGUAUCGAAUGUUGUUCUGCAUUGAUAUUUGUAUAAAUAACAUUCCAAAAUUUCGCCCAUCAAUGAAGAAGGUAAAUUUUUUUUUCUUUUCCAUAUAUUAUGUUAUAAUUGAUAAUAUAUACAAUAAUUUCAUUAUUAUUGUGCCAUAUAGAUACUUCUAACUCUCGACGGAAUUUUGCCUCAACAAAUUAUGCAAUGAGAAGGGUGAUAACAAAUUGACACUGUACCCCACUUUAUAUAUAAUUUCAUCUCCGAUUAAUAGAAGUACAAGUAUUGGGCUGAGGCAAUAUUCAUAUUAACAACUAGCAAAGGCCACCAAUCAUUUCUCCGGUAACAAUCUUCUUGGCGAGGGUGGCUUCGAACAAGUUUACAUGGGAUCAGUAGAUGGUCAAUUCUUGUAACACCCCUAUCCAAUUAUUUAAUUAACCAAGUUAGAGACAUUAUAUUUUGUAACUGUUCUCUUUUUUUUUUAUUUUUUUUAUAUCAUAUAAUUCAUUACCUUUUUUUUAUCGAAAAUCCGACAGAGUUUCCCCUGAAAUAUGAACUUAAUUCCACCUGUGAAUAGAAAUAUCACACUUCUAUAAACUUCAAUCUUAACCCUCAAACUUCUUUUAACAUCAACACAAUUUCAAUUCAGAUCAAACACUUCAUAAUCAUCUCAUUAAUCUCAACACAAAAACUUAUACUAAUAACCCAUAUUUACACCAAAAUUAAAAUCUUUAAAUAUAUCUAAUUCCAACCAUAUAUAACUUCAUCUCUAAAACUUUGCCAUAUUUCCAAAAUUAACUUUAUAUAAAGUUUAUAAAAUAUACUCCAAGAUAGUUAAUGAUGUAACUCUGGUCGGGUUGAUCAGAUCUUGAUCUACUGCUCCUUGGACCUACAACCUGCGCGAGGAAAAAUACAUUCCUACGCGCUAAGCAAAUUGCUUAGUGGUGCUCAACUUCUUUUUAUAUUUAAAAAUAAAUCAUUUAAAUCAAAAUUCAUUUAUCAACAAUAAAUCAAACAAAUAACAAUAAACUAUAUAGCAAAUAAUUUGAAACAAUUCUAAAUCAUAUUAUUAUUUCACAUAUAUACAAAUUUUAAUUUCAGUAUUUUCUUUUUCUUUUUCUUCAUGUAAAAAAAGGUUCUAUUUUCUCUUAAUACUUUUAUUUAUUUAUUAUUUUUCUUUUGGCCCCUAUAAAUUUAAAUGGGACUGUUAAGUCAGAUAAGGAACUGUAUCUAUAGGGCACAAAGUGCCAAAUAGGGAGUGAGGUUUUAAAAAUUUUAAUAAUUAAAAAAAAGGAAUAAUUAAGAUAGAUAAAUGAAGGGAAAAGAAAAAUUGAUAAACUACUUUUACCUCUAACUUUUCAUCUAUUUAUAUUAUUUUUCCUCUUUUACUAUUUUUUAAAUUGAAUUUUCUAUUUUAUUUUCCAGUGAAAUAAAAAUAAUUAUAAAGUAUAUACCAAAACCCCAAUCACAAUAAAGUAAAUAAAUUUUAUUAAAAUUAUUUAUUUAUAAGAGAUAAAAGGGCGGAAAGGAUAAGAAUAACAUUAUUUAUAAAGUCGAUUAAUAAAAUGUCACUAUUAAUUAUUUUUUGGUUUAAAUAAUGGAUACUUUCUGAUUGUUGCAUUAAGUCAUUGAUGGGACCCAUGAGCCCACGUCUAUUUAUCACUAAAAAAAUAUUUACCACAUGCUGCGCAUUAAUAAAAAGAAACUCAUUAAUAAAUUUAUAUGCAUUGCACAAAAUGACAUUGACUCGCCGCUGGAGGCCACAUGCUGCCCAUUCUACGCCAACUUCAACAUUAUAUAUAUAUAUAUUUUUUUUAAAGGAAAACGAAGGUCUGAAUGCUAAAGUUACCUACCGUCUUCCAUCACCCUUUCCACAUCUUCCUCUCUAUCUCUGACCAUUCAUUCACACUGAAUAUACUUGCAAGAAAGCUGUGGUCGUGGUUGCAUAAGUCUGCAACUUCUGACGACCUCUAGCUUGGGGCUGAACCGGGCAGAUUCGCCUUAUGGAUACUAGAGGUAUUACUUGUUGUAGCUGAAUGUGUGGAACCAAAUAGUAGUAGUUUCAUAGAGCUUUCAUUUCAUUUCAUCAACUAAUUGAGGCAUGUUGUUUAUUCUAUGGUCACUAAGCACAGAUCCGAAUGAAUCUGGUUCAUCUUCAUCUGCAUCUGAGAAUUAUGACGGUAUUGGGCCAAAGUCAUAUUCAUACGAUGAACUAGCAAAGGUAACUGGUCAUUUCUCGCACAAUAACCUAAUUGGUCGAGGUGGUUUUGGUCAUGUUUUUAGAGCAUCCUUAGAUGGCGAGACUCGUGCUAUCAAAAGACUUGAUUAUCCGGGUGUAGAGUCUGAAGGAGAUUUGGAAAGGGAGAUUAUGGUCGUAAAAAGCAUCAGUCACAAAAACCUCGUUGAACUGAUUGGUUACUGCAUUGAUGGAGCCAAUAGAUUGCUUAUUUUAAAGUAUUUUCCAAAUGGAUCUUUGAGAUCUAAAUUAGAUGGUGAGUCCCAUAUCCUUUAUUUUACGUUUCAUGUAACUAAUGCGACA
rnacentral:lncRNA from 1 species